GAAAGUUUCAAGCAUAGAUUUCAAAUUCCAGCAGUGCGUGUUUAACAACGUAGACCAAGUUUUAUUUUAUAAUCAUGCCAUCAAGAUCUUGUGCUAAUCUUUUGGACAUGGCAUCUGGAGAUAUACUAGAUAUACCUCAGACACCUAGAGGUCUUCCAUGUGUGAUGACAGUUCCUGGAAUUAUCGCAGAUGGUGAUUCAGAUGGUAUGUCAUCCUCAUGUCGAGAGCGAAAAAUUGUUGUAGCAAACAUGCUGCCUUUGCAUGCUCAAAGGGAUACAACAGCUAAAAAGUGGUUAUUCAGUUUAGAUAAGGAUUCUCUUUUAUUGCAAUUGAAGGAUGGGUUUUCUCCUGAAACUGAGGUUGUCUAUGUUGGUUCUCUGAAGGUGUUGAUGUGGAACACAGUGAACAGGAGGAAGUUGCUCAGCGACUUCUUGAGGAGUUCAAGUGUGUGCCUACUUUUGUACCCCAUGAUAUCCAGGAAAAGUUUUAUCACGGCUUCUGUAAGCAGCAACUUUGGCCUCUUUUCCACAUGCUUCCAAUGUGUCCUGAUCAUGGAGAUCGUUUUGACCAGAAGAUGUGGCAAGCUUAUGUCUCUGCAAAUAAGGUUUUCGCUGAUAAGGUUAUGGAAGUGGUAAAUCCUGAUGAUGAUUAUAUCUGGAUUCAAGAUUACUACCUCAUGGUUCUACCGACAUUUUUAAGGAAGCGCUACCAUCGUGUCAAGCUAGGUUUCUUUCUUCAUAGGCCAUUUCCUUCGUCAGAAAUUUACCGAACUCUGCCUGUUAGGGAUGAAAUUCUCAAAGGAUUGUUAAAUUGCGACCUAAUUGGCUUUCAUACCUUCGAUUAUGCACGUCACUUUCUGUCAUGCUGCAGUCGAAUGUUGGGUUUAGAUUAUGAAUCUAAACGAGGACAUAUUGGACUUGAUUAUUUUGGUCGUACAGUUUACAUUAAAAUUCUGCCUGUAGGCAUACAUAUGGGUCGACUAGAGUCCGUGAUGAAUUUGUCUUCUACUUUUGAUAAAGCUAAAGAAGUUCAAGAACAGUUCAAGGGGAAGAAGGUAAUUCUGGGUGUGGAUGAUAUGGACAUCUUUAAAGGCAUUAGUUUGAAAUUGCUAGCAUUUGAGUACCUACUACAGCAGGACCAGAACUUGCAGGGGAAACUUGUUCUUGUUCAAAUAGUAAAUCCUGCUCGUAGCUCAGGCAAAGAUGUUCAGGAAGCAAAGAGGGAGACAUAUUCAACUGCUGAAAGGAUCAACCAAAUUUACGGUAGAUCUGAUUAUGAGCCUGUAAUUUUGAUUGAUCGUCCGGUUCCUCACUAUGAGAAGACUGCAUACUAUGCUGUUGCUGUAUGUUGUGUCCGGUUCCUCGCUAUGAGAAGACUGCAUACUAUGCUGUUGCUGUAUGUUGCCUAGUGAAUGCUGUAAGGGAUGGGAUGAAUUUAGUGCCUUACAAAUAUAUUGUUUGCUGGCAAGGUUCUCCUGGUAUGGAUGAUGCUAUGGGUAUUAAAACUGAUUCUCGUAGAACUAGCAAGCUUGUUGUGUCAGAAUUUAUUGGUUGUUCCCCAUCUCUGAGUGGAGCAAUUAGGGUAAAUCCAUGGGAUAUUGAAGCUGUCGCUGAGGCUUUAAAUGUGGCCAUUACAAUGUCCGAUUCCGAGAAACAACUUCGUCAUGAGAAGCACUACUGCUAUGUAAGCUCUCAUGAUGUAGCUUACUGGGCUCGUAGCUUUAUGCAGGAAUUGGAAAGAGCUUGCAAAUAUCAUUACAGUAAGCGUUGCUGGGGCAUUGGCUUGGGCCUGGGCUUCAGAGUUAUUGCACUUUCUCCGAAUUUUAGAAAGCUGUAUAUUGAUCACAUCGUCUCCUCAUAAAGGAGGACACAGAGAAGGGCAAUAUUCUUGGACUAUGAUGGCACUGUUGUACCUCGGUCAUCAUUGGUUAAAGCUCCAAGUGCUGAAGUUAUUACGCUGUUGAAUUCUUUAAGCAAUGAUCCUAAAAACACCGUGUAUAUUGUUAGUGGCAGAGGAAGAAAGUCACUAAGUGAAUGGCUUGCACCGUGUGAAAGGCUUGGAAUAGCUGCUGAACAUGGGCAUUUCAUAAGGUAAUGGAUAUUUUAUGUGAACAUAGCACGGUCCUUUGUCCCAGUUGCCCUAUAAUUUCUCAUUUGGAGUUUUUCUUCUGAAGUUUUCCUUGGACACCUUCAUGUUAACCUGUUUCUAACAUGUUGCAGGAGUAGUAAAAUGUCGGAUUGGGAAUGUUUGGCUUCUGAUCUUGAGUGGAAACCAAUUGUGGAACCUGUGAUGAAACUUUACACAGAAACAACUGAUGGAUCAUAUAUUGAACCUAAAGAGAUUGCUUUGGUGUGGCACCAUCAGGAUGCAGACCCAGACUUUGGCCCCUGUCAGGCAAAGGAAUUGUUGGAUCAUCUGGAAAAUGUACUUUCAGAUGAACCUGCAGUUGUUAAGAGAGGCCAACAUAUUGUCGAAGUCAAGCCACAAGUAAGACCUUCCCUCAUGUGUUUUGUGUCUCACGCAGAUACAGACAUGUGCAUGUUGCAUUAUGCUCUUCCAUAUUUUUACUUGUUUGUGCUUAUUUGCAGGGUGUGACUAAAGGAUUAGUGGCACAAAAGGUCCUCUCAAUGAUGGUAGAUAGUGGGACUCCACCUGAUUUUGUUAUGUGCAUUGGAGACGAUAGAUCAGAUGAGGACAUGUUUGAAAGCAUAUUAAGCAGUGUGUCCAGCAGUUCUUCAAUCACUGCUGCCCCAGAUAUCUUUGCCUGCACUGUUGGGCAAAAGCCAAGCAAAGCCAAGUAUUACCUAGAUGAUACUGCUGAUGUUCUUAGACUACUUCAAGGUCUUGGUAAUGCGUCCUGUCCAAAGCCAAGACAUACUGCUCAUUUCCAGGUUGCGUUUGAUUCUGUUCUGUAAGAAGCUCUGUUCUGUGAAUAGGCUAAGUAGUUGAUUGGGCAUGUAAAUGGUUCUACUUUUGGGGUUUAUCUUUUACCGGUGAGGAGUAUAUCCUUACAUCAAUCUUAACUUAAUCUGAUGCAUGGCUGGACUCAGGACUGACUGUUUUUCCAGGUUAUGCUGCAUUCAGGGCUUGAAAUUCCCGUCAAUGUUGACUGCUUUUUCUGUAGAUUUCAUCAUUGGGGAAAAACUUUUCUUAGAAGUACAGUUUUGCCGUAGUCAUGAUGACUGCCCUGAAUGAUUAACAAACACCAUUGCGUUGUAUAGAUACAUUUAUCUGUUUAGCUUAAUGACAGUUUGGUUUAAGUUUUACCUCAGUGAAAGCUACUAACAAAUGCUUGAUGCCGUUUUGUGCCAAAUGAGUCACUUGAACAUGUACAUAGUACUAGCCUUUCUGGAACGUGUUAUCGAAAUGUUAUUAGUUCAAUUGUUCUGCUUUCCUACUGUAAAUAUCUCAGAUGCUACUAUCCUGAUCAUUGCAAAAUUUAGUGGUUGUGCACUCUGUGGUCAAUUCAAUCUUGUUUCUGGCUUCAACAUCAUCACGAAUUCACGAUACCCAAUGUAAUUCUACAAAGUUGGGUUUGAGGAGGAUAAAGUGUGUGCAGUUUUCUGCUUCUUAUAUCAAUCACAUCUAUUUGUCUUGUGAUUGGGAUCUCCCAAAGAUCAGCUUUGCCAACUGGCUUCCUCAAUAUUUCAUGUGAUUAAGGUAUCAAUGCCAAUGUUCAUAGAAAUGCAGGUUUCAAAAUGUGGUAGCUUAGUGUCAUGUUGUCCAUAUCCUCAUAUCUAGGGUCAUGUCCUUGGUAAGUCGUAGGUGUGUCAUGUCCAUUCUAAUAAUCUUUUUCAAUAUUUCUUCGGCCUACCACCUCACCCACCAAUCAAUUGCUUGCACCUCCUAGUUGGGUCAUCUAUGCAUCUUCUCUUCAUAUGUCUGAAGUUUGAACCAUCUCAACCUUGCUUUCGUGAUCUCUUCAACCACAACCUUGCUUUCCUCUCUUCAACCACAAAAGGUCAUUCUCACCUUGUUCUGAAUAUCUUUGUUCUUAUUCAUUUUUCUUUUAAUAUCUCUACACAUUUUUAACUCAUUUAUGCUACUUUCAUCUUUUAAACGUGUGAGUUUUAGAUCGGCCAAUACUCUAUCCCCUAAAAGUUACAACCUAAUUGGUCCUACAAUUACAUUAUAAAAUUUACCUUUAAAUCUUGACGACAUAUUCAUACCACAGAAAAUAGACACCGAAAUCUCUUAAAUUGCAAUGAUUCGAAGCACUUCUUGUUUCACUAUUUCAAUCAAUGUAUCUUACGACCCAAAUUUGUAGAUACAACUCUGUUGAUUGGUUGCUUCCACAUUUAUUUUUGGGAAAUAUAAUUCUCAAGCAAGUAGAAACUAGAAAGUUAACUACUUACAUAGUUUUAUACAAGUAACUUUUUAGGACAAGAGUUGCAUGAAGUAGGAAUAAUUAAAGUGGAAGUGGGCCAGAUUGGACUCGCAGCAUAUUGGUUUGAAGUUGGGAUGAAAUUGUGUUUAAGGUGGUUAAAUAAACGGAAAAGGGUCAAAAUUGCCCUCGAACUAUAUGAAAUAGACCAUUUAUACCCUUCGUUACAUUUUGGGAUAAAAAAUGCCCCUGCUGUUAUCCUAAGAGACCACAAAUACCCUCAAGAGUUAACACCCCAAAUUUUUGUUGACGUGGCAAGCCACGUGGGACUAAUCCUUCCACCUAGCGUUGCCAACUAGGAUUCACUACAAAAGAACUAGACUUUUAGCGGCAACAACAGUCGCCACAAAAGCCCAAAAAAUCGUCACUAAAAGUUUUUAACAUUAAUUUCUAAUUUUGUGUUUUUUUCUUCAUUGUUUUUAAAAAACCAAAUAUGAUAUCGAUUAAGUAGGAGUUUGAAGACACUAUAUGUUUUAUUUUUAUGUCAUAUGUAAAUGUAUAAAAUGUACAAUGAUGCAUUAUAUAUAUAUAGUAGGAGAUUUGAAUCGAGAAGUAAUUUUGAUUAUUUUUCGUAAUAAUAUUGGAUGUUUUUAAUAUAGGAUAUUGCAAGUUAUUUAUUUUAGAAAAUUAGGUCGCAAUCGAAAAUUAAUUAUCAUAUUCUUUUGUUGAAAAUAUAUGUUUUACUAGCAAAUGGUUGUUAGAGCCUUAGUCGCCACUAAAAAUCACUCAUAACCUUUAGUGGCAAUAUUUUGGGAUUUUGUGGUCGCCACUAAAAAAGUCAAGUUCUUUUGUAGUGAAUCUUAGUUGGCAAUGCUUAGGUGGAGGGAUUAGUCCCAUGUGGCUUGCCACGUCACUAAAAAAUUGGGGUGUUAACUCUUGAGGGUAUUUGUGGUCUCCUGGGAUAACUGCGGGGGUAUUUUUGAUUCCCAAAAUGUAAUGGAGGGUAUAAGUGGUCUAUUUCACAUAGUUCAGGGGCAAUUUUGACCCUUUUCCGUUAAAUAAAUUAAGGGGAACUUUCGUAUAUAGUCAUUCAAAAAUAGUUUAAUUACGCUAUAUAACUCGAGUAUGUUUUCUGGUUAUAUAAACCGUGCAAAAUUAGAAUAUAAAAAUUACCAUAUAUAUGUUUUUGGUUAUAGAAAACGUGUAAAAUAUAAAAAGUUACCAGAAGAAAUUCCAUAAAAAAAAGUUUCAUCAUCAUUAGGGAAACGAGUAGGAAAGGGAAAUCCUAAUCCAAGAUAACAUGUAAAUAAAGCCUAUAUAUACACAUGAAAUAGUGAAUUGUUUCAUUGAAAUAUUAAUUAGCAUGACAAAAUUUCCCUUAUGUCUUGUUAAAGUAGUUGUAAUAAUGAUACUAUUAUGUUUUCCUUCCACCGCCCUCUCUAGAAAACUAUUACUCUCGUCACCACCAUCAGAAGCUGCUCCUCCAAAACCUAGUGUUAUGAAUUUCCAUAUUGUUAACGAUGAAGACAACAAUCCAAAAGAGAAGGUGAUUGAUGAUAGUCGAAGCUGGAGUUCUCUUGAUUUUGGUCACAAAAUUAAGAUUAUCGUAUCUAUAUUUUGUAGCUUGUUUAUAAUUGUCGGUCUCAUUAUCUUGAUAACACGACUUAUCACUUCACCCUAUUUUUUCAUAAUAUUUAUCUAAAUUAUAUAUCAAAAGUUAAGUUAAUAACACUAAUUUGUUUUAGUAAAUACUUGCUAGAUACCUUCAAUAAUUUAAUAAAUAUUGUGAGGGAAUUAAUACAUAAAAUUACCCCUAAUUAUUCACAUUUUUAUACUCUUUUUUGUCCCACAUUUUUAUAGUUCUUUGGCUAUUGUCCUCUCUGAACGACAAUAUUCCAUAUAUAAAAACCCCUUUGGAACAAAAUUAACACUAAAAGAAAGAAAAGCUGGAAUAUUUAUAAAAGUAGAAACAUGCAAUGGUUUAAAAAAAAAACAUUAAUAAGUCUAAAUUUAUAGUAGAAAAAAAAACCCUAGUUUUAACCAUAUUUUUAGUAAAAAAAAUCCAACCCUUUUGCGUAGAUAUGUAUUUAGUAUAAAGUGUACACUAUCUUAAUACUGUGUACAUGUUUUGUAAACUAAAUGAUUCAAAUAUAUUAAGUUGUAAUUUUCUCAAUAUCAAAUGAGGAAAUUACACCUACUAUCCCAAAAGUGUUAGAUCUUGAAUUUUUGUACCUACUUGAUUUUGCCUCUAAAGCAGAACUUCUGUUCAAUUGAUCGAGUAGAUUCACUAUCCUGAAAUAUUUUGAAACGUCUUUCUUAUGGAAACAAAUUAAAAUGUAUGGCUGAUGGACAACCUACUUAUCUAAAAUUUAACUUUUUACUUAUAAGACAACUUUUGAUCAAUUUAACAAGUUUAUAAUCUUAAAAAUAUCUUGAAUAUUUUCUUUACGAGCAAAAUUUAAAGAAUUUUAUGAAGGGGAAAUUAUUUCUAAAAAGUUUGUUACCUAAUAACUCUCUAAACAAAAUAGUUAUGAACACUCCUUACUUUUACCACCAAAAUUAAAGGCAAUUUGUACCUAUAAAAUUAAAUUAGAUUAAUUAAAAUUUUUAUUUGAAUAUAUAAUUUAAAUUUUUGAAAUUGUAUUUUUUGUUGCAAACAUAAUUUUUUAUUUAUAACUUGUACGUAAGGUAAAUUCUUGCCGCGUGGCAGUCUGCUCCACAAAUAGGCAAAGGCGCGCAGUAUUUGGAGCACUGCAUUUGUCUCUGUAUUCUCUGACACAAUCGUUUCAUCACUAUUUCCAUUGAUUUGGUGGUAUUUUGAAGCCUUCUCUUCAACGGCGACGCGAGGCACCGUUUACUGAGGCUAGAUUUUCACCGGCUCUGUUGCUGUAUGUAUUUCCACUUUUUUGCAAUGUAGCAGUAAUGUGUUUUCUGAGUAUUAGUUCCAUUCGUAAUUCUAAUUGUUUGAACUAGUUUGAUGAAGGAUCUACCAUUUCCGUCGUCCUCUAAUUUCUGUGUUUGUUGCUGUAGUUAUUUUUUUGAAUUCGUUUCAUCACUUUUUCUAUUGAUUUCGUGGUAGUUUGAAGCCUUCUCUUCAACGGCGACGGUGACGUGAAGCACCGUUUACUGAGGCGAGAUUUUCACCGGCUUUGUUGCUGUAUGUAUCUCCACUUUUUUGCAAUGUAGCAGUUAUGUAUUUUCUGAGUAUUAGUUCCGUUCGUAAUUCUGAUUGUUUGUCAUCCUAUAAUUUCUGUUUUCAAAUGUUCCUUUGUUGCUGUAGUUAUGUGUUUGAAAUCGUUUCAUCACUUUUUCAAUUGAUUUCGUUGGAAGCGACAGCGACGCUAGGCACCGUUAACUGAGGCAAGAUUUUCACUGACUUUGUUGCGGUAUGUAUCUCUCCUCCUUUUUGUAAUUUCAAAAUGCUAGUUCUGAUUGUUUGAACUCGAAGGAUCUACCAUUUCCGUCGUCCUCUAAUUUCUGUUUUCAAAGUAGUUCUGUAUUUGAAAUCGUUUCAUCACUUUUUCAAUUGAUUUCGUUGGAGGUGACAGCGACGCUAGGCACCGUUUACUGCUUUGUUGCUGUAUGUAGUUAUGUGUUUUCUGAGUAUUAGUUCCGUUCGUAAUUCUGAUUGUUUGAACUCGAAGGGUCUACCAUUUCCGUCGUCCUGUAAUUUCUGUUUUUCAAAUGUUCCUUUAUUGCUGUAGUUGACGAGCUGUACUUUAUACAGACUCUAUUUUCAUUUUUUUUCUUAUUUAUAUUUGCUUAUCAGUUUGUAAAACUAAAUUGUAGUGUGUGUUCUGUGAGAAUUUCGUUCGUGAUAGUGAUUGUCUGCUUAUGUGUUUCCGUCGUCCUUUAAUUUUUCUGUGUUUAGUUGUUGCUAUUUCGUUUUAAAUCUAGAAGAGGAACUGUUUUAAUUUGCUUGUAGUUGAUUAUCCAUAUGAAAUAUAUACAGACUCUAUUAUAAUUUUCAAUGAAAGAGGAAAUUAUAAAAAAUAUACACAGUCUGGGGAAGUCAUUGCUUAGAGGUAGCUUUUCAAUAAUGGCGACGCCAGGCUCCAUUAACUGAGGCAACUAGGCUACAGUUUUAGAGUCCAUUAGGUUUCUGUAAUGGUAUGUUCUCCUUGUAAUCGAGAACUGAUCUCAUCGCUCAAAUUGUUGUGAAUCUUUAGUAAAAUGAUCGAUUCACAGGGCAAUAUAUAAAUUAGUUCUUCAAAGAAAGACUGAAACCUGUUCAUUAAAAGAGAGAACUUUGAUCUCUUCAAAGAGAAACUAAAACCUUAGAGUUCAAUGGAAGAGAGAACUCUAAUCUCCUGCUUUUUACUGAAAAAUGACUUCCCGAUUUAUUCAUCAAAAUCCCCUUUAAAUAGGAGUAUUAUUACAUCAAUAGGAAGUCUAAUACUUAUGGAAGUAGGAGACCUCAAUCCUAUUCCAAACUAAUAACUAUAACUUAACAUAAUCCUUAUGAAACUCUGAAACAUAAAACCUAUUCUAGAACAAUAAAUAAAACAACUAAAAAUAUAAUUAAAUACUUAAAUUAAUGACUUCCAACGCAUCCCUAACAUUACUCCCCUCGCGUUGAAAGAGUUUGUCCUCAAGCUCAACUUUCGGGGAAAUCAUCCAGAAAAUCUGGAUUAGUAUCAACUUGUUCAAUUCAAGCCCUAUCUUGAAGUUGACAUAGAUAAAUUUCGACUUUAUCAGUUUGCUGAAGCAUGACUAAUUUACCCAUCAGGUUGCUACUUUCAAGAGGUUCAAAUCGUUGAUAUUCUUCCUAACUCAUUAAGUCUUUCACUCGUUUAAGUUGAUAAUACCAUAAUGGUGCUAGUCCGAACAUGUGAAAUCCAGCCACAUCAAUCUUUUUUGCUUUCGUGGUAUGCUGAUAUUUUUCAAAAUAAUGUUCACAACGAUGUGCCCAAAGUAAUGGGUUAUUAGUGCCGUUAUAAGUAGGUGGUGUAUUGCCUUUCGUAGCAGGAAUUGUUGAUCUGCUAGUUGUUUGGGCACUAUUUGACUCAGGUUUAUGGGUUGCUGAUUUUGUGGAGUCAAUUCCCAAUCUAGAUAAUUGUUCUUGGAUGACUUGGACAAUUCUUUCGAUGAGGCGUUGUUCCAUUUCUGCAAUUUUAGAGUGCAUUAGGGUUUCUGUAAUGGUAAGUUCUCGUUGUAAUCGAGAACUGAUCUUAUCGCCCAUUGUAUUAGGCUCACCACCCAAAUUGUUAUGAAUCUUUUGUGAAGGAUCGAUUCACAGGGCGAUAUAUAAAUCAACUCUUCAAAGGGAGACUGAAACCUUAGAGUUCAUUAAAGAGAGAACUUUGAUCUCUUUAGCUCUUCAAAGGGAGACUGAAACCUUAGAGUUCAUUAAAGAGAGAACUUUGAUCUCUUUAGCUCUUCAAAGGAGACUGAAACCUUAGAGUUCAAUGGAAGAGAGAACUCUAAUCUCCUGCUUUUUCUAAUAACUAUAACUUAACCUAAUCCUUAUGAAAUCAAUUAAAUACUUAAAUUAAAUUAUAUCAAUAGAAAGUCUAUUACUUAUGGAAGUAGGAGACCUCAAUCCUAUUCCAAACUAAUAACUAUAACUUAACCUAAUCCUUAUGAAGCUCUGAAACAUAAAACUUAUUCUAGAAUAAUAAAUAAAGCAACUAAAAAUAUAAUUAAAUACUUAAAUUAAUGACUUCCAACACAUCACUAACAUUACAACCCUCACGUUGAAAUAGCUUGUCCUCAAGCUCAACUUUUGGGGCAAUCAUCCAGAAAAUCUAGAUCAGUAUCAACUUAUUCAAUUCCAUCCCUAGCUUGAAGUUGACAUUGAUAAAUUUCGACUUUAUUAGUUUGUUGAAGCAUGACUAAUUUGCCUAUCAGGUUGCUACUUUCAAGAGGUCCAAGUCGUUGAUAUUCUUCCUAAUUCAUUGAGUCUUUCACUUGUUUAAGUUGACAAUACCAUAAUGGUGCUAGUCCAAACAUGUGAAAUCCAGCCACAUCAAUCUUUUUUGCUUUCGUUGUAUGUUGAUUUUUUUCAAAAGAAUGUUCACAACGAUGUGCCCAAAGUAAUGCGUUAUUGGCGCCGUUAUUGUCACGCCCCGAGCUACCCCCGAGACGCUAACACGGGACCUAGGACCACAAGUGAUCCCAAGCUAACCCUGCUGGCAUGAUCAUGAGCAUACUAAAAAUAAUAAACUGAUGCGGAAGCUAAAUCAUAAAUAAAUCUGAAAAGAUGGGGAAUACCCAUAUACUAUAACUGAAUAUAUUAAAUCUGAGAGUUUAAUAAAAAAGAAAUAUCAAACUCAAAAUACUAAGCUGAAUCUAACUAUGUCUGAAAUAAGCCUCUAAACUGACUAGAAAUGUUGGGACAUGCCCCAACUAGGUCAAGCAAAACUGAAACUAAAGACUAAAAGCGAUAAAGAUAAACAUGUCACUAGUCCUCGAAGAAUGAGGACUCACCACUGAUGCUGCUGAACUGAAGAUCGGGAAUCGAUCUAAGCGUGAUCUGGAUGCUGAGAACCUGAACCUACAUCACGAGAAGAUAUAGCGCACUUAUGCAUCAGUACUUGAAAGGUACUGAGNNNNNNNNNNNNNNNNNNNNNNNNNNNNNNNNNNNNNNNNNNNNNNNNNNNNNNNNNNNNNNNNNNNNNNNNNNNNNNNNNNNNNNNNNNNNNNNNNNNNNNNNNNNNNNNNNNNNNNNNNNNNNNNNNNNNNNNNNNNNNNNNNNNNNNNNNNNNNNNNNNNNNNNNNNNNNNNNNNNNNNNNNNNNNNNNNNNNNNNNNNNNNNNNNNNNNNNNNNNNNNNNNNNNNNNNNNNNNNNNNNNNNNNNNNNNNNNNNNNNNNNNNNNNNNNNNNNNNNNNNNNNNNNNNNNNNNNNNNNNNNNNNNNNNNNNNNNNNNNNNNNNNNNNNNNNNNNNNNNNNNNNNNNNNNNNNNNNNNNNNNNNNNNNNNNNNNNNNNNNNNNNNNNNNNNNNNNNNNNNNNNNNNNNNNNNNNNNNNNNNNNNNNNNNNNNNNNNNNNNNNNNNNNNNNNNNNNNNNNNNNNNNNNNNNNNNNNNNNNNNNNNNNNNNNNNNNNNNNNNNNNNNNNNNNNNNNNNNNNNNNNNNNNNNNNNNNNNNNNNNNNNNNNNNNNNNNNNNNNNNNNNNNNNNNNNNNNNNNNNNNNNNNNNNNNNNNNNNUGGAAUUGAUGGAACCUUGCUGCGUUCUUGAACUAGGGUUCUUAACUUCUCUUCUCCUUUUAGCAUUCUAAUUUUUCUAAGUUUGAUUAAUGAUUUGACUUAAGUAAGUUCUAGUUAUGUUUCUAGGCUUAAACUGACUAAAACCUCAUGAUUUAGGGUCUAAACGACGUAUCUUAGGGGUUAAACGAAAUAUGAAAAGACCAAAGGACCCCUGAAUUAAUUGCUGUCGGAGUGACUGACGGACGGGACUGACGGGCCGUCAUUCAAUCGGUCCGUCGAUUGGAGUCGUCGGUCGAGUCUGCCCGACAGGGCUUCACUAAAACGAGCAUAACUUUUCACUCGGAGGUUAGAUUUUAGGAUACUCAGCGGUGUUGGAAAGAGGAUUCAAUUAUCUAUCAUAUCAUAGGUCAUGGGACACACAAUUCUUUUUGUGCUAAAAGUUAUGACCAUCUGAAGUUGACCCAUCAACAAUUUUCAGCUAAUUGGUUGUUGACCCUCAUCUACGGUCAGACCUACGGACCGUGGAUCAAAUGACGGUCCAUGCUGGUUGACCGUAGUUUGUGUCAGAGGCUGGGUAAAAGAGGUCUAAAUCCACGGACACAGACCACGGACCGUGGGUCUGUCCGUGAGUCGGGACUUCGCCAAUUUUCUAAGCUGGGUCUGGGAGUGGCUUUAGUGGUGAACUACGGACCACCAGCACGGACGGUGGUCUGACUUACGGUCCGUGGAUGGCAACCGUGGGUUGCACCUGAAACUUCUCAAAAUCUUCAUUUUUGGUCUGUUUCGAAUACAGGGUGUUACAAUUAUAAGUAGGUGGUGUAUUGCCUUUUGUAGCAGGAAAUGUUGAUCUGCUAGUUUUCUGGGCACUAUUUGAACUCAGGUUUGUGGGUUGCUUGUUUUGUGGAGUCAAUUCUCAAUCUAGACAAUUGUUCUUGGAUGAUUUAGACAAUUCUUUCGAUGAGGCAUUGUUCAAUUGCUGCAAUUUUAGAGUGCAUUAGGGUUUCUGUAAUGGUAUGUUUUCCUUGAAAUCGAGAACUGAUCUCAUUGCCCAUUGUGUUAGGAUCAUCACCCAAAUUGUUAUGAAUCUUUAGUGAAGGAUCGAUACACAUGGCGAUAUAUAAAUCAGCUCUUCAUAGGGAGACUGAAACCUUAGAGUUUAUUAAAAGAGAGAACUUUGAUCUCUUCAAUUCUUGAAAGGGAGACUGAAACCUUAGAGUUCAAUGGAAGAGAGAGCUCUAAUCUCCUGUUUUUUGUUGAAAAAUGACUUCUCGAUUAAUUCAUCAGAAGCCCCUUUAAAUAGGAGUAAUAUUACAUCAAUAGGAAGUCGAAUACUUAUGGAAGUAGAAGACCUCAAUCCUAUUCCAAACUAAUAACUAUAACUUAACCUAAUCUUUAUGAAACUCUGAAACAUAAAACUUAUUAUAGAAUAAUAAAUAAAGCAACUAAAAAUAUAAUUAAAUACUUAAAUUAAUGACUUCCAACACAUCCUUAACAUUACUCCCCUCACUUUGAUAGAGCUUGUCCUCAAGCUCAACUUUCAGGGUAAUCACCUAGAAAAUCUGGAUCAGUAUCAACUUAUUCAAUUUCAGCCCUAGCUUGAAGUUCACAUUGAUAAAUUUUGACUUUAUCAGUUUGCUGAAACAUGACUAAUUUACCCAUUAGGUUGCUACUUUCAUGAGGUGCAAAUCGUUGAUAUUCUUCGAGGAAAUGGUCAAAAGCCCUCGCAAUCUAUAGCCGGAUUUCCAACUACACAUGCAUACUUUACGGAGGUCCUAUUACCCCCCUGAAUUUUAUAAAAUUGAAAUUAUUACCUCCCUAAAUGCUUACAUGGCAAAGUGAGUGUAUUUUUUACUCUCUUUGAGAGAGUGAGCAGCCAAAACAAUAUUAAAAUUUUGUUUUAAAUAUGUUAUUUCAUAAAUAUUUUUUAAAAAAAAGUUAAUUUCUUUCUUCUCCAUGGUAGCAUAUGCCAAAUCUCUCCACCUUUAUCAUCCCAAAAUCGCCGCGCCAUUACCGCCAUCUUCAUCGGAUUCAUUAUUGUAAAUUUCUAACAACUCUCAUAAAUUUUUGAAAAAGAACAAUCAAAUCCACCAUCUCCAAUCACCAAAAAAAUAUUUUGAAUCAAAUUUAAAAAAUCAAUCUAGGUUCAAAUGCAAUUGUAUCCUAAAAAAGAAAAAUUAUUUUUUACAUGUAGAUCUAAAUUCCUCAUGUGUUUUUUAGUUUGUUUUCUAGAUUCUUGACAAGCAAUUAUUUUCUCUUGAUUAUAAAAACUCCAUCACAUAGACUUAUAAAAUUAUGAAAAUACCCACAAACAUUAAUUAGACUAAUAGUGGUCUUGGUGGUGGUGUGAAUGUUCUCUUUUUCGAGCUUUAUUCUUUGAAAGAAAUGACGGGAGCUCUUUGAGUAGGUGGAGGAGCUAAUGGUGAAGGCGGAUAAAUAACAAAGUCAUAGAUGGAGAUGGUGGUGGCAACGAAAUUCUCAGACUAUGUCGACGGCGGCGACAUAUCCCUCCGGAGAAGACAAAAGAGACCCCUCAAUUUAACCCCCAAUAUUUUCUCCAAAUCAAAGUUCUCAAAAAAUAACUAGGGCUAAAAAAUGAAUGAAGAAGAAAGAUUGAAGAAGAAAGAGAAAAAAAAGCCUUUUAAAAAGAGAUCUACAGGUGAAAACACGUGUCAAGCGCGUGUGUUUCACCACAAGAAACAUAUCUGGGUAUGACGUUUUAAGGGGCUACUUAUUUCAUUUUAAAAUAAUUCAUGGAGGUAAUAGAACCCCGUGAAACAUGAGUGUGUAGUUGGAAAUCCGACUAUAUGAUGGGGAGGGUUUUGGCCAUUUUCUCAUAUUCUUCCUAACUCAUUGAGUCUUUCAUUCGUUUAAGUUGAUAAUACCAUAAUGGUGCUAGUCCGAACAUGUGAAAUCCAUCCACAUCAAUCUUUUUUGCUUUCGUUGUAUGCUGAUAUUUUUCAAAAAAAUGUUCACACCGAUGUGCCCGAAGUAAUGGGUUAUUAGUGCCAUUAUAAGUAGGUGGUGUAUUGCCUUUUGUAGCAGGAAUUGUUGAUCUGCUAGUUGUCUGGGCACUAUUUGACUCAGGUUUGUGGGUUGCUGGUUUUGUAGUGUCAAUUCCUAAUCUAGAUAAUUGUUCUUGGAUGACUUGGACAAUUUUUUCGAUGAGGCGUUGUUCCAUUGCUGCAAUUUUAGAGUGCAUUAGGGUUUCUGUAAUGGUAUGUCCUCCUUGAAAUUGAGAACUGAUCUCAUCGCCCAUUGUGUUAGGCUCAUCGCCCAAAUUGUUAUGAAUAUUUAGUGAAAAAUCGAUUCACAUGGUGAUAUAUAAAUCAGCUCUUUAAAGGGAGACUAAAACCUUAGAGUUCAUUAAAAAAGAGAGAACUUCGAUCUCUUCAGCUCUUCUAACGGAGAUUAAAACCUUAGAGUUCAAUGGAAGAGAGAACUCUAAUCUCCUGUUUUUUGCUGAAAAAUGACUUCCCGAUUUAUUCAUCAAAACCCCAUUUAAAUAGGAGUAUUAUUACAUCAAUAGGAAGUCUAAUACUUAUGGAAGUAGGAGAUUUCAAUCCUAUUCUAAGCUGAUAACUAUAACUUAACCUAAUCCAUAUGAAACUCUGAAAUAUAAAACCUAUUCUAGAAUAAUAAAUAAAGCAACUAAAAAUAUAAUUAAAUACUUAAAUUAAAGACUUCCAACGCAUCCCUAACUUUACUCCCCUCACGUUGAAAGAGCUUGUCCUCAAGCUCAACUUUUGGGGCAAUCAUCCAGAAAAUCUGGAUCAGUAUCAACUUAUUCAAUUCCACCCAUAGCUUCAAGUUGACAUUGAUAAAUUUCGACUUUAUCAGUUUGCUGAAGCAUGACUAAUUUGCCCAUCAAAUUGCUACUUUCAUGAGGUCCAAAUUGUUGAUAUUAUUUCCAACUCAUUGAGUCUUUCGCUCGUUUAUGUUGAUAAUCCCAUAAUGGUGCUAGUUCAAACAUGUGAAAUCCAGCCACACCAAUCUUUUUUGCUUUCGUUGUUUACAAAUUUAUUUUAAAAAAAAUAUUCACAACGUUGUACCUGAAGUAAUGGGUUAUUGGUGCCGUUACAAGUAGGUGGUGUAUUGCCUUUCGUAGCAGGAAUUAUUGAUCUGCUAGUUGUCUGGGCACUAUUUGACUCAGGUUUGUGAGUUUCUGAUUUUGUGGAGUCAAUUCCCAAUCUAGACAAUUGUUCUUGGAUGGCAUUAGGGUUUAUGUAAUGGUAUGUUCUCCUUGAAAUCGAGAACUGAUCUCAUCGCCCAUUGUGUUAGGCUCAUCACCCAAAUUGUUAUGAAUCUUUAUUGGAGGAUCGAUACACAGGGCGAUAUAUAAAUCAGCUCUUCAAAGGGAGACCGAAACCUUAGACUUCAUUAAAAGAGAGAAUUUCGAUCUCUUCAGCUCUUUAAAGUGAGACUGAAACCUUAUAGUUUAGUGGAAGAAAGAGCUCUAAUCUUCUGCUUUUUGCUGAAAAAUGACUUCCCGAUUUAUUCAUCAAAAUCCCCUUUAAAUAGGAGUAUUAUUACAUCUAUAGGAAGUCUAAUACUUAUGGAAGUAGGAGACCUCAAUCUUAUUCCAAACUAAUAACUAUAACUUAACAUAAUCCUUAUGAAACUCUGAAACAUAAAACCUAUUCUAGAAUAAUAAAUAAAGCAAGUAAAAAUAUAAUUCAAUACUUAAAUUAAUGACUUCCAACGCAUCCCUAACAGAAACACACCUAGAUGGAAGAAUUAAUUGGUUCUGAAUGAAUUAAAGAAAGAGGGAAUGCUCAUAUACCACUUAGCUUUCACUUCACUCUUUUUUAUCAAUCCAACAAAUUUAUAAUAGAGAAGCAACGUCAACUGAGUUGUUUCUUGAUAUACAUCUUUGGCUUCAAACAAAUCCGCAUUUGAUGUGCAACAACUAAUACUCUAAAGGUUUGGAAAAAUAUGUUUUUCUAGGAGACUAGAUGCUUUCAGCCUUCUUGUAGUUCUUUACUUUUGAGUUCUACAGUUGCAAGAUAAUGAGAAAUGCAUCUUUUUCAUUGUAAAGUACUCCAGCUUGCCAAGGAUUUUGUACUUUAAAAUCAAAUGGCUACUUCUACAAUACAACCAAGAAAUUAAAGAAACUAACAGGAAAUAAAAAGAAACUAAUCGGUUAUUUCUUAACAUGACACUUGUUGCUUGGAACGUUGAAAGAUUUUGUAAUGUGAUGUGUUUAAAUUACGUUAGUUUUCUUUGCUUUCUUCUUUUUUCUAUUGGGUCUUAGAGAAAUAUAUAUCUGUCUCAUUUGUUUGCUUUGAUUAGUUCUCCUCACGAAUGGAUCACUAAGAGUAAUUUUAAUUUUGGAUUUGAUUUCAAUUCAGAAAAUGGAAAUUUCAGAUGAAGAAAUUGCUUUUAGCGUCACUUCACACCUUUCCACUCCUCGAUUCUCUCCGGAUAUACCACAAGCAGCUAACCCUUUUGUCUCGGAAGGACUUGUCACUAAGUUGUAUUCUGUAGAGAGCAGGAUUUCAACAUUGCAAAACAUGUUGAUUGAUUUAAACAAAAGAAUGGAGGAUCAAUCCAAGUCAGUGUAUGAAAGUUUGAACCUGUUUUUGGUUGGUGGGGCUGCUUCUUAUUUUACUCAGAGGAAACUAACUUGCAGCGAGGGAGUAAAAAUAUUAGUAUUGACACUUUUGGCUUCUAUUUUCAACAUAUGUCGUGUUAAGAAAUUGGUAACAACAAACCUCUCUAGUUUGAAAAGGUUGAAUGCUUCUCACUUGAGGACUUAUGGACAUUUAGUUAGUGAGGCUAUAGUUUUAAGGGAAUUGGAACAAGCAAAUGCUGAUGCCGUAGAUGGGGUUGAGAAUUUGAUUUUGGAGGGGAGUAUAAGGAGGACUCAAUUUUUCCAACGGAUAGAGGACAUUGUUGAUACACAUAGUGCAGAUAUUUUUGUUCCAAAAAGCGACAGAGUUGAAAAAAUAUUGUUUGGUGCGACAAUACUCAGCCACAUUCUUGCAUUAAUCUUUCUUACUCUAGUGUUGCAAUGUGGUAAGUUUUUUAUAUCUAAUGUUUUUCAUAUCAUAUUUUUUUAGUUAAGAUUAUUCUAUUCUAACUCUUAAUUUGUUUUUGUUCAGGUGUUAUUUGAUUGCAGUUUGGAUAGUUUUUUGCUCAAGAGUUUUCAAUUGCAGUUUGUAUAUAGAAGUUUUGAAAGAAAUCCAACAUUUAUCGUCAUCAGCAUCAUAAACUAGAGUAAUUUGAUAUCAUGAUGGUUUAGUUUUAUUUGUAAAAAUUGCUUAAGAGGAUUAUGUUUAUAACCAUGCUAGAUUCUUCAAUGGUGUCACAACUGACUUCACUUGCAAGUAAUUCCUGAGACAAUAUUCUCCCUUUUCUCUUCCCUGACCACUCAUCUUAUAGCCACCAAAAAGAAUUGUAGCAUUAAAUGUAUCCAAGCAAUUAAUCCAUACCAUUCCAACUCUCACGGCUCGUGCCAAGGUGUUUGCAGUGUCAAUGUUUUGUGAAAAUACUCCAGCAGCUAGACCAUACCGAGUGUUGACACCCAAUUUUGACCCGCCACGAUAGAAAUUAACUUUUGAGCUUCUUAAUUUUUAAACAAUUUGAAAUAAUUGGUUUUAUGAAAAAAUCAAAAUGUUUCUCAAGUUUUAAAAUGAUGUUACUUAUUUAUAUAAUAUCUUAAAUAAUUAAGGUGUUUUAUAUAGGUACAUAUAUCCGAUUAGCAUAUUUCGUAAAUAGUUGAAAUCGUCGCAAAAAGAUUUUUACACCUUUUUAGGUUAAGUAUUUUAUUAAUUUAGUUUAGUCUUAAUUAUAGUUAUAAUUUUAAGACGAUUAGUUUAAUUAGAUUAUGAUUAAGUCAAUUAUUUUAUAUCGUUAAGAUUAAAGAAACUCAUUAAUUAAUUUCUAUUAAUUCGUCUUGUUAGUUUUGGCCGAAUUACCAACUAAACUGAUUCGGCUAAAUAUUUAAUUCAAUUUGGCUACAAUUUCAACUCAAUUUGAUUACGAUGGUAAUUCAAUAGUUAUUUCACGAUUUGCAAAGAUAGUCAUUCCUAGCUUAAGUUCCAAUUCCUUGAGACUUGAAAUUGGGCCAGAUUUCCAGCCCAUUUUAGUGCAAUUUUCCAGCCACUUUUCCCACCCUUAAUUCCUAACCCAUCAGCCCACAAAACAAGAAAAACAAAUUCCUAACCCAUUACGUACAACAACAAUACAAUACAAACGGGAAUCCAACGUUCCCAAUUUGUUUUUCUUUCUUCCUUCAAUGCGUCAAACAACAACUAUACACAACAGCUUCCAACGUCAAUAGACGGAAACCACAUAGCAACUUCACACCUUGGGCGCGUGCGGAUUACAAUUCUCGUCUUCUUCCUCACAUCCCUUUCCUUUUUACUGUCGCAGCAGCAAAAGCAAGCCGCGUCUCAGUCCUUAGGGCUGUGGGAUCGAUCCAUAUCGCACCCAAGGACGAGUGCCUCAAUCUCACCAGUCCGUCCCCCUUUCUUCUUUUGGAAUGGGGCGAAUUUUCAGAGAAAAAGUGUCGCCCUAAAAUGGUGCAAGAUUUUGAAAUUUGAUUUAAUGGGCCUUGUUCUCAUCUGGAAAACUCCCGCCUGAUCCCCAUCUUUUCUGCCCUAAUUCCAUUCCAUAUAUACUCUCCCUUUGUUCAUUGUAAAGGGGUGGAAGAGAAAAAAUUGGAAAAUAGUUGAAAAAUUGGGAGUCAAGAAAAAGCAAAAGAUACAUAGAUUUUUUAAAGAAAAUACAGACUUAAGAAAUCAAGUGUUAUAGAGUGUAUUCAGGCGCCGAUCUCUUUUUCCGAGACAUUAUUGCUGCUCGUCGGAGCUCUCGGAGUUUGUGUGUGGUGUUGGAAGAAGCUCGUUGUCUCCUUUGCUUGUUUCUUGUCCCAAAUCGCUGCCUCGAACAAGGUAAACGACUCAUAAUCCUUUGUCUGUUUUGAGGUCAUUGUUUGGUUUGAUGUGUAGCUCUUCGUGAAUUCUUGAGCUUAAGCAAUAUGUUCAGUUUGAUGUUAUUCCUUUCACCUUAUUCCUUGAAAUGAGUGAUAUGUGUCCGUUUUUUUUUAAGAUGAUUGAAUGAUUGUUUGAGCUCAUGUAUUUGUCUGUGCUCUUCUUAAACUCGCGGCUAUUAUGCUCGUCUUAAGUUCGUGUUGCUUCUUCAUUAUUUGUUCUUCUCUAUUUGUGCUCAUGCACAUGUUAUGAUAAGUGUUCUGAGCGUAUCAAAGAUUACCCCAUUGCUUUUUUUUUUCUUUCAUUUUCUGAAGCUUGCCGUAAUUAGUUUUCAUCCAUAUCGGUAUGUAUAUAGAUUCGUGUCAAAGUGUUAGAGUUUUCUUGUGAUAAUAAAUUUCUUUUUCGAUAUAGGACUCACGUUCCGAUUCUUUCAUAUCUCUGCCUAUUUUAUAUGUUUUCCACUAUGAGAUGUUUUCCAUGUUUAGUUAAAAGGUGUAGUCUAUGCUCACUGCUUCGUUAUUUAAGAACCAGACAUUGUUAGCCAGUGAUUUUGUUUAUUUUCUCCUCCUAUUUUUUUUGAAUAUGUUGAGCAUGUCAUAUACUUUAUUCGUUUACUGUAACAAUUCUAGGUCAUUUUCUUUUUUUUAGACUUGGUUUAAAACACUUUAGUACUAAAUCUGCUUUAGAAAAUGACAAAUCGUUAUAUUAAGAUCAUUUAUUGUGAGUAUCUUGUUGUCUCAAGUUGUUGACAUAGGCUUGGCCUUGGGUUGCGUUUUCGAUUCGGUUUAUUAACUUAUAUUGCCAUAGAGGGUAUUGCUUUCAAUUUGGGUCAAGAUUGCUACUUGCUAUCAAGUAUUUGUUUCCUUUAAAUGGUCUUUUUUUCUUUAAUUGAUUGGAAGUCGUUUAACUUAAUUUUUUCGGCAAUUCAUCUAUGUCCAAUUCCUUAGAAAUUUUAUCUUUGAUCAAUUAGUUCAUACUAUGAAAGCAUGACUAUAGGUCAUUGUUAAGUUGUUUUAUUGCUAUACCAUUAGCACGUUUGGUUUUUUCCUUAUUGAUGCUCAUAGUAUAGUCUAUUCUUGUUUUCUUCCCCUUUGAAUGGCCCCCUAAUUUUAUUUGUUCAAGUAAGUAUGUUUAUUACUGUUGGGUGUUGAAAGAGGUCCAAAUUAUUGGAAUUUUGCUUAAUCCAUUUUUAGCAUCUCAUUUAUGCCGCGAAAGGUUUCGGCUAAUUGGUUUUGAGUUAUUCGUUUUAAGCAAGUAUGCAAUAAGGUUGUGAUUAAUUGUCAAGUUGUGUCAUAGUUAUGACAUCAGUGUGUGUUUGAUUUCUUUGUUGACUAAGUUUUAUUUUAAAAUUCCUUUGUUAUAAAUGUGAAUGCUAAUUUGUAUUAUCCUUUGUUUGCAUAUGAAAUCUCCCUGAAUCCUCACGGAUUACAUCUCUUCUCCUCGCAUUUUUCAAUUGGGCCAUUAUGGCCUAAUAUUCAUGUUCCUCGAGUCGGCCAGCAGGAAGUUGAAAAAUACAGGUUUUCGGAGGAUAAACCAAGCUGGACUUUGAAUUUUUCAUCUCCGAAAAGCUCGAAAAGCAGCUGGUAUAUAGUGAUAUACACACCGUAUACGCCGACAAAAAAGUUAAAAAAUACAAAUACAGGUUUUGAAGUGCAAAGACGAGGCCCAAAGGUGGCCAACAAUGAUUUCUAAUUGAAAUGGCCUAAAUUCCAUUGUUUUGGGGGUAAACUUUAGUUUUAAGGCAGGUGGACCAAAGUCCAGACGAAUUCGAAUUUGAGCCAAAAGCCCAAAUUUUAUAUCUCUUCCCUUUUGCUCUUAUUUAUUUGCUUGUUAUGUCGACUAACAUUUAUUUGUGAAUUGAUUUUAACUUAAUUAAAUUCCCGAAGAUAACCAUUUCCUUUCAUAUAUACAUAUAUAUCCAUAUUGAAAUAUUUACAUACUUAGCUUUACUUUUAUGUUUCGUCUUAUUACAUGCUAUUCCCCUUUAGAAAAUUCCCCUCUAGUUCAUUUCCCCUUGGAUAAAUAAAAUGAUAAAAAUAAUAAUAGUAAUAAAUAAGUAGGUUAAAAUAAAUGAGUUUUUACUUAGUUAAAAUUUCCAAAAUAAGUUAAAAUAAAUGAGUUCUUUUAUUUAGUUAAAUCUCAAAAAAAAAAAAAUAGUUAAAAUAAUUGAGUUCUUUUAUUUAGUUAAAAUUUCAAAAAUUAGUUAAAAUAAAUGGGUUCUUUUACUUCGUUAAAAUUUCAAAAUUAGUCAAAGUCGUUAUGAGUUCUUUUACUUAGUUAAAAUUUCAAAAUUAGUCAAAAUCAUUUAUAGUCAAAUCGCCGGUCAACCGCAAGUUAGCGGGCAUUCCGAGGGUCUAACACCUUCUCGGAAUGUAUAUUGAACUUCGAACCCUUUUAUUUUCAAUUGAUUUUAUCUGUUUAAAUCUUUUGAAAACAUUAAGUUUUUUUCUUGAUUUUUAAUAAAAAAUUAAGUGGCGACUCUGUUCUUUUGGAAAUUCGAUUCUUCUUAAAUCAUAAGUUUGAUCGAUUUUUCGAAAACUCAGUCAUUUUUCUUUUAUUUAUAUUUUCUAGUAAAACACCGAGAACUAUUAUCUCUCUGUACCACUUCAUCAAGAUCCUUGUAAUGAACAAGCGCAUACCAUAAAUAAAAGUCGAUAAUAAAGCUCCACGUACUGUCAACAUAUAUAUUUGAUCGUUCUCACAUACUUAAAUUUUAAGAUGGACUGUACUGGACCAAAAAUCUCAUCCUGUGCAAUCAGCAUCAUCCUAACAAUUGAACAUUUUAUUUGUUAUGACAAUUUAUGGACGUUGAUGCUAAAAAUCACGUCUAUUAAAGUGAAAAUGUAUAUACCUUAACAUUAGAUAAGACAGUGGGAUUAAUAUAGUAGCCCUUUUUUGUAACACCCCAGAAACUAGGAAGUUGAACUAGUGAGUUCUAGAGUCUUGUAGUGGAGUUUUGGAGUGUCGUAUGAGGGUUAAAACUCAUAGAAACGAUUCAGGUUCUUAGAAUGACAUGUGUUGACACCCAAUUUUGGAUCUCCACAAUAUAUAUUAAUCACCAAGCUUCUUAAAUUCUAAACGAUUUGAAAUAAUUAGUUUUUAUAAAGUUCAAAAUAUUUUUUUUCAAGUUACUUUUAAUCAAUUUUAUCUUUUUAUAAUUUUUAGAUAAUAUAUAUGUUUUGCAUAAUUAUGUGUAUAAUUAGUAUAUUUUAUGAAUAUUCGAAAAUCGCCUCAAUUUUUUUUUUAGUUUUACUUUAAAUAGUUGGUUAAUUGGUUUAGUUAAUUAAUACUUAUAUUUUUGAGUUAUUAGUUUAUAAUUAAGUUAAUUAUUUUAUUUCGUUAAGAUUAAGAAGCUAACUAAUUAAUCAUAUUAAUUUAUCUUAUUUAAUUAUUAGUUUGGUUACUAAAUUUGAUCAAUGUGGCUAUAAUUGAAAUUCAUAUGGCUAUUGUGUAAUUGCAAUUUCAACCAUUCUUUUACCUCCAUUCAAUCCUUUGUAAAAUAAUUUGGGCCAUUUUGCUAACAUCCCAAAAGUCAGAUUAGCUAACCCCAUUCCCAGCCCACAUUACUACACAACAAUUCUAAAAUAACCCAGGCCCAAGACUAAUACAAUACCAGCAGCCCACCAUUCCAGCAAUACAUAAGUUACAACAACAACGUACAACAAUACCAAAUCGACCCACCCCCUAUACAUUUUCUUCUUCUUCCAGCAAAACAGCGACCAAACCCAGAACCUCAAAUCGCGACCCUAAGCCAUCACAAAAUCAUUACAGUUGGAAUAUUAUCGAGUCAUCCACCUCGUUACAGUUGGAAUAUUAUCGAGCCAUCCACCUCGUUACAAUUGGAAUAUUAUCGAGUCAUCCACCUCAUUACAAUUGGAUUAUUAUUAAGCCAUAUGGCUCGUUGCAGAGAUCAUCAUUGUUUGCCAUGCACAAAGCAAGCAAUGACAUCUCCAAAUCCUUAACAAAUCAUGAGUUGUAAUGCGCAUACGGUUUUCAAGAAAACAUCAUCUGUAUUUUUCAAGGGAGAAUUUUCUCCAUGCAUCGCAAGAAAAUCAACAUCGGCUGCAUUAUUUUCAUUGCAAGAACAACAUCAAGAGAAUCAUCAACAACGAUAUCAAGAGAACUAUCAGUAUAUUACAUCAACCUAUUUUAUUACUUUGACAUCAAAAGAAAAGUACAUGGAAGAUUAUAUUACAAAUAUGAAAUACGAGCUUUAUUUGGUUUACGUCAAACUGGAGGAAGCUGACGUCAAAUAUCCAAGGAGAGCAAUUAGUGACAAUAUGGUAAAAGGCACUAUCUCUUAUUUGAAUUACAUUUUUAUGCAAAUGAGUUUUAUCUCAGUAUUUAUCGAAAGCAUCCGCAAGGAUAAAUUCUCAAAACAAACCACAGGUGCGGACAAUAUCAAAAAGGAUGCAACACAACGUGUAACUUUUUCUUAGCAGCGAAUUGGGACAUAGUCCAAAGAGGAGUAUCAAACUCGUAGGACGCGAGCUGAGGAACGACUUCCACCACAAUCAAACCACACCACCAUCAAAAGGCAUGUGGGCAUUUCCUUGGGUUUAUCAGUUUCAAUUUCGCAUCCGAAAAACUUUCCACUCUCACCGGAGGCAGCUUUCCAAUCUGAGUGACAAUGUACCAAGAGCUUUGGAAAUUAUGUCCAUGUAAGUUCUUAAUUAUGGGUGUGAAGUGCGCCACAUUCAUGGCUAAGAGGUUGUAAGCCUCUUUUUCAUACUUGACUUACUUGUCACUCUUCCAAAAGUGAAGGUUAUCUAGCAUAAUAGAUUUCAUUUUCAACCGAUCGAGUCGAUCUACAAAUAGCCUGAUUCCUAAGGUUUAAGGAUAUGUAUGUUGACACCUAAUUUUGACUCUCACCGAUAAGAUUAAUUUUCAAGCUUCUUAAUUUUCAAUGAUUUGGAAUAAUUAGUUUUACAAAACUCAAAAAAAUAAAUAAAUUAUUUUCUAAGUUUUAAAGCAAUUUUAGUCAUUUUUAUAAUUUUAAAACAAUAUAAUAUUUUUAUAUAAAUUUUGUAUGUAAUUGUUACAUUUCUUACGAGCAUUCAAAAAUCAUUUAAAAAUAAAAUAAAAUUUACUUUUUAAAAAUGUUUUGAUAAUUAGCUCACUUAAUAUUAGUUUACAUUCCCGAAUCAGUUAUUUUUAUCUCGUUAAGAUUGAGAAGCUCAUAAAUCAAUUGUAUUAAUUCAUCUUAUUUGACUACUAGCCGAGUCUAUCCUAAUUAACUAAGGCGGUUAUAUUUAAAAUUUUCAAUUUGCUAUGAUUUAGACUCAUAUGGCCGAACUUUAAAUCCAACUCUAUCAUAUUCAAUUUAAAAGACCAAAUAUUGGACCCCUUUUUAUAUUCCCAUUUAAUCCCAACCCAAGUUCCCCUUUAUUCCCAGCAGCCCACCAAAUAAAAUCCAACCCAACUCUUUUCUCUUUUGUUUUCAGAUCACCCAGCCCACUCCAACUCCUUAACCCGACUUGACCCGACCCAUUUCCCCUAUUCCCAUUCACAAAAAAUAUCCAGAGAGUUGUACACGUUAACAGCAACAAGAACAACUUCAAAUGCUCACAUGGACCGAUAGAGUCAUUAAGGCUCGAUAGUAGCAGCGAAGCACGCGUCUACCCUCCUUUCCUCUUCCGGAAAGAGUCAAAAUUACAGGAAAAAGGGUGUUUACCCUUAAAAUGGUAGAAAUAAUUUUUGAGUUUGAAAUUCAAGUUGGCCUUAAUUCCAUCCGGAUUCCCCUCAAAAUCUACCAUAAUUUCCUCUAAAUAACAUCUUUUCCAUUCAUUUGUAAGGGGGUCGUCGAAUUUUUUCCUAGAACAAAAAAAAAAACAACCUAAACAGCUAGAGCAAAAAUAGUCGAAAUACACACUAAAUAAAUUAAGAGAGUAGAGAAGAUAUUCGGUCCUAAUCUAAAGUUCUCUAUUCUAAUUCGUUGCCAGUGCUUUCGCAAAGCUCAGUUGAGGUUGAGUUUUCGCUUGAGUCCACUGUGUUUUCCUUGUUCGUGCCGCGCAUUUGCGUGAAAGACGCUGCUCCCUACUCGUUCCCGUCUCUGUUUCGCUGCCUCGAAAAAGGUAUACGGCUUGCCUCUUCUCACAGUCUAUGUCCUAAUUUGGAUUUGUAUUUGUUUGUUUAGUUAGUUACGUUGUUCUGGGUUUGACCAUUUUGAUGUGAAGUGUUGCUUCAUGUUCAUGCAGUAUUAAUUACAUUUAGCUGUUCUCAUGAUGAAAUUAGGCAGAAUCGAUGUCGAUUUUUUAGUCAUAAAAUUUUGUCUACAUAAUCUUGAAUAUUGCACCCUCAUCGCUUACUCAGUUCACUCUUUCGUUGUUUAUCAUGCUUGUCACCCGCUUGGAUGCUCAUUAUUACAAUUGGUUCCUAUUGUUGUAAACAUAAUUUCAUGUUUAUACCACUGAUUCACAGAAAUAUUAGAAGUACUCCUCAAGCAUGCGAUUAGCUCAAAUCCUCUGUGUCUUAUCACCUAUAUGUCUUAUUAGCAUUUUCUUUUGUCCUAAUGCUCAUAUUUGCAAGUCAAGUCGGUAUAAAAUCCGAGCUUUCUUGUUUUAUUUUCUGUUUUAGUUUUAUUGGAGUUAUAGUGUUCAAGGUCAUUUGAAGUGUGAUUUUGUUGGUGUUGACUUCUCGUUGUAUGUCUUGCCGAAUACUCGGCCCCCCUAUGUAUUCCCUUGGUUUUGAUGUAUCGUGUUUAUAGCUUCCGUUUUGAAGCAAAUAAGGUCCAUUUAUGUUUGAUGGCUUUCUAGUAAUGUGUAAAACCGAGAUCCCGUAAACCAUUGUGUGAAGUUGUGUUGUUGUUAAGUUUAUUUAUUUCUUCUAGUCGGAUGUAGAUUCUUGUCUAAUCUAUUUCUUGCCUCACUGUAGGUUAUUAAGUAUUCAAUUAAUAAUAGCAAAUAGCUCAUAUGGGUUUGAAUAUUCCGUACAUUUUAUUAUAUUUCAAACAUGCUAUAUUAUGGGAUGUUAUUUGAUAUACCUUGCUAAUAUUUGUCUAAAUAUUUCCUUUAGAAUGAUUAGAUGUGAGGUGUCUUUCUAGUAUGAUAGAUAGGGGUACUACUUUAUUGUUUAAUUUUAAAAAAAAUGUGGUUUCCUCUUGCCAAAUGUGUGCUUUCCUUUCAUUUUUGAAUCUUGUGUUUAUUUGAAAAUUUGUCAAAGUUCAUUGGGAGUGGCUUUUUCUUUCGUUUUGAGUUGUCUAGUUUGCUUUGCUAUGAAUUAAAAUCAUAUUUCUUAUUUCCUUAUCUCAUAUGCUAAUGUUGUCUUUUCUUUCGUAUGUUGGAUUGUCUCCGAGUCCUCUUGGACCCCAACCUUUUCCCCCAUAUUUCGGAUAGGCCAUAAAGGCCCAAUUACAUUUUUUUCGAUCGAGUCAACCCCCAUUUCCGAGUGAGAGAAAUUGAUGAACAGGUGGAAAGCAAUAUAGGUGGCUGGAAAUUUAAUUUGCAGGCCUCAAAAGCCCAAAAGAGGGCAGUAUACACGAUGUAUACACAAGUAUACAUAGAAAGAACAGCGCCUUUAUACACUGAUAUACGAGUCCAGUUCAACAAAUACGGUUAUAAAAAAAGAAAUACAGGUUGCAGGGGACAAAAUAUAUUGUAUACAUUUGGUAUAUGGUUCAAGAUACAGGAAACGGGGUUGAUAUACAAGUCGUAUGCACUGAUAUACGGCUUUCGUAUACAAAAACGUGAAUUGGUUAAAAGUCCUAAGAAUCAGCAGCUUUGGCCCAAUGCUUCUGGGCAGUAAUAGGCCCAAAUUCAAUUAUUUCCUUUCCCUUUCCUAUUUAUUUGAUAUCGUAUUUGACUAACGCUUUGAUUAUCUUAUGGUUUAAUUAAAUUAAAUUCCUCAAGAUAGCCAUUUCAUUUAUAUGUAUAUGUAAAUUAAAGCUAUUUUUGUUUUAUACUUAGCUUUAAUUUUAUUUGUCUUGUUACUUAAGUUAUUUCCCCUUUUGAAAAUUCCCAUUUAGUUCAUACCCCCUUAAAAUAAAUAAAGUGAUAAAAAUAAUAAUAGUAAUAAAUAAGUAGGUUAAAAUAAAUGAGUUUUUACUUAGUUAAAAUUUCCAAAAUUAGUUAAAAUAGAGUUCUUUUAUUUAGUUAAAAUUUCAAAAUUAGUUAAAAUAAAUGAGUUUUUACUUAGUUAAAAUUUCCAAAAUUAGUUAAAAUAGAGUUCUUUUAUUUAGUUAAAAUUUCAAAAUUAGUUAAAAUAAAUGAGUUUUUACUUAGUUAAAAUUUCCAAAAUUAGUUAAAAUAGAGUUCUUUUAUUUAGUUAAAAUUUCAAAAUUAGUUAAAAUAAAUGAGUUUUUACUUAGUUAAAAUUUCCAAAAUUAGUUAAAAUAAACGAGUUCUUUUAUUUAGUUGAAAUUUCAAAUAUUAGUUAAAAUAAAUGAGUUAUUUUACCUAGUUAAAAUUUGAAAAUUAGUCAAAGUCGAUAUGAGUUUUUUUACUUAGUUAAAAUUUCAAAAUUAGUCAAAAUCAUUUUGGUCAAAUCGCCGGUCAACCGCGAGUUAGUGGGCAUUCCGAGGGCCUAACACCAUCUCGGAAUGUACAUUGAACUUUGAACCCUUUUAUUUUCAAUGGAUUUUAUCUGUUUAAAUCUUUUGAAAACCUUUAGUUUUUUCUUGAUUUUUCACUAAAAAUUAAGUGGCGACUCUGUUCUUUUGGAAAUUCAAUUUUUCUUAAACUAUAAGUUUAAUCGAUUUUUCUAAAACUCAGCCAUUUUCUUUGAAUAUACCUUUUUUAAGUAAAACAAGAAUGACGACUCCGCUGGGGAUUUAGUUAAGUUCUAACCAUAAGAUUUGACUUAUUUGACUAAUUGUAUUAAUUGCUAAAUUGUUUAUCUGCUCUCAACGUGUUUAAUUUGUUAUAACUGUCAUUGCAAUUCAUGGUAUAUUCCAUCGUAUGUAUAGUAUAUUAAGGACGAUUUCUGCAUCAUCGCAGCCGAACUUCUUAUACUAAACCCUUUUUCGGAAGGAUCGGCGAUUUAUUGAUAUGUCAUGCGUCCAAUGGUUGUCGUGAAUUCUAGCCUAAGUUGUUCACUUCGGUUCCCGAUCUUUCAAAGCCACUCUUAGUCAACUAGCGUAGAGCGAAACCAAAUCCCUGAUUUAGCAAAUUUUGAACUAAGUCGACCCAACACUCAAGGCGUGUUGGGCUCAUUAGAAGUCCAUCUUGUGUCUAUUUGGCCCAUUUGCCAAUAAAAAGACAAUCAUACUUAUGUGUUUUAAUUGAAGGUUGUAUAUGUCAUUUUUAAACAAAUCAAUUAUCAAGUGGGGGUGGGGGUUAACUUACAUUUGUUUGUUUUUCUUGUAGAAUGAAUCCGACGUUUGAGCCGUUGAAAAGCCGAAUGGUGACUAUACCUGAUCCUUACCUCCAAGUUUGGUUGAAAUUCAUGAACAAGGAAGAUAAGAAGAAAAUUCAAAGACACAUAGGCCAUCUCCCGUCAUUAAUGGAAAUGGUGGCUUACCCCAACUUGAUUGGAACGAUGGUGAAAUUUUGGGACAGCAACAACAUGGUAUUUCGGUUUGGGGAAGUAGAGUUGACCCCGAUAAUAGAUGAAGUUCUUGCAAGUUACGAGAGUAUCGGCAUGUGCAACAAGAGGAAACACCAACCCGAUUUUGAUCUUCUCUUUCCAAAAGUAUGGGAUUUUACCGAAAUCAAAGAAAAUAUGUCACUCGUCAAAGCUGAAAGGAUGGACAGGCUUCCCGGGCCAAAUAUUCCACUUCGAAAGUUGUAUUAUCGAUUUGGACGUGCAAGAGCUUACGAGAAGUUCAAAGAAGAGUUUGUUUCGGAAGAAAGAUGGAAGGAAACACGCCCCUUCGCUUUUGCGAUAUGUCUACUUGGGACAAUGGUAUUUCCCCAAAGACCAAACUACACCAUCCAUCCAAGUGUAGUAAUGGUUACUCAUGCUAUUUUUAGUGGAGUAGGCUAUGGGCCUGUAAGAAAGUACUACAAUUUGGUUCCUAUGAUCCUUGCUGACAUUUACAGGGCGUUGGAUAUGUGUAAAAAUGGCACAUGUUUCUUUCAAAGGUGCAACCUGAUACUUCAAUGGUGGAUGAUGAGACACUUGAUCAAAGCUCAUGAUCCAACAGAACCAGAUCCCUUGGAAAGACCAAACAGGCUCGAAAGUCACGAUUGGUGGGUGCAACGUAAUCAUUUCAAUAGGACGGGAGGCAAAGAAUUUUGGUACCCGAGACUUCAGGGUUUGAGAGAGGAAAAUGUGCAGUGGUCGAUCCAAUGCUUAGUAGUAACUAAACAAAUUGUGAUCCGAAGCGAAAAGGCCCACUACUUGAUAUUUGCUGGGUUGAGAGGAACUCGGCCAUAUGCUCUUUCUCGAGUACUUAGACAGCUAGGAGGGAAACAAGAGCUUCCUCAGAUAGAAGACAUGACAAGAUUUGUGACGGAUCAUGAAAAUGGCGAAGUCGCUUUUACUAAAAAGAUGCUUCAAUUAUGGAAGACUCGAAGGAUAUUGGGUGAGCCGGUGCCAAAUAGGAUUCGUUCGAAAUGUUCUAAGGAUUACAAAGAAUGGUUAAAGAAGAGUCUCGCCGGAAUUAUCGAACCCGGUCUAAACGUUCCCCAUAUUAUUGCAGAUAUUGGAGCCAAGCAUCAAAUCCGACUUCAUCAACUCCAAGAGAAGUUUGAUAGGAAUGAGUUAGAGCAUCAACGUCGACACUCAGAAGACGCCAAAGUCAUAGCUCAGUUGAAGCAAGAGCUACAAAAAUCCAAGCAAUGUAUGUCAUAAUUAUAUGAUAGCAUGGAGUAGCAGAUUCAGUCGGUCGAGAGGUUCAGACAUCAAGAAGGGGCUCGGUUGGCAAGGGAUCACCUAUGGGCGAACAAAUAUGCUAUGUGGGAAGAGGUCAGCAUAGCCAAGAGGAGCAGACUUGGGGAAAGAUCAGGAUGAGCUUGGAGUUUGUAAUCAUCCCCUGCGUGGGAUUGCUUUAUUUGUACUUUGUCUUGUAAUUUAUUUUCCGAACUCUUUUCCCCGAUUUUUAUGUUUGUCAAACUAUUUUUUGAAUUGCUAUUAAUGAAAUAUUUUGGGGAUAAUGAAUUGGCUUAAAAAGACAUAUAUAUCCUUCAAUUCGCUAAGCCUACCCUUGGCACAAAAGGGUCACAUACAUGUUUAGGACGCGAUAUUUGUCUGUUUACUUGUGUGCUUUAACUGUUUAUGUGACAAGUUGCUUUGAAUGAGGGCAUUUUUAGCCCACUCCUUGUCAAAAUUUUCUGAAAAUGCCAAAUACAAGUCACUACCAAAAUGUCCGACCAAACUUCCACGAGUCUUGAGUUUCUCAGCCACAAAUAAAAUCUUACUACCAAAUCAUUAAAUGUUACUCUAUCAUCUCAGGAAAGGUGAAAUUGCUGCUAAGAUGGAAAAGGGCAAGAAUGUCGAAGUGAAAACGACUGAGGAGAGUCUAAGGAUGAAACUGCGUCGACUCAAACAAGAGAUUCGAGAGAUGGGAGAAAGAAGAAUAGAAGUAGAAUUAUCCACCGCAGUUGCGCAAGCCAAAAGCGCAGCACUGGACACAGAGUUAGCGGCUAAGAUGGCAAGAUAUGCUGUGAUGAACGAGGAGACAGUUGCUAUGCGGAAGGAACAUGCUGCCUUCAACAAUGAUAUAACCAUGAGACUUCAAAAACUACAUGGAAAAUACCAUUUCUUCAACCAAGAGGCCACCAACAGUGAUCCUAAAGGCACUGGACCUGAAUCUGUUGAAGAGGAACUUGAGGAGGAAAUUGUCUAUAGACCUCCUUUCAAGGGACGGUGGAAAGAAGAGAAUGAGGAAACAGCCCCCGAAGCAUAUGAGUUUACCCCCCGUGGCUAAAGUGAAUGAGGAAACCGCCCCCGAAGCAUAUGAGUUUACCCCCCGUGGCUAAUACGACAGUCAGAAGAAGAGGUUUUGAUGAAGGCACUAUCUAUCUUUUAGGAGCUUUAUUGCAUGUUUUCCUUUCACUUUCCUUGUAAUCAAUCAAAUGAAUGGACGAAAAUGAAAAUUUCCUUUUUAUUCGAACUACGUAGGCAGCCUUUCAAGGCUCGGCCCCUAUCCUUUUCAAAUUUUCUUUUCCCCCUCUUUCAUUCUACAAGGAAACAUUGAGUUCGGAUCCAACAGAUGCCGAAGAUGCAACAAGAAGACCUUAGCUCAACGCAAUUUAACCUUUCUGAGUNNNNNNNNNNNNNNNNNNNNNNNNNNNNNNNNNNNNNNNNNNNNNNNNNNNNNNNNNNNNNNNNNNNNNNNNNNNNNNNNNNNNNNNNNNNNNNNNNNNNNNNNNNNNNNNNNNNNNNNNNNNNNNNNNNNNNNNNNNNNNNNNNNNNNNNNNNNNNNNNNNNNNNNNNNNNNNNNNNNNNNNNNNNNNNNNNNNNNNNNNNNNNNNNNNNNNNNNNNNNNNNNNNNNNNNNNNNNNNNNNNNNNNNNNNNNNNNNNNNNNNNNNNNNNNNNNNNNNNNNNNNNNNNNNNNNNNNNNNNNNNNNNNNNNNNNNNNNNNNNNNNNNNNNNNNNNNNNNNNNNNNNNNNNNNNNNNNNNNNNNNNNNNNNNNNNNNNNNNNNNNNNNNNNNNNNNNNNNNNNNNNNNNNNNNNNNNNNNNNNNNNNNNNNNNNNNNNNNNNNNNNNNNNNNNNNNNNNNNNNNNNNNNNNNNNNNNNNNNNNNNNNNNNNNNNNNNNNNNNNNNNNNNNNNNNNGCAAACCACCAAACUGGCCUGCCCCCUCAAAGCCAAAAUGUUAACCACUAGCACAUUUCCUUCCAUCACCAAAAUCAACAUACCAACCCUCAGACUUUCCCUCAAAAUUACCAAGUCACUCAAAAUGCCCAAAGUCCCUCUAUUGCUCCACCACUACCACAAAAGGCCACUUUCCAAAUACCAGUCCCCAACGAGCAUGACCCCCAUGGUUCGGAGCUUGACCACUAUGAGGAGAGAGAGAGAGUGGAGGUCAAAAGAAGAGACCGCCAAGAUAGAUAUGAAGGAGGAAAUUAGAAAAGCCAUGAACGAAUUGAACUGCAUUCCUGAGGUCGCCGGGUUGAGUUACGAAGACCUGUGCAUUCAUCCAAAUUUUGGACCUCCCGAAAGGGUUCAAGGUACCAAAAUUUGACAUCUUCGGAGGGACGGGGAACCCCUUAGCACAUUUGAGGGCCUACUGUGACCAACUCGUGGGAGUUGGGAGAGACGAAGCUUUGUUAAUGCGGCUUUUUAGUCGAAGUCUGAGCGGAGAGGCUCUAGAAUGGUUUACGUCUCAUGAAACGAGACAGUGGUCUAGCUGGAACGCUCUGGCUAAGGACUUGAUCGAACGAUUCACCUACAAUGUGGAGAUCGUUCCUAAUCGUUACUCCUUGGAGAAGAUGAAGCAUAAGUCGAUCGAAAGUUAUAGAGAAUUCGCAUAUAUGUGGCGAAAGGAGGCAGCUAGAGUUAGACCUCCUAUGUCAGAAAAGGAAAUUGUCGAGGUGUUUGUGCGGGUGCAAGAGCCCGAGUAUUAUGACAGAAUCAUGUUGCUCGUUGGAGCAAAAUUUGCUGAGAUAGUCAAAGUAGGUGAGACUAUCGAAGAUGGAUUGAGAACUGGGAAGAUUGCCCGUGUUGCUGCCUCGCCCGGAUCCUCAGGCUUGUUGAAGAAGAAAAGAGAUGAUGUGUCAUCUAUCUCUUAUGAGGGGAAGAAGACCCCAAGGAAAUCAUCAUCAUAACAAGGUCGUUCUCGACCUUCACAGAGUUCGUACCCGGCUUGUUAUGCCCAGGCUGAUUACCAAAAUACCCCUCCCCCCAGUAAUCAAAAUACCCCUCAUCCCAGUUAUCAAAAUACUCCCCCUCCUAGCUACCAAACUCCCCCUCCAGUUAUCAAACUCCAUCUCAUUACUACCAAAAUGCCGCCUCCAACUGUGCCAACAUUCAGACAAAUUACCAAACGCCUCCCCCAAUGUACCAAACCCCAGCUCCACUUUACCAAAAAUAUCCCCUCGAACUACCAAGCUCCACAACCAAACUACCAAACCAACUCAUAUCCCAGAUAUCAAGCCCCCCGUCUGAAUGCUCCAAAUUAUUGCCAAAUGCCUCCCCCUCAACAAGGAAAUUACGAUCCCUCCCGUCCCAGAUUUGAAAAAAAGCCUGCCAGAAUUUUCACUCCACUUAUUGAAAGCCGAACAAAGCUGUUCGAGCGAUUAACUGCGGCAGAAUAUAUUCAUCUAGUAGGGCCCAAAACGGUUGACACUAGCUCAAAGUUUUACAGACCUGAUCAGAGGUGCACGUAUCACUCCAACAGUGUUGGACAUGAUACUGAGGACUGUAUCAACCUGAAGCAUAAGAUCCAAGAGUUAAUUGACCAAAAUGUGGUCUCUAUUCAGACGGUCGCGCCCAAUGUCAAUAGUAAUCCUUUGCCAAAUCAUGGAGGCGCCACUAUCAAUAUGAUAGAGACAGAUGAUGACUGGUGCAUGACGAAGGCAAUAGUUCUGAUUUCCCCUGAUGAACUGGAAAGGGCUGUAGCUUCGUUGAGCAUCAGAGAAAAGAAAGAGUUUGUGAUUCUGACACCCGAGAAGGUUGUUGCCUUGGUGCCACGAGAAAACUCUUACCCCAACCAAAAGUUUGUGAUUGAAAACGGCUGUUACCCAGGGUAUGACCAUAUCCGGCAGGUGCUACACACCGGAAGAGUUAGCUCAAUGAGGGCAGAAGAAAGACCAAACAAAAAGGCCGAUCAGUAAAGCCAAGGCCGAGGAGUUAUGGAGAAAAAUGUAGCUGAAAGAUUAUUUUAUUGUGAAGCAUUUGGAGAAAACGCCGGCUCAGAUCUCUGUGUGGGCCUUGUUAAUGAGUUCGCAGUUACAUAGGCAGGCUCUGAUGAGAGCUUUGGAUGAUACUUAUGUGCCUGUGGGUACUAACAGUGACAAUUUAGCACGUCAUCCAAGGAAGAGUUGCCCUUUGAAGGGAGGAUGCACAACAAAGCUCUGCACAUCACCAUCAAAUGCCGGGACAAAGUUAUAAAUCGUGUUUUGGUCGACGAUAGGUCCGGUCUCAACAUUUGCUCGCUUUCGACUCUCAAGCAGCUGAAAUUCGACUUGGGAAAGGUUCAACGAAACCAGGUCAAUGUAAGAGCUUUCGAUGGAGUGCAGAGAGACACUAUAGGGGCAGUAAAUUUGGAUAUUCAGAUGGGGCCUGCAGAAUUUAAUGUGGAGUUUCAGGUGUUGGACAUCAAUACCAGCUACAAUUUGCUUCUAGGAAGACCGUUUAUCCACAUGGCUGGGGUUGUGCCUUCCACCCUUCACCAAUUGAUGAAAUUUGUUUGGAAGGAUCAGGAAUUCAUGGUGAGGGGAGUCCCUUUGAUGGGUAUGCGUCGAUUGUUCACAAGGUUUCCCGAGGUUGUGAUUUCUACACGGUGGAGCUGUUAAAUACCACCGGUGAUGAUUUGGCUCCGCAACCUCUUAUGCCCUCCGUGUACAAGAUGAAUGCUACUGUCAUGCUCAAGAGUGGUUUCGAACCAGGUCUCAGAUUGGGGAAGCACUUUCAAGGAAUUGUUGAGCCUGUCCAAAUUCUGGCCAAAGGAGCAAAGUUCGGUUUGGGGUAUGUCCCCACAGAUGCUGACGAAGCAGAGAUGAAGAACAAGAGUGUUGAUCAAGCAUUGGCUAGGCCAAUUCCUCAUCUGUACCAGUCAUUCCCGGUGCGGGAGCACGCCAACGAUGGUGGUCUCGGAGAAGGAAUCUGGGGCCUUUUUUAGGAGAUUGAUGCGGUUAUUGAGGAAGAGGCUGGGACAUCAGGCAUCCGUGAUGCAGAACCUGAUGAACAAUUGCAGAACUGGACCUCCACACCACUCUUGAUUUCCUGCUCAUCUGAGUAGAAAGGACGAGCAUUUUGUUUGUUUUAAAAUCGGUGGCAGUCCGGAAGAGGCCCGACACCCACCCUUUAUGCAAUUGUUAUUUGUUUGAAACUUUUAAAUUCAUUUGUGAUGUUUAAAAAGGCAAAAUGGCCCUCGGCCAUGGUCAAAGUUUGCGCUUGUCUUUCAAUUUAAAUGAAAAACCUCUUUUAUCGAAAUGUGUUUGUUUACUUAUCUGUUUAUAUUUUACUGUCCUAACUUUGUUUGUUUAUGAUUUCAGUAAUAUUAAUUUAAAACCUGCCAAUGUCAUGUCAUGUCAUGAACCGAGUGAACAAAAUGAGACAUGUGAUGAUGAGUGUGGGGAAUAUGAAGAAGAAAAUGAGGUACCCGAACAUGUUGCUGAGGAGUUUCGACAAUUCGAGAAUCAACACAAACCAAAUUUGGAAGAAACCGAAACUGUGAAUCUCGGAGAUAAAGAAUGUGUUAAAGAAGUCAGAAUCAGCGUCCAUCUGACUGAAGCUCAAAGAAAGGACUUGGUUCGUUUGCUCAGGGAGUACAUUGAUGUAUUUGCCUGGUCUUAUAAAGACAUGCCAGGACUGAGUACAAAUAUGGUGUCCCACAAGUUAAGUUGUCGAUCAAUCCAGAUUUCAGUCCAGUAAAACAAAAGACUCAAAAAUUCAAGCUUUAGUUGAGUUUGAAGAUCAAAGAGGAAAUUACAAAACAAAUCGAGUCUCAAAUAGUGGAAGUGACGUAAUAUCCGACUUGGUUAGCCAAUGUUGUUCCGGUUGCGAAGAAAGACGGAAAAAUUAGAAUUUGUGUUGACUACAGAGAUCUCAACAAAGCUAGCCCGAAAGAUAAUUUUCCAUUGCCAAACAUUCACAUCCUCAUUUAUAACUGCGCUAAGCAUGAAAUACAGUCAGUUGUGGAUUGUUAUGCGGGUUACCACCAGAUCCUGAUGGACGAAGAAGAUGCAGAAAAGAUAGUUUUUAACACGCCUUGGGGUGUAUAUCAUUAUCGGGUGAUGCCUUUUGGUCUCAAGAAUGCCGAUGCUACUUACAUGAGGGCCAUGACGACCAUCUUUCACGAUAUGAUUCAUAAGGAGAUCGAGGUGUAUGUAGAUGAUGUCAUAAUCAAGUCCCGCGAGAGUUCGGAUCACUUGACUCACUUGAGGAAGUUCUUUGAUCGCUUGCGCCGAUACAAUUUGAAGUUAAAUCCCGCCAAGUGUGCUUUUGGAGUGCGAGCUGGCAAGUUGUUGGGAUUUAUAGCCAGCAGGAGGGUCAUUGAGCUUGACCUUUCCAAAAUCAAGGCGAUCCAAGAAUUACCUUCUCCAAAGACCAAGAAAGAGGUGAUGAGUUUUCUGGGAAGGUUGAACUACAUUAGUCGGUUCAUAGCUCAAUCCACCGUGGUGUGUGAGCCCAUCUUUAAGUUAUUGAAAAAGAUGCCUCAACCAAGUGAACCGGAGAAUGUCAAACUGCUUUUGAUGCCAUCAAAAACUAUUUAUCCAAUCCACCGGUGUUGGUCCCUCCGCGAGAAGGGAGUUCGUUAUUGCUAUAUUUGUCGGUCUUGGAUAAUGCAUUGGGAUGCGUGCUUGGUCAACAUGAUGAAACAGGGAAGAAGGAGCGAGCCAUUUAUUACUUGAGCAAAAAGUUCGCUCCAUAUGAGGCUCGUUACACUCUUUUGGAGAGAACAUGUUGUGCUUUAACUUGGAUCGCUCAGAAGUUGAGACAUCAUUUGUCUUCUUAUACCACGUACCUUAUUUCCAGGAUGGACCCGUUGAAGUAUAUUUUCCAGAAAGCAAUGCCGACAGGGAAGUUGGCUAAAUGGCAAAUGCUUUUGAGUGAGUUUGACAUUGUGUAUGUGACUCAAAAGGCGAUAAAAGCACAAGCCUUGGCUGAUCAUCUUGCAGAGAAUCCGGUUGAUGAAGAGUAUGAACCGCUCCAGACUUAUUUUCCCGAUGAGGAAGUUUCGUUUGUUGGUGAAAAUAUUUCUGAAGCAUACCCUGGUUGGAGAGUAUUCUUUAAUGGAGCGACGAAUCACCAAGGGAAAGGUAUCGGAGCGGUCUUAGUAUCAGAAUCCGGUCAGCAUUAUCCUAUGGAGGCUAAACUCCGAUUUAAUUGCACGAACAACAUGGCUGAGUAUGAAGCUUGCAUCCUCGGUCUGAAGAUGGCAAUUGAUAUGAACGUUCAUGAGCUGUUGGUUAUUGGAGAUUCAGAUUUGCUAAUUCAUCAAGUUCAAGGAGAAUGGGCCGUGAAGAACCCAAAAAUCAUACCGUAUGUUCAGUAUAUACAGAAGUUGUGCAAGAGAUUUCGCAAGAUUGAAUUCAGGCACACUCCCAGGACACAGAAUGAGUUGGCCGAUGCUCUUGCAGACACAAAAUGAAUUGGCUGAUGCUCUUGCCACAAUCGCCUCAAUGAUUAAACAUCCAGAUACAAGUUAUAUUGAUCUAGUGGAUAUAGAGGUAAAAGAGCAGCCUGUCCAUUGUUCGCAUGUUGUAGCGGAACCAGAUGGUCUGCCUUAGUAUUUUGACAUCAAGAAGUAUUUAGAGGACGGGACUUAUCCUGAGAAUGCAAUGUUCAACCAAAAGAAGUCGAUACGCCGCAUGGCCCUUAAUUUCUUUGCAAGUGGGGAAAUCCUUUACAGGAGGACUCCAGAUUUAGGUCUUCUCAGAUGCGUUGACGCUAAUGAAGCUGCAAAGCUUCUGGACCAGAUACAUACCGGAGUUUGUGGUACUCAUAUGAAUGGGCUCACUUUGACAAGAAAGAUCCUCCGAGCCGAUUAUUUUUGGAUGACUAUGGAGCAUGAUUGUGGCAAGUUUGUGCAGAAGUGUCAUAAAUGUCAAGUGCAUAGAGAUUUGAUUCGAGUGCCACCUCAUGAACUUAAUGCCAUGAGUUCACCUUGGCCCUUUGUAGCUUGGGGCAUGGAUGUCAUCGGUCCGAUAGAGCCAGCCGCCUCUAACGGACACAGAUUCAUUUUGGUUGCCAUUGACUACUUCACCAAGUGGGUGGAAGCAGCUUCGUAUAAAUCGGUGACCAAGAAGGUUGUAGCUGAUUUUGUUCGCAACAAUUUGAUAUGUAGGUUNNNNNNNNNNNNNNNNNNNNNNNNNNNNNNNNNNNNNNNNNNNNNNNNNNNNNNNNNNNNNNNNNNNNNNNNNNNNNNNNNNNNNNNNNNNNNNNNNNNNNNNNNNNNNNNNNNNNNNNNNNNNNNNNNNNNNNNNNNNNNNNNNNNNNNNNNNNNNNNNNNNNNNNNNNNNNNNNNNNNNNNNNNNNNNNNNNNNNNNNNNNNNNNNNNNNNNNNNNNNNNNNNNNNNNNNNNNNNNNNNNUUGUAUGGGUUCGCAAGCGGAUUGAUCAGUUAACAUUGAUUGAUGAGAAGAGAAUGAUUGCUGUUUGUCAUGGACAACUAUAUGGACAGAGAAUGAUUCGUGCUUUCCACAAGAAAGUAAGAGCCAGGAUAUUUGAAAUUGGCCAGCUGGUCCUUAAACGCAUUUUCCCUCAUCAGGAUGAGUACAAAGGGAAAUUUGCACCAAAUUGACAAGGACCCUACAUGGUUCGCAAAGAAUUAUCUGGAGGUGCCUUGGUCCUGUCGAAGAUGGAUGGCACCGAAUGGAUGAAACCGAUCAAUUCAGAUGUUGUCAAGAGACAUUAUGUGUGAAGUAUCAGUUUGUAUCAUUUCUUUGUAAUCGUUUUAUUUGCUUGUAAUCGCCUCGUUUAAAAUUUUAUCCCUUUUGUAAUGAACUACGUCUGACCUGAAUUCUCAAGAAGGAGAUACGUAGGCGGCCUCGGUCACCCCUUUUAUUCCUUUUUAAUUUUUCUUCGUAUUUGAACUACGUUCGACCUGAAUUCUCAAGAAUGAGAUACGUAGGCGGCCUAUGUCGGCCUCGGUCGGGUUUUUUUGUAAUUUUUCUUAUCUUUGAUAAUCAUUGAGAGGGAACUACGUUUGACCUGAUUCCUGCCUCAACGGGAUACGUAGGCACCACAAGAGCUCGGUCAUAUUUCCCAUAAGAUUUCUAUUUCCUUCACAAUAGAAACUGGGACAGAAUUUUUGAGAGGGACUCAAAAAGUCUCAAGAAGAAGAUCUCUCCAACAAAACCAAGAUUGAACUUACUUCGAGAUUUGCAACUGGGACAGAAUUUUUGAGAAAAUCUAAAAAAUUCCGUAAUUUACUUGCCAACAGUUCGAGAUAAGCCAAGACAAAUAGCUGGGACAGAAAUUUUGAGGAUGGCCUCAAAAUUUCAACAGGGUUUAUCGGCAGUUUAGAGUAACUUUGAAUACUUCCUAACAAGUAAUCAGAUAGAUAUCGAAACAUCAACUCCCAAUGACAUUCGUUAAGCUUGACGUGACAUGACACUUGGCAGUGAUCUUUUCCAAACAUUAUUUUUGAAAUGUCUUGUCUUAUCUAUCAAUUAUUUUGCACAAAAAUGUCUUGUCUUAUCUAUCAAGAGACGGGAGAUCAGAGAAAUCAACAGGAGAUAGCGAGACAAGGAGCAGACAACCGAAGAGAUCAACACAGAUCAAUUCAUUUUUAAACUAACAAUUUUUUCUGUGGAUGCAGGUCUAUAGGAAAUAGAUUAUGCUGCUUAUAUCAAAGAUUUUGAAAUAUGAAUAACAUUAUUUCAUCCAAUUCCCUACAAAGCGAAGUCCAUAAUGAACAUGCAAUUAUGUUCGGAGAUGGGACAAAAGAAAACCUUAAAGAGAGAAAUAUUAUUAUUUUCCAGCAACUAAAGAUACCUGGAAGAUAUUUAUCUACAUUACAUUAUCAGAUAUGAUAAUAUUCUUACCCUGAAGGUUAUUUAUUUAUAUUGUCGAUUGAGACGAUAUCACUACCCGGAGAGUCAUUUAUAUCGUAUCGUCAAAUGAGAUGAUACCACUACUCCGAGGGUCAUUUCCUUUAUAUUGUCGAUUGAGACGAUAUCACUAUCCGGAGAGUCAUUUAUAUCGUAUUGUCUAAUGAGAUGAUACCACUACUCCAAGAGUCAUUUGAUUAUAUUGUCAAUUGAGACGAUACCGUCAUCCAAAAGAUACCCAGAAGAUCACUCAAGUUGCUCGAUGAAGCAUUAUCUUCGUUCUGUAUCAGGGAGGCAUCAUCAAAAGAUUCAUGCAUCGCGGAAAAGAUAUUCACACAUUGUGAGAAAAGAGAUUCAUGCACCGCAAGAGAAAAAGUCAUGCAUCGCGAGAAAGAGAUUCAUGCAUAGCAAGAGAAGGAUUAAUGCAUCGCGGAAACGAAAUCAUGCAUCGCGGAGAAGUUAUCAUACAUUGCAAGAGGAGAAGUCAUACAUAGCAAAAAAAGAGAUUCAUGCAUUACAAAAGAAUGAAGCUCAUGCAUCGCAAAAGAAAGAAAGCAUGCAUUGCAAGAGAAAGAAGUCAUGCACCGUGGAGAAGUCAUGCAUAGCAAGAGAAAGAAGUCAUGCAUCGCGGAGAAGUCAUGCAUUGUAAGAGAAGAUUCAUGCAUCGCAAGUGAAGAUUCAUGCAUCGCAAAAAGAGAUUCAUACAUCGCGGAAAAAGGAUUCAUGCAUUGCAAGAGAAGAUUCAUGCAGCGCGAAAAGAGAUUCAUACAUCGCGGGAAAGAGAUUCACUAAGAUUCGCCUAUCAAAAGAAGAUCGACAUCGGCUGCAUCAUUUUCUUGCAACAACGACACCAAAAGAACUAUCAACAUAUUACAUCAGCCUAUUUUUAUUACUUUGACAUCAAAUUAAGAGUACAUUGAAGAUUAUAUUGCAAAUAUGAGACACAAGCUUUAUUUGCUUCACGUCAAACCCGAUGGAGUUGACGUCAAAUGUUCAAGGAGAACAAUUAAGUGUCAACACGGUAAAAGACAUUGUCUCCCAUUUGAAUUACAUUUUUAUGCUAAUGAGUUUUAUCUCAGUCUUUGCCGAGAGCAUCCGAAAGGAUGAGUCUCCAAAACAAACCACAGGUGCGGACGACAUCAAAAUGGAUGCAGCACAACGUGGAACUUUUUUUAGCAGCGAACUGGGACAUAGUCCAAAAAGGAGUGUCAAACUCUUAGGACGCGAGCAGAGGAGCGACUUCCACCACAAUCAAACCACACCCCUAUCAGAAGGCAUGUGGGUUUUUCUUAGGUUUGUCAAUUUCAGUUUCGCUUUCGGAAAUUUUUUGGUCUCUACCGGAAGCAGCUUUCCAAUCCGAGUGACAAAUGUGCCAAGAGCUUUGGGAAUUAUGUCCGUGUAAGUUCUUAAUUAUGGGUGUGAAGCGCGCCACAUUCAUGGCUAAGAGGUUGCAAGCCUCUUUUUCAUACUCGACUUGCUUUGUCACUUUUCCGGAACCAAAUGUUAUCUUGCAUAAUAGAUUUCAUUUUCAACCGAUAGAGUCGAACUACAAGCAGCCUGGUUCCCUAAGUUGAGGGAUAUGUAGGCGGAAUCAAUGUUGAAACUCGGCUGUAUUCCAUCAUUUGCUCUUAAAUCUUAUUCUCAAGCAUUUCGGUCUCUUCAUAAUCCAAUAUCGGGAUGACUUUUGGAUUCUUUCAAAUCGCGCGUUAAAUCAAGAGUAUUGAACUACAAGUGGCCUGAAUUCUCAUGUAGCCCGAGAUAAGUAGGAAACCCAUUUCCAAGGUUCGUCCAUAAUUCUUUAAGUCCAUACCAAAAUCCCUUUUUCAGAAAAGAUGAAGAUGUGGUCGGUCAAAAAUUGGAUUAGUCAAUUUCAUUUCCUCGAAUUCUUGAAUCAAUCCGAGUAAAACGAGGGACAGUUGUUGACACCUAAUUUUGACCCUCCCCGAUAAGAUUAAAUUUUCAAUGAUUUGGAAUAAUUAGUUUUACAAAACUCAAAAAAAUCAAUAAAUUAUUUUCUAAGUUUUAAAGCAAUUUUAGUCAUUUUUAUAAUUUUAAAACAAUAUAAUAUUUUUAUAUAAAUUUUGUAUGUAAUUGUUACAUUUCUUACGAGAAUUCAAAAAUCAUUUAAAAAAAAAUCUUACUUUUUAAAAAUGUUUUUGAUAAUUAGCUCACUUAAUAUUAGUUUAUAUUCCCGAAUUAGUUAUUUUUAUCUCGUUAAGAUUGAGAAGCUCGUAAAUCAAUUGUAUUAAUUCAUCUUAUUUGACUACUAGCCGAGUCUAUCCUAAUUAACUAAGGUCGGCUAUAUUUUAAAUUUUCAAUUUGCUAUGAUUUAGACUCAUAUGGCCGAACUUUAAAUCCAACUCUAUCAUAUUCAAUUUAAAAGACCAAAUAUUGGACCCCUUUUUAUAUUCCCAUUUAAUCUCAACCCAAGUUCCCCUUUAUUCCCAGCAACCCACCAAAUAAAAUCCAGCCCAACUAUUUUCUCUUUUGUUUUCAGAUCACCUAGCCCACUCCAUCUCCUUAACCCGACUUGACUCGACCCAUUUCCCCUAUUCCCCUUCACAAAAAAAAUCCAGAAAGUUGUACACGUUAACAGCAACAAGAACAGCUUCAAACGCUCACAGGGAUCGACAGAGCCAUUAAGGCUCGAUUGUAGCAGCGAAGCACGCGUCUACCCUCCUUUCCUCUUCCGGAAAGAGUCAAAAUUACAGGAAAAAGGGUGUUUCCCUUAAAUGGUGAAAUAAUUUUUGAGUUUGAAAUUCAAGUUGGCCCUAAUUCCAUCCGGAUUCCCCCCAAAAUCUACCCUAAUUUCCUCUAUAUAACAUCUUUUCCAUUCAUUUGUAAGGGAGUCGUCGAAUUUUUCCUUGAACAAAAAAAAAAAAAACCUAAACAGCUAGAGCAAAAAUAGUCGAAAUACACACUAAAUAAAUUAAGAGAGUAGAGAAGAUAUUCGGUCCUAAUCUAAAGUUCUCUAUUCUAAUUCGUUGCCAGUGCUUUCGCAAAGCUCAGUUGAGGUUGAGUUUUCGCUUGAGUCCACUGCUUUUUCCUUGUUCGUGCCGGGCAUUUGCGUGAAAGUCGUUGCUCCCUACUCGUUCCCGUCUCUGUUUCGCUGCCUCGAAAAAGGUAUACGGCUUGCCUCUUCUCACAGUCUAUGUCCUAAUUUGGAUUUGUAUUUGUUUGUUUAGUUAGUUACGUUGUUCUGGGUUUGACCAUUUUGAUGUGAAGUGUUGCUUCAUGUUCAUGCAGUAUUAAUUACAUUUAGCUGUUCUCAUGAUGAAAUUAGGCAGAAUCGAUGUCGAUUUUUUAGUCAUAAAAUUUUGUCUACAUAAUCUUGAAUAUUGCACCCUCAUCGCUUACUCAGUUCACUCUUUCGUUGUUUAUCAUGCUUGUCACCCGCUUGGAUGCUCAUUAUUACAAUUGGUUCCUAUUGUUGUAAACAUAAUUUCAUGUUUAUACCACUGAUUCACAGAAAUAUUAGAAGUACUCCUCAAGCAUGCGAUUAGCUCAAAUCCUCUGUGUCUUAUCACCUAUAUGUCUUAUUAGCAUUUUCUUUUGUCCUAAUGCUCAUAUUUGCAAGUCAAGUCGGUAUAAAAUCCGAGCUUUCUUGUUUUAUUUUCUGUUUUAGUUUUAUUGGAGUUAUAGUGUUCAAGGUCAUUUGAAGUGUGAUUUUGUUGGUGUUGACUUCUCGUUGUAUGUCUUGCCGAAUACUCGGCCCCCCUAUGUAUUCCCUUGGUUUUGAUGUAUCGUGUUUAUAGCUUCCGUUUUGAAGCAAAUAAGGUCCAUUUAUGUUUGAUGGCUUUCUAGUAAUGUGUAAAACCGAGAUCCCGUAAACCAUUGUGUGAAGUUGUGUUGUUGUUAAGUUUAUUUAUUUCUUCUAGUCGGAUGUAGAUUCUUGUCUAAUCUAUUUCUUGCCUCACUGUAGGUUAUUAAGUAUUCAAUUAAUAAUAGCAAAUAGCUCAUAUGGGUUUGAAUAUUCCGUACAUUUUAUUAUAUUUCAAACAUGCUAUAUUAUGGGAUGUUAUUUGAUAUACCUUGCUAAUAUUUGUCUAAAUAUUUCCUUUAGAAUGAUUAGAUGUGAGGUGUCUUUCUAGUAUGAUAGAUAGGGGUACUACUUUAUUGUUUAAUUUUAAAAAAAAUGUGGUUUCCUCUUGCCAAAUGUGUGCUUUCCUUUCAUUUUUGAAUCUUGUGUUUAUUUGAAAAUUUGUCAAAGUUCAUUGGGAGUGGCUUUUUCUUUCGUUUUGAGUUGUCUAGUUUGCUUUGCUAUGAAUUAAAAUCAUAUUUCUUAUUUCCUUAUCUCAUAUGCUAAUGUUGUCUUUUCUUUCGUAUGUUGGAUUGUCUCCGAGUCCUCUUGGACCCCAACCUUUUCCCCCAUAUUCCGGAUAGGCCAUAAAGGCCCAAUUACAUUUUUUUCGAUCGAGUCAACCCCCAUUUCCGAGUGAGAGAAAUUGAUGAACAGGUGGAAAGCAAUAUAGGUGGCUGGAAAUUUAAUUUGCAGGCCUCAAAAGCCCAAAAGAGGGCAGUAUACACGAUGUAUACACAAGUAUACAUAGAAAGAACAGCGAUAUACAAGUCUGAAAUGACGAUACAGGUGCUGGAAAUUUGAAGUGGACUAUCUAUAUUUGAUAUACGGUCCGAUAUACACAAAAAUGGAUCGAAAUGCGGCCUAUAUACAUCGAUAUACGCCUUUGGUAUACACAACUCUUUGGGGCGAAAAUGUCCUUAAGUCCAAUAGAUUUGGCCCAAAUUUGGGCAUCCUCUUAUUAUUGCCAUUAUUUAUUUAUUUAUUCUCUAACCCAUUUUAUGUGAUUUGGUUAUUUAACUUAAUUAAUCCCCUAAGGAUGAACCACUUUUGAUUAUGAUAACUUAUUUCGUCUUAUUUAAUUAGUUUUCUUUACUUGACCAUUUUGAAAAAGUUUACUUUUCUUUCUAAAUGAUUUCAAAACAUUUAAGUUGAAUGAAUUAUUUUUACAUCCUUUCUUCUCGAAUUAAUCUUCAAAGUUAGUUGCAAAGUCUAUUUUUUCCCCGAGUUUUGGGCAAAGCCCGAGUUCAAAUUUUCUCCUUUCUCCUGUUACAGUUUUGGGCAAAAGCCCGAGUUCAAAUUUUCUCCUUUCUCCUGUUACAUUUAUUUGUUAUUUUAGUGACUAACUCUUUAUAUGAAUUGGUUUCAACUUAAUUAAUUUCCAAAGGUAGUCGUUUCUCUUUAUAUUCAAAAGUUAAAAUAUUUAUUCUUUCUUAUACAUACAAUUUAUUUGUUACUCAGUUCUAUUUUAGCUUUGUCGAUAGUUAAGUUACCCCCCCCCUUUUAGAAAUUUCCCCUUUAGUUCAUUUCCCCUUAGAUAAAUAAAAAAUGAUAAAAAUAAUAAUAGUAAUAAAUAAGUAGGUUAAAAUAAAUGAGCUUUUACUUAGUUAAAAUUUCCCAAAUUAGUUAAAAUAGAGUUCUUUUAUUUAGUUAAAAUUUCAAAAUUAGUUAAAAUAAAUGAGUUUUUACUUAGUUAAAAUUUCCAAAAUUAGUUAAAAUAAACGAGUUCUUUUAUUUAGUUGAAAUUUCAAAACUUAGUUAAAAUAAAUGAGUUCUUUUACCUAGUUAAAAUUUGAAAAUUAGUCAAAGUCGUUAUGAGUUUUUUUACUUAGUUAAAAUUUCAAAAUUAGUCAAAAUCAUUUUGGUCAAAUCGCCGGUCUACCGCGAGUUUGUGGGCAUUCCGAGGGCCUAAGACCUUCUCGGAAUGUACAUUGAACUUCGAACCCUUUUAUUUUCAAUGGAUUUUAUCUAUUUAAAUCUUUUGAAAACCUUUAACUUUUUCUUGAUUUUUUACUAAAAAUUAUGUGGCGACUCUGUUCUUUUGGAAAUUUGAUUUCUCUUAAACUAUAAGUUUAAUCGAUUUUUUGAAAACUCAGUCAUUUUCCUUGUAUAUAUCUUUUUUAAGUAAAACAAUGUAGGCGGGAUCAAUGUUGAAAACUUGGCUGUAUUCCAAUAUGCACUCUUAAAUCUUAUUUCCAAGCAUUUCGGUCUCUUCAUAAUUCGAUAUCGGGAUGACUUUUUAGUUCUUUCAAAAUCGUAUGUCAAAUCAAGCAUGUCGAACUACAAGUGGCCUAAAUUCUCAUAUAGCCUGAAAUAUGUAGGAAACCCAUUUCCGAGAUUCGGACAUAAUUCCUAAAGUCCGUACCAAAAUCCCUUUCCUAAGGAUGAAGAUGUGGUCGGUCAAAAUUGGAUUUGUCAAUUUCAUUUGCCUUGAAUUUCUUUCAUCAAUCCAAGUCAAACGAGUGACAGUUGUUGACACCCAAUUUUGGAUCUCCACAAUAUAUAUUAAUCACCGAGCUUCUUAAAUUCCAAACGAUUUGAAAUAAUUAGUUUUUAUAAAGUUUAAAAUAUUUUUUUCAAGUUACUUUUAAUCAAUUUUAUAUUUUUAUAACUUUUAGAUUAUAUAUAUGUUUUACAUAAUUAUGUGUAUAAUUAGUACAUUUUAUGAAUAUUCGAAAAUCGCCUCAAUUUUUUUUUUAAGUUUUACUUAAAUAGUUGGUUAAUUGGUUUAGUUAAUUAAUACUUAUAUUUUUGAGUUAUUAGUUUAUAAUUAAGUUAAUUAUGUUAUUUCGUUAGGAUUAAGAAGCUAACUAAUUAAUCAUAUUAAUUUAUCUUAUUUAAUUAUUAGCCGGGUUUACUAAAUUUGAUUAAUUUGGCUACAAAUGAAAUUCAUAUGGCUAUUGUGUAAUUGCAAUUUCAGCCAUUCUUUUACCUCCAUUCAAUCUUUUGUAAAAUAAUUUGGGCCAUUUUUCUAACAUCCCAAAAGUCAGAUUAGCUGACCUCAUUCCUAGCCCAUAUUACUAUACAACAAUUCUAAAAUAACCCAGGCCCAACACUAAUACAAUACCAGUAGCCCACCAUUCCAGCAAUACAUAUUACAUAUGUUACAGCAACAGCGUACAAUAAUACCAAACCGACCCACCCCUGUACAUUUUCUUCUUCUUCCAGCAAAACAGUGACCAAACCCAGAACCUCAAAUCGCGACCCAAAGCCAUCACAAAAUCCAGUGACCCGAGUCUAGCACGCGCGUCUGUCUCCCUCUCUCCCUUAUCCUCUCCGUACGAGAAUAAUCCAGGUGUCCCCAUCUCCUUGAUUACAACUUUCAACCUUAUCCUGAAAGGAAUUCGAAUUUUGAAUUUUGAAUUUUGAAUUCACCCAAAAUUCCUCACUCGUUUUCCCCCCAUUUCAGCUUGUUCUCCUCUAUAAAAGCCAAUUUAUUCUUCAUUAAGAGGGACGGGCAAAAAAUUUUACAACGUAUGGGAGAACAGUGAGAAAAAAAUAUAAGAAAGGAGUCGCAAUUUACAAAGUAUAGACAACUUAUAUUAGAGCAAGAUGAUAAGGAAAUAAAAUGGAUAUAAACAAGGCAUUUUGAGAUAGGUUGCGAGAUUGGGAGUAUUUGGAGCCAUACUUCCUCGGUUUUACCUCUUGCGAGUUUGGUGUAGUCUAUUUGUAGUCGUGGAAAGCUCUUUAGCUCGUUUUGUCUCAGUUCGCUGCCACAAAUAAGGUAACAUUCCUUCCCUUAUUCUCUUUUGCUACAGUUCUAUUUUUCAUAUGAUAAGAAAUGCAUAUUUCAGUGAUUUUCAUUUUUGUUUUCUUAUGUGCAUUUAGCCUAUCUCUCGUUUCUUUAGCUUCUGAGUUUCAGAGUUAUUCUCAGGUUUCUGUAUGUUUAAAUUUUACUCCAAUCACAAAUCUUUAGUAUAAAUCAACCUUCUAUUGUUUAUUCCGUUCUAAAUGAAUUGUUAUCGCUUUAGCGGUUUAUUUUAAACUCUGUUGUUGAUAAGAUAGCCUCAUGUUUCUUGUUUCAAACUUGCGGUAUCUUGACUCUAGUAUAAUUUCUGAUUUCUUAGAUUAUGAUUUUUGGUGUUGGACUGCUGGAUUCAUUCUGGAAUACUCAAUAGAUGUAGUCUUAUGUUCAAGUUUAGAUGUUCAACCUAUCGAAUUGAGCUCAUAAUGUUGUUGCUUGUUUGAAUGACUUAAGAUGUAUGCUGAUUUCCUCUCUUGUUGGCUUAAUCUGAAAUUCCCUCAUGUCCAUUUAAUUCAACCCCCUAUUUACUGUAGCAUCGUAAUUAUUUUUCUCUUCAUUGGCUAAAAUCUGGUUGCGAAUUGUUGAGAUCUAAGUUUAAAUUUCAGGUUCUAGUUUGUUUAAAGUUCAUGAAUGUUUUAAGUCUCGUGUUUACCUUAGUUUCUACUCGUCUACCCACCUAUUCUGUUUUGAUUCGUACCACCCUGUUCUGAAUUUAUUUGGUAUUCGUUUAGUCUAGUUUAGCUUCGAAUUUUGUCACCUGAAUCAAGUCCUGCCUUGUUGUUCAUUUGGAGCUUUACUUUCUUACAUUAAGCCCAUGUAAGCGUGGUUAAUUGUUAAGCAUAUGUCCAGCAUGUUUCCAUCUUUUUUUUCUUCGCCUGGUUGAAUUAGUAUGAUAAUAUGCCCUCACUGUUUUCCCUAUCUAAAUUAAGCUUGUUUUGAGUGCAUUUUGCCAUCAAUGUUGUUAGUUACCGUCUCCAGGGGGUAUGUUUAUUUCAUUUCCUUUGGGUCUGAUUUGGUGGUCUUUCCUAAUAUGCUGUAGUAGCAUUGGUUCAUUGAUAUAAAACUAUAUUCAUUGUUAAAGUGACUAGGUUAGGGUAGCUUCAAAUUCAUUUGGUUAUGUGAGAUUAGAAUGUUUCAUUUAAUAUCAUUCGGAAUAGAUGAAUUAUAGGAUAACAACUUCGAUAUUAACAGUGGAAUAUUAUAUUGCGCAGUAUUUUAUAGCAUCGUCCUUUUUUAUUUAUCAUUUUGAACUUUUAUUAACUUACUUACAUCCAUUUCUUUUGCAUGUGAAUUUGCCCAAGUCUUCACGGACUCUAUCUUUGCAUUUCAAAGGGGCCACGAAUCCCCCCAAAAUUCCUUUUUCGAGUCGGCCAACAUGAAAAAUCGAAGUGCAGGUCCUUGACAUUGACGUACAGGUGUUUGGAGCGAAUCAAAGUGCUGGAUACACACAAUAUACAGCGAUAUACAUCAGUCGUAUACACUAAAUAUUGCAUUGAAAAUGGGCUAAAAGAGCCCUAAAUUUUCAGCUUUGUAUUUUGUUACUUUUGGGCCUAAGCUCUUCAUUUGCAAUUAUUAUUAUCACUUGUUAGUUCUUAGGACAGGUGAAAGAUGGGCCUAAGGCCCAAAGAAAUCAAUUUCAAGAUUAGUCUAGGACAUGUAUUAAGUAUUGGGCCUUUGGACCCAAAAUUGAAGACCCAAGUGCAGACCCAGGCAGACAGAACUAGACUUAGGCCCAAACAUUUCUUCUCUUUAUUUGCUUACCUGUUUUUUAUGGUGUCUUAUUUGUUCAAUUAAUUAUAAGAUUUUUCACUAACUCAAUUCCCCAAAGAAGAAUCAACUAUGUCUUUUAAAAUCAAAUAAGCUACACUUUAUUUUACUUGAAUUUAAUUUUUUUAAAAGUAUUUUUGAUAUUUUUCUACUUAAGCAAUAACCUUAUUUCCCCUCCCAUAAAAAUGAGUUCAAAAAAAAAAUGUUUACUUCAUAUAUUUAUCCAAGCAUGCCUAUUCUCUAAAUAAUUUAGCCAAAUAUAAUUAAUCAUUAGAUAACCGCAUGUUAGCGGGAAUUCAGGUGCUUUCAAACCCUUCUCGAAAUGCUAAUAAGAACCCCAAACCCCUUUGAAUAUUUUCAAUUGAUUUCUGUUUGAAUCUUUUGAAAAAAAAUCAGUUUUCUUAAUUUCCCUUUAAAAAUUAAGUAGCGACUCUAAAACAUCGUUUUCUCCUUUUAAAUAAAACAACAUGUUUAGGGGUUAAACGUUCGGGUACGACUCCCCAAGGACCACCCAAGGGGUCGUCGAGGAGGACCCCAAAACAGUCGAUAAAAGAUGUCAAAAAAUGGGAACCACACAUGGCCAUCCACUGGCCGUGGUUAGACCCACGCCCAGUGGGUUGGGGUUGUGGGUCAAGGCCUAAGUUGGCCUGCAACUUCUGAGCUGCAGACUCCAAUCACGAACCAAGAUGAUUCCCCGUGAACCCACCCAUGGUUCGUGGGUGGGAGUCUCGUGAAUGCUGUCAGGUUUUAACAAUUUAGUUUUUAGUUAAGGGCUUGAGGGUUAGUUUAGUUAUUAAUUAGGGGUUAAUGUAGGUCGGUUAAUAGGUUAUUUAUCCACCUAUAUAAGUCUAAUAGGCCCCUAAACUAAUCAUUAGAACUCAUUCAUCUAAGAACCCACUUAAGAAAUUCUCUCUCUAGAAGUGAAGAAGAAGAAGAAGAGGAGAGGAAGUUGGGGGAGCAGCUUAGGGAGAUUUUGUCCAUGGAUUCAAGCUUUGUUUAGGGCUUUGAUAAGAGGUAUGUGAAGCUUAAUCAUCUAUUGGUUCUUCCACCCAUAGAGCCCCCUAGUUUCCCCUCUAUUGCGAAGUCAAAAACCCAAUUCUAGCUAGGGUUUGCUUCUACAUUGUGAGUAGCGUUUGAAUAAGAUUCCAAUGAGUUGGAUAGUGCUCAAUUAUGAUGGUUUUAGUAUUGAAUCAUGAUGUAUUGAUAAUUUCAUGUGAUUUCUAUGGUAAACCCUAGUUUCAAUUGAUAAAUGUGUUGUUUGUGGGUUUAUGCCAUUAGAGGUGAAUUUGAAGGUUCAAAGGUAAUCUUCCUAAAUCAAUGUCAUGUAUAGUAAUUGAUCAAAGUUAGGGUCAUAUCAUAAUGAAUAGAACUAGACUUGAAUGAAUGUGGAGGAUCUUGACUUGUAAAGAUGAAAUUGAACCUUUAUGAUCAAAUAUGACUAAAAUCACCUACUUAUGAAGAACAUGAAUAGAAUACCUUGAAAACCUAGGUAUAAAGAAAAGAUUAAGAAAGAAACCUUGAAAGUAAGGUUUGUGAUCAUAAUAGUAGGGCUUUAAAAGGAAGCUAAGGUGAUUAACUAUUGAUGCUAAGGCUUUGAGAGUAAAGUCUAAAAGAGAUUAUAAGUCUAAUAGGUUGAAUUGUGGUGAAAGUUAUAUAAUCAUCUAACCUACCUUAUGAAGGCUUGAAUGUGUAAAGUGAUGAGAUCACUUGAACAUGGAUUGUUGUCAAGGACAUUCUUCCAUGAGAUAGGAGUAUUAAGCAAGGCUUAAUAGUGUAAAUCAUGGGUGUAAGCUUUGCCGUAAGUGGAUAUUGUCAAUGAGAAUAGAGGGUCACACAAGAUAGCGUCCGGGCGCCUAGUUGAAAGGAGAACCACACCUAGUUGAUGUGAGGAAUAUCUAAGAAAAGGGGGAACUCUUACAUAGUAGAGUGUGGGUUUUCCCAAAGGUAGGUCUCAUGAGAUGGAACCCUUCACAUAGUUGAGUCAAGGAUUCUAGUAGCAAUCUUCAUAUCCUUUGAACUAAGACAUGCUUAAAGAAGUAUCCAUAGUGUUCCAAAGCAUAGAUGAACUAAAAUUUACUAAGAUGUACUUCAUAGUGUUCAUGAGUAUAGAUGGACUAAGAUUUACUUAAAGAUGUACUUCAUAGUGUUCAUUAGUAUAAAUGGACUUAGACAUGCUUAAAGUAGUAUCUCAUUGGGUCUAUUUUUAAUAAGGAACCUAGACUUGCUUAAAGUAGUAUCUCAUAGGGUUCAACCUAGUAAGGGACUAAGAUGUGCUCAAGGGGGUACCUCACAAUGUCUAAGGCUCAAAGAGAGGGACUAGUUUCCAACCAAGAAGUAAGAGCAUGAGAACCCAAAGGUUAUACUUAGUGUGAUUGGUAGUAUGGGAUGCCAAUCAUGCCUUACAUAAGCGUGGCUUAGGGUUAACCAAGAAAGUGUUUCUUAGAAGUUGAGAUAGGUUGUGUUAUAGUUGCCUUCCUUGAUAGUAUGGACUUAAGGUGAGAGUUUUCCCUUAGUCAUGAGAAGUUGAGUAUUAUGACAAGAUCCUUAGGUGACUAGUUUAAAGGGCCUAAAGGAGUACUUUGUGUGGGUAGUAUUAUGGGAUGCUAGUCAUACACGGUACGACUUGAAGCUACUUACGAAAGCCUAAGACUUAUCCAUGACAUGAAAACCUAGGUCUUGACUAUGAACGGGGACUAUGCCCAAGAACAACCAAAGAGAGGUACAUGGCUUGCAUGGUAGUAUGGGAUGUUAUCCUUGCCCUUACACAUGUAUACUUGGAGGUGGCUUGUGAAGUAGUUCUCUUGAAGUACGAAAGACUUAAGGUUGAAUUAUGUAACCAUGUAUAUCUAAGAAAAUAUUAUGCUAUGAUUAUGAUGUAUCUCCUAUGCUCAUUUAUUUGUCUUAUGAUGACUUAUGAUAUACGAUGCUUAUGUUGGAGAUUAUGAUAUGAUAAUUAUGCUUAUGAUUAUGUUAUUGUCUCUUAUGUUUAUGUCUUAUGUUGACUAACCAUUUUGAGAUGCUCUUAUAUUGUUAUGCUAGCUUUCAUACUUAGUACAUUUUGUACUAACACAUAUUGCCUACAUUCUAAUCAAAUGUAGGGUUUGGAGAUUGAGUUCUACUUGGAGAUAGGUUUCUAAGGAGCUAAGAAAGAUUGAAGACUUGGUGAGUCCUCAUAGCUUCGAGGACGAACCUAUUACCUUUCUUAUAUCAUUUACUUUUAUGUUUUAGAAUUUGUAUGGGUUGCGUCCCAAGAGUUCUUUUAUUCAAGUCAAGUUAGAUGGUUUGAGACAAAAGUGUAGUAAAGUCUUUCGCUUUCUUUAUGAAAAAAAUGACUUCGAUUGUAAAGAAAAGUUUUAAAUUAUUCCCGUAUUUUCCUACUAUCUCUUGUUCAAGAUAUGCUAAGGGCUUGUAUGAGACUUUUCGGAGUCUCGUACGUCGUGUUACUUCUAGGGUGUAGACUCGGGUCGUGACAUUUUUACCAAAUUGCUCACCGCCAGUUUCAAGAGUAGCUCCACUAUCAACAACAGAUCUAAUGUACUUCAUGAUCUUCUCAAACUGUUUUGAAUCAAUUUGUUACGACAGGAAACUCUCAGGUUUAGUAUUGUUACCUUAAGAAAAGACUUAAAAGGAAUGAGAUAUGCUUUUGUUUUUCGUUAUACAGGUUUAAUACAUUGGUUUCCAACAUUUUAGAUAAGAAAGAGGAUUAGUUAGGAGAUCAUCAGUACUUGAGGACCCUGCUCAGUGCCUGAUUUAAACGGAUCACCAACUACUCGUUUCAAGGUGCGUGUCUUUGCCUUCUCCAGAAAUUCAUCAUAGACUUUCUCGUGAACAUAGGUCCAAGAGCCAACACAACAACAUUGGCCCUUUAAAAUUUAUGUCAUAGGUGUUAGUAUCUAACAUGAACCUAACCAACAACCAAUGCAGAAGUAUAGAUAGGAAAUAGUACAUGAUUAAAGAAGAGAGCAAAGUGAGCUUGUUCAACGGUCGUAUCAAUAUCAGAAUCCUCAUAAACAAUAAAAGGGGAUUUCCCUCCGAGUUCCAAUGUCACAGGCUUAAGAUUGCUCUUAGCAGCCAAUUCAAGUAUGGUUUUCCCGGUCUCUGUUGAUCCAGUAAAAGUAAGCUGUUGGCGGUUGAUGGGUCGUGGAUGGUCACUGUGUUGCUGUUAAAUUCGGCCAAGUGGAGGGGCAAUGUGGUAAAUUCGUUUUUGAGUUAUUUUAGUUAAUAGAUGGUUAUUAUUGGUUUAUUAAUGUAUUUUAAGGGUUUUAAAAGUAUUAAAUGUAGAAAUCUCACCCUAAGUAUGGAGAAAUCAAGGAUUGUAUUGAUAAUUGAAUGGUUGAGUUNNNNNNNNNNNNNNNNNNNNNNNNNNNNNNNUUCCGUUCCGGUCCGGUCCCGGUAAAUCAUUUUUAAUUAAAAUAAAAAAUAAUAUUUUUGUCAUUAUUUACUUUUAUUAGCAUUUCUUUUUUGUUUAUUUAAUUUUUUAAAAUUACAAACUUAUGUUAUUUAACUUACAAGUUAUAAGUAUAACUUAAUAACUUAUAAACUUCAAAAGAUUCAAAUCUUUAAAACUUAUAACAUAACUACUUAAGCUCAAAAACUAAAAAAAAAACUUUAUUAAACUUAACUUACAAACUUAUAUACGUAAAAAUUUAAAAAAAUAUCUUUAAAAUAAACUUAAGUAAAAUUAUUAUAAAUUUUAAAACUUAAAUACUAUAAACUAAUAUAACUUAGAAAAAUAAAAAAACAUUCGUAUUUUCGUAAUUCAAAAUAACUCAAAAAAAAUAAUUUUUUUUUUUAAAUAGCUAUAUGUGCCGUCCCAUUUAUCCCAUCCCGUUCCGUUCCGGUCCAUUCCGGUCCGUCCCAGUUCUAUCCCGGUAUAUAGUGGGACGGGACGGAACCGAGCCUCCAUCCCGGUAGUUCCGGUCCGGUUCAUCCCGGUACCGGUCAACAACCCGGUCAAACCGUCCCGUUCCGGUCCGGUUCCGGUUCGUUCCGGUCCGGUGGUCCCAUUCCGGUCCGGUGCCCAGCCUUAGUUGAGUUACAUACUCUUUAUAUAGGAGAAAAGUCCUAUACUAGUUACACUAGGAAUCCUAAUACAACAUAAAUAUAUUAUUUACGCCUUAUCCCAUUCGACUACAUCAGCUUUAGUCGUACAUAAUAUAGACUUAUACAUAAAUUAGGAUUUAGUAGUCUAGUCCUAGUGUAACUCUAACUCUAACUCGUCAGUCAGCUUCGUUGAACCUGUUCCUUUGACAUGUUCCAUCAACUUCCUUCAACACUUCCCCUUAAGCUAGUGAGUGGAGGGACUGUAACUCCUAGCAUGCUAUGAAACUCAGCAAAAACCUGUUUGGUUAAUGCCUUUGUAUGAAUAUCAGUUAGUUGAUCCUUAGACGUCACAAACUGAGUAAGAAAUUGUCCUCUGGCCACCUUCUCACGAACAAAAUGAUAAUCCAUUUCAACAUGUUUGGUUCUAGCAUGCAUAACUGGAUUAACUGUCAUAUACAAGACACUCAUGUUAUCACAAUACAAUGUAGGUACAGAUAGAAGAAACACCCCAAGGUCAUGAAGUAGAUACAUGAUCCAUGUCAUCUCUGCUGCAGUGGAGGUUAGUGCUCUAUACUCAGCUUCAGCACUCGAUCGGGCAACUGUGGACUAUUUCUUGGAAGUCCAUGAACUACAGUUUGCACCUAGGUAGAUGUUAUAGCCUGUAGUUGAUCUCCUAGUGGUGGUGCAACAUCCCCAAUCAACAUCUGAGUAUCCAUACAACACACAUGGUGAUUGUGAAAUAAGUCUGAGUCCAAUGUGUAGAGUACAUUUGGUGUACUUGAGAAUCCAUUUCACCCCUUGAAGAUGUUCACUGUUAGGACUUUGCAUAAAUUGGCUUGCUAAAUUCACAACAUGAGUAAUAUCCGGUCUUGUGAGUGUCAAGUAUUAAAGACUUCCUACUAUCAUUCUGUAAAAAGAUGCAUCAACCAAGCUUCUCACAGCUUCAUGUAGACCAUGUUUUUUAGCCAAAGGAGUGGCUAUAGCCUUUGCCAUAGUUAUUUCAGUUUUGUCCAACAGCUCAGCAGCAUACUUACUCUGACUUAAGUGUAUACCCCCAGCAAAAUACUUAACCUCUUCUCUUAGAAAGAAGUGUAAAGGACCAAGAUCUUUCAUUGCAAAUUCUUUCCCAAGUUGUCGAACUAACUAUGAGACAUACAAUGGAUUACUACCUCUGACAAUGAUAUUAUCCACAUAUAACAAGAGAAAUAUGGUGCCUUUGUGACCUUGCAUUGUAAAUAAUGAAGAAUCUACUUUACUACAGAUGAAGCUAAGGUGUAAGAGAUGCAUGUUAAACCUAUCAAACUAGGCUCUUUGUGUUUGUUUAAGACCAUACAAUGCCUUUUUAUGUAGACACACAUGUUAAGGAUACUUGGGAUCAAUAAAUCCAGGAGGUUGACUCAUGUACACCUCUUCUUGUAAGAACCCAUGAAGAAAGGCAUUUUUGACAUUGAGUUGUCUACCUUCCCACCUUGAGCUGAUGGCAAUGGAUAGAACUACUCUAAUAGUUGUGGCUUUAACCACAGGGCUAAAAGUUUCUUCAAAGUCUAUGCCUUCAAGCUGAGAGAAUCCCCUGGCUACAAGUCUUGCCUUGUAUCUAUCUAUUGUUCCAUCAGCUUUUAAUUUGGUCUUGAAUACCCAUUUUGAGCCAACCAAGUUUAUACCAGAAGAUUUGGGCACCAAUAUCCAUGUCUUGUUAGUGUGUAAAGCAUUGAUUUCCUCAUGUAUUGCUGCAAGCCAAUGAGGUGACUUAAGUGCUUCCUUAGUAGUGUUUGGUUCCCUCAGAAUGUCUUUUCUGCUGCGAGCAACAAGUGACAAGUGGUGUUCCUUCGCCUUGUGUCUAGUGAUCAUAUGAAGCCCUUGUGGUGCAGGAAGUACCUCAACUGGUACAUCAACCAAAGUAGUUGACUGAAGUGUAGUAUUGUCAUAUUGAUGGUCAACAAGAACAUCAACUAAAGUAGUUAUUUGAUGAUGCUCAUUGACUGGACCUGUAAGUGCAACAUGUUCCUCACUGCCACUAGUAGAUCCAAAUCCUACAGCUGGAGUUUCAAUACUAUUGUAUGGAUCAUCACAUUCAACCUGUUCCUCAGCAUCUGAUCAUACGCCGGAGAGGUCAAUGGUAUUCUCAUCAUCAAGAAGUGUAUGAGUUGUAGCAACAUUAUCACCAUUAACGUGUGGACUAGCAGCCUUUACUUCCCCUGAAUCAGAAUUAUCAUGUGCCUGCAGUUUAGAGAAAGAUUCAACAAAGGUAGCAAGGUGAGAUGAGACAUCAAUAUUAGUCUGAGAUUGUUUUGGAGACACAUAGGGUAUUGUGUUUUCAUCAAACACAACAUGUUUGGAUAUGUAAACUCCUUGUAGAGGGAUGAUAGCAUUUAUAUCCUUUGUGUAAGUUGUUGUAUCCUAUGAACACACAAGGGUAAUUCUUUGGACUGACCUUGUUGCUACCCUUAAUAUACGGAAAACAUCUACACCCAAACAUUUUUAGGCUGUUAUAAUCAGGUUGUUCCCCAUACAACUUAACAAAUGGAGUCACCAUCUUUAGGACUGAGGAAGGUAGUCUAUUGAUUAGAAAUACUGCAGUGAGGAAAGCCUCAACCCAUAGAAACAAAGGUAGAUUAACAUGAAGUAGUAGAGUUAAGUGAGUCUCCACAAUAUGUCUAUGUUUUCUCUCUGCAACCCCCAUUUUGUUCGGUUGUGUUAGGACAUGAAAUAUAUCUCACAGUGUCACAAUUUUCCAAAUAAUUGAUGAAGUCUAUUUGGAUAAACUCACCACCUCCAUCACACUGAAAAAAUUUGAUCUCUUUAGAAAAUUGUUUUUCCACCAUUUUUUGGAAUUUUAGAAAGACCUCAAAAAUUUCAGAUUUCUUUUUCAGUGGUUAAAUCCAUGUGUAUCUCGUGUGAUCAUCAACAAAAACAACAUAAUAUUUCAUAUGUUGGGACGAUUCAAGAGGAGCAAGUCCCCAUAAGUCACAAUGAAUUUUCAAUAGAGGUUCUUUCUCAAUUUUAUUUCUCAAACCAAAUGGAAAGAGUAACCAACUGACAACUAGAACAAACAGUAGGCAUUUUAUUCCAACUACUAAUAUUAAUGCAACUAUUACUACUCAAAACUUUUAAAGACUUCAAACUAGGGUGACCUAAUCUAGCAUGCCACAUGUUGUCUGACGUGUUCCAAUCGUGUGCAACAGUUAAAGCAUAGAGAUUGUUAUCUUCCAAAGCAUAGAGUCCAUUCCUUUUAGAUCCCUUGGCCAGCAGUGACUUUGCCCUCUUGUCCUUUACAACAAAAUUAGUUUCAUCAAAUUCAAGAGUGCAACAAUUAUCCUUUGCAAGCUUACUAACUGAGAGUAAAUUUUUAUUAAUCUUAGGAACUACAAGAACUUCUUUUAACUUUAGGCCUGAUCUGGAUAUGUUCCCAACAUGUGUUAUGUCUAACUUUGAUCCAUUCCUAAUAAUGAUUUUAUCAUGUCCAUUGUAGUGUUUAAGAUCAGUUAGGAUACCUGAGUUAUGUGUCAUAUGGCUACUUGCUCUUGAGUCCACAUAGAAGGUGUCAUCAGUAGUGUUUCGAAAAUUAGUAGCAGCCAAAGCUUUUGGUAGCUCAUCUGUGGCUUGGUAAGAGUAAUCCCACCUGUAAAAACACUUAAGAGCAGUAUGAUUAUUCCUACCACAAAUUUGACACGCAUCAGUAUUGUUCCUCUCAUGACUUUCACUUGAAGGACUGUUCUGAGUACCUAGUAUGUUUCUGCUGUUAUGAGAACAUGUUCCUUGUCCAGCAGGCUUGAAGUCUCUUCCUCUAGAGUUAAAGUUAUUAUUUCCCCUUCUUUGAGAGUAUUUUCCUCUUCCCCUACCUCUUUGGGCAGAGAAUGUCAUGUUAUGGUUUUGUUGGAGCACUUCUUCUUCAUCCUCCUUCAUAUCAAAACCCCUGAGAGCAUUAACAAAUUGAUUAAGAGUAGGAUAUGGUGUCUUACCUAGCAUGAUAGUCCUGAAAGUCUUGUACUUAAGACCUAGACCUCUAGCAAAAUUAAUCACUUUUCUAUCUUCAUCUACGGGCUUGUGUAUGGCUGCAAGGCCUUCAUAUAUGCCUUUGAAUUCCUUAAUAUAUUCGUCAAUUGUUUUGAUUCCUAGCUUCUCACUUUGUAGUUGUUGUUUAAUAUGGAACUCCUUAUCUUUUGUUGCUUGAAGAUAGGCUUCUUCCAAGCAUUCCCACAUUUUCUUGGCAGUUGAGCAGCCUACGAUCAAGUACAUGAUUUCUUCUAUCAAGGUGCCUGAGAUCCAACUCCUUUACAACACAUCCUUCUCCUCCUAGUCGUCAAUAAUGUUGUUGUCUUCUGCAUCUUUCUCGCCUGCUACAGUUUUCUCAGUAGACUGUUCGGUGGAACAGGUACCUUUACGUGGUUCUGUGAUGAGGUAGGUUAAUCUCAUCACUUGAAUCAACUGAGAUAUUUGUGUCCUCCAUAUAAGAUAGUUCGUUGGCUUAGGUUUAAUGGAGCAAGACGAAAUAAGAUGAUGAAGUGAAGAGGUCGAAAGAGUGAUGGUAGAAGGGGCCAUUGCGGUUUGAUAUUGUGGUUGUUUUGAUUUUGAUCUAAUACGUUAAAGAGAGGAAAAGCUUUAUAGCUCUGAUGCCAAGUAGAAAUCUCACCAUAAGUAUGGAGAAAUCAAGGAUUGUAUUGAUAAUUAAAUGGUGGAGUUACAUACUCCUUAUAUAUGAGAAGAGUCCUAUACUAGCUAGCUACACUAGGAAUCCUAAUACAACAUAAAUAUAUUAUUUACACCUUAUCCUAGUCGACUACAUCAGCUUUAGUCGUACAUAAUAUAGACUUAUACAUAAUUUAGGAUUUAGUAGUCUAGUCCUAGUGUAACUCUAACUCUAACUCGUCAGUCAGCUUCGUCGAACCUGUUCCUUUGAUAUGUUCAAUCAUCUUCCUUCAACAUUAAACUCCUUUUUCAAGUCUUUUAUUCAAAUCACAAAUUAGAAACCUCUCCUCCCCUCCAAAAAUUCUCUCUCUAGAAACCUCCAUUGGAGGCGAAUGAUUCAAGGUUUCAAGCUCAAGACCUCACCAUUUUCACUCAAGUUUUGUGGAGUUCUUCCCUAAAAGGUAUGGUAGUCUUUAUCCUUGACUUAGUUUCUUUCAAGGAGCCAAUUUCAAAGAUGAUUUCAAGUCUCCAAAGUUCUCCUAAAACUCUAGUUUUCAAUCUAUGCAUGGGUUCAAUUCCAAAACAUUUUCAAAGUCUUUUAAAUGAUGAAUUAUGAAUGGAUUGUUGAAUUAAUGAUGAAUUAUGGUGAAUUUCCCCUAUGAACCCAUGUUUACCCCCAAUGUACUAAAUUGUGAAUUGUGAUUGGAAUUUGAUUGAUCAUGGAAGUAUGUUGAAUUAUUUAUGUCUAUAUUGAUUGAGUGUAUUGAAUUACUUCAUUAUCCAUGCCUAAAUUAUGAUAUUCUAGGUGUGUUGAUGAAUUCUGAUCAAGGGCCUUGAAAGGCAAAGUAUGAAGGAUUCAUGUAUGAUUGUGAUGUGAAGUAUAUGCAUGUGAAUUCAAUGAAAGUAUUAUGAUCUUGAUGUUUGUAUAUAUGCUUGGUGAUUACCUCGAAAGUAAUGUGAUCAUGAAUAUAAUGCAAUUGUGGUAUUGUUGAAAGGUUAUUCUCACAUAUUCACAUACUCAUGAAUGAAGAAUGAAUGAAUAAAUUAAGUUUCUAUGAUUAUGUUGAUGAUGAUGUGUAGGUUGAAAGGCUAUUCUCAAUUAUACACUAAUGAAUGAUAAUGACAUGUUGUGAAAGGUCUUUCUCACAAUAAUGGGAUUCUUAGUUGAAAGGUUAUUCUCAUUUUUGAAUCUAUGAGUUAUCCAAUGAAUGAAUGUUGGGAUGAGAUGGAUGCUCUCACAUGAGUUGAGGCGGGGUAUCUAGUAACAAUAUUUUUCCCAUAAUAAUGAACUAAUGUAAUGAAAUGCUCUAUGGGAAUGGAGGCUAAGCACCGAAUGGAUAUUGAUAUGAGAUGGAAGCUCUCACGUGAGUUGAGGCGGGGUUUCUAGAAGCAAUUUCCAUAUCCUAUAACUAUGUUCCCGCAUAGGAUACUAGCUAGUGGAUCCACCUAAGCUAAAAUUAACGGUCCUACCUUAGGCAAGUAGGAAUCCUUCUUUACGGUGUGAGGAUAGAACACCGGAUUCCAUGAUUUAGCUCUCAUGGUCUAUGUCGGUUAAACGCUUAUUCUCAUCAUGUAAGAUGUGCACUAUGGUUUCUUGAGAAGUUCUAUGAAGUGUGGGUGGUAGUAUGGGAUGUCAUCCACGCAUUGCACGAGUAGGCUUUGAGAGGGUCAUAAUGAGUUCUCUAAUGUCUUAAUGACUAAUGAAUGAAUGUGCUCUUAAUGAAGCUAAUGAAGAAUGUUGACUUUAAGGUUUAAUGAAAUGAUGCAUGUCUUACUUGAAUUGUAUUAUGAGUUACUUCUUUGUCAUGGCUUUAUGAAUAUGAAUGUGCCUGGUCUAUGGUGGCUUCAAAGGAUUAAUUCGUGUGAGUAGUAGUAUGGGAUGCUAUUCAUACAUUGCACAAGUAUGACUUAGGGUUGCCCUAGAUGAUGGUCCUAAUGUGUUGAUAUGACUUAUGAAAUGUGUAUGUUCCUUAUGUAUGUGUAUUAUCUAAAGGUCGGAAAGGAUGAAUGGUAAGUUCACUUUUGGUGGCCUUGAUGUGGUAAUUAGUAUGGAUGGUGGUAUGGACGCUAUUCAUACAUUGCACAAAGUAUAGCUUAGGGUUACUUAAGGUGAAGGCUCUAAUGUGAUGAAAUGGCUUAUAUGUUGUUUAUGUUCUAAUGUGAUGAAAUGACUUAUAUGUUGGUUAUGUUGUAUUUUAUGCCUCUUAUGCUUACAUUCAUGAUGUUUUCUCAAGAAUGGCAUAUGCAUGGUUUUCAAUCAAAAUGUCUUUUUAAGCAUGUUUUUGCAUGGCUAUCAUACUUAGCACUUAAUUUGUGCUAACCCAUAUUUCUUUUAUUUUACUACAAGUGUAGGUUUCGGCAAUUAAGUGAGUUGAGUUCCUCUAGUUGAAGCUUGGAUUGAGUUCUUCCAAGACUUUGGUAUGUCCUCAUGGAUUUCGAGGACAAGUACUUUGAUGUUUGAUGUUUCUCAUUGUAUUAGACUUUUGUUAAGGUUUUCGAUUGUAAAGGGCCGUAACCUUACUUUUGUUUCAAAGACAUUGUUUAGAUGGCCAUGCGAGACUAAUAGACUUCCGGUGUUUUAAAUGAUUUUUGAUUGUAUGGAUUUAAAGAAAAGUUAUAAUUCCGUACCAUUUUCCUUAUAUCGAAUGUUAUGACUGCUAUGAGGCUUGUAUGAGGCUUUUCGGAGUCUUGCACGUCAUGUCAUUCCGGGGUGUAGGCUCGGAUCGUGACAAAAUAGGAACAGAGGGUGUAUUAUUUUUUUAACUUAAUGCUUACCUCUCUUAUUUUUUAUAAUUAAGUUCUAACCUAAUUAUUUAUUAAUACAAGAAAAUAUAAUUUAACUAAUUUUGUCCUAUAUUUGUAGGGAUGGCAAUGGAGCGGUGCGGGUUGAGCUUAACCUGCAAAUUUUUUAAUUCGGCCCGCCCCGCAUAACAAUUUAUUUCAUUUUAAACCGCCCCACCCUGCGCCGCAUGAACCCGCACCGCAUAAUAGUUUUAAUAUAUUCUUUUUCUAGUUAAGUUUGAUACUAAAAAUAUAACUCAUAAAAAUAAAUUCAUUUUUCCAUUAAGUUGUAUUAAUUUAAUAGGAUAGUGACUGAAAAAAAUUAUUUUUUAGAGGACAAUUGAGAAACAUGUAAACAAUUGUAUUAUUUUUUAUUGAACCAUUUCCAUUUACUAUCUUGAAUAUUUUAGUAGACUAAAGAAAUUAUCUUAAUAAAUAAUGCUCUAUAACUCUUAUAAGAUGUAAAAAGUUAAAAUUAAAUUUGAAUCCACAUAAAAUCGCAUAUACCUGCAACCAGCCCCGCCUCACGUUAGUUUUUUAAAAACCCACUUUAACCCGCCCCACACAAUCUUAAACCCGCCCCGCCCCAUUGCCAUCCCUAUAUAUUUGUGUGUGUGUGAUGUGUAGAUGACCACACUUACGUGUUGUGUUUAUUGAUGUGUGUGUUUGUUUGGCAGUAUGAGUGUGAAAUCUUGUCAAUAAUCAAUCAAUUUUACUACUAUUGGCCAUUUAAAUUAUUAAUUUUUCCUUUAUCUUAGUUUACAUGACAUUGUUUUACUUUUGGAACUACUUGACAAGUUAAUUAUUGUUCUACUAAUAAUGUUCUUUUAAUAACUUUCGCAAUAUAAAUUUAUUAAUUACACAAUUAUUUUAAAAAAAUAUUAUAUUAUUUCCAUUUAUUAUCCAUGAGAUAGUAAUAAUUAAAGUCUGCAUACAUAGUGAGAUCUCACUGAUAUAUAAUUAUUAUUGGUAUUAUUGUCAUUUCGGUCUUAUCUAUUUUUUCAAUCAUCAUUUUAACAUUUUCUUCCCAAGUCCCGAUAUAUAGAUUAAAUGAAUAUUUUAAUAUUCAUCUUCAACUAAUUAAUUCUAUCAUAUAAAAUGAGAUUAAAGAAUUAACUUUUUAAUGUAACGUACAUAAAACAAAAUAGAGUGGCGGAAUUAAAAAAACACAAAAGCAUGUGCAAAUACAAUACUGAACAUUGUCGUAUACUAGGGACCUCCUAGACACCUUAGUAGAACAAAAGGUAAGUACAAAAUAAAAAUAAGACAUAUUACACGUGUCAUAUUUGGAAAAAAUAAGAUUACUGAUGUGUUGGUAUGACGAAAAAUAUUUUCUGAUUCGUAUUGUUUAGUAUCAUGAUGGUUGAUCUUGUUUUUGUUAUUCUUGACAGGAGAAACAAAAGAGUGACCAAUUUUCUCACCCAUCAUGGCGGAAACAUGUUUCUUCUCUUUAGGAAUUAUACUUCUUUUUUUGGGAGUGAAUGGAAAUACACCAUUUUUGCUUUCUUCGAUUUUCUCUGCUUUUCCCUUUCCUUUGCCUUCCUUAUCUGCCAUAUUUCUCUUGCUCUCUUAUUGUUGUUCCUGCUUUGUUUGUUAUGUGAAUUGUGUGUCUCUAACCAACAAGCUAAAGAGGCUUUUUAUAGGCCUAAUUUUGAUAGUAAUUUCUUUUGUGUCUAUGUGUUAUGUGUAUUUGUGUAUUUGUGUCUAUGUGUUUGUGUAUUUGUGUGUGUUUUAAACUAGUCAGCAUGAGUUGAAGCAAAGAUCAUGUUGUGAAUUAUAUGCAUUUUUGUGAGUUUAAACUAGUCAACCUUAACGCCAACAAAGACCAUAUUUUGUGUGUGUGACUUUUUUGUUGUUGUUGAUGAUAAUAGUGUGUUUAUAGCUAGUCAACGUGAGAUUAAGCAAACAUUAUAUAUUGUGUUUUGUGCCUUUGGGGAAAAGAAAAAGGAACUUCACAGCAAUUUAAAAUGGGUCAAAUUUACACUCUAUUAUAUUUUGGAUUCAAAAUUAUACACUCAUCGUUUCAUGUUUUGCUCGAAAAUAUCUUCUAACUAUCUAAAUGGACCAAAACAUCAUUCCUUCUAAUGGUUGUUUCGAAAUAAUACAUUCAGUUUAAUUAUAUACCAUAGCAGUUUAACAACUUUCUUUAAUUAUAUACCGUAGCAGUUCAACAACUUUCUAAACCAUCAUCAAGUACAUAAUAAGUAUAAAUUAAUUGUAUAAAAUUCGUUUUGUAUCUAUUUGUUAAUUCUUGUAUUUAAAUAAACAUUAUAAUUAGAUGUAAAAUAUUGAUACAAACUUUCCAUAUCGAAAGUUUCUACUUGCUCAACAUUCAAAAAAAAGUUUCCAUAUCCAAAGUUUCUAUAUGCAUCGUGUAAAAAUCUAACAUCUUAAUUCAAUUAGCGAGGGAUAAUUCUUUCCUUUUUUUUCUUUUUUUUUGAUAAAAAUAAAAUUUCCAUAUCUGUUUUCUGGUUAUAUUAAACGUGCAAAAAUAUAAAAAUUUCCAUAUAUAUGUUUUUGGUUUAAGAAAACGUGUAAAACAUAAAAAGUUACUAUAAAAUGUAAAAGAAAUUCCAUAAAAAAAUGUUCCAUAGUCGUUAGGGAAUAGGAAUGAUAAUAAUAAUAAUCCAAAAAGGAAACGAAAUCCUAAUCCAAAGAUAAAACGUAAAGCCUCUAGCUAUAAUAUACAUGUGAAAUAGUGAAUUGUUUCAUUGAAAUAUUAAUUAGCUUGGCAAAUUAAACAAAAAAACAUGGCAAAAUUUCCCUCAUGUCUUGUUAAAGUAGUUGUAAUAAUGAUACUAGUAUGUUUUCCUUCCACCACCGUCUCUAGAAAACAAUUACUCUCGUCACCACCAUCAGAAGCUGCUCCUCCAAAACCUCAUAAUAAUAUUGUUAACGAUGAAGACAACAACCCAAAGGAGAAGGUGAUUUAUGAUAGUCGUCGAAGCUGGAGUUCUCUUGAUCUUGGUCACAAAAUUACGAUUAUCCUAUCUAUAUUUUGUAGCUUACUUACAAUUGUCGGCCUCGUUAUCGUGAUAACAUGGCUUAUCUAUUCCGAACUAUGGGGAUAUUGAUCCAUCUAACUACUCUAUACCUUUUAUUUUCUGUAAUUUAAUAAAUAAACAGUGUUUUUCUAUUUUCGAUCCAAUUAAUUGUUAGUGAACGUUGUACUUGUAUGUAUCGAUUGCUGGGUUUGUUUUGCUGUGUAUGGCUGGUGGAUGUUUUGUUGGAAUUGUUGACAGCGUUUUGGAAUAUUGGUGGGCUUGGGUCGAUGCUGCUGAUUGUUGUUGUUGUGGGCUGUUAUAAUUGGGUUAAUAUUGGUUUGAAGUUGGGAUGAAAUUGUGUUUAAGGGGGUUACUUAAACAAAUUAAGUGGAACUUUCGUAUAUAUCCACUCAAAAAUAGUUUAAUUAUGCUAUAUAACUAGAGUUUGCUAAUUCCGAUUCGUAACUACAUGUUAUAGGGAGGAGAGUGGCGAGCGAGAUUGGGAGAUGGAGGAGAGAGGCGAGCGAGAGAGGGCAAAAAGUGGGAGAGAGGUGAAUUGUAUAUGUAUAUCGGUUUGAUAAUUGUAUAUAUGUAACUGGUAUAUGUAUGUAUUUGUAUAUUUGGAGAGCGAGAUUGGGAGAGGGAGGAGAGAGGCGAGCCAGAGAGGGCAAUAAUUUGUAUAAUUCGCAUCUCGGUUGUAUAAUUCACGUGUUUUUGAAUGUAUAUGGUGAUAAAACUGAAAAACCAAACGAAAUCAUCGUCAUAUGCAAGUACAAACCAUCUUAUACAAAUAAAAAUCAAACGAAGAACUGUUACUUGCGGAUUAUACAAAUGUGGCGAAUUAUACUAACACGAAGUCAGCCCACAUAAUUAAUAGUUAAUGUUAGUUGCAAGUGGUAAUUAUAGCAAACUAUAGCUACAAUGACUAAUUAAAUAGUAUAAAUUCGCUUAACCGCGUAAUUUUCCCUUAAAUUAACAAGAAUUGUAAUAAAAGGGGUUAGAUUUCAAAUUAUGACAUGACCAUAUGAAAUUUCAAUUAUGACCAAUUGUAAUUAAGAACGUAGCUUUAGUAAAUUUGGUUGGAAUUUAAAUAAGAUGAACUGAUGUUGAUUAUCUUAAUUAUAAUAACAAACUUCUUAAAUUGACUAAAUAAAAUAAUUAUCUUAGUUAUAAAUUAAUUGACUCAAAAAUAUGAUCUAUGGACUAAACUAACAUAAUUAACAAAAUAUUUGAAGGGGCGCGUUGGGUAACUUUUGGAGCGCGUGUAGGAAAGAGAGGAGAAAGGAACGGGUGUGCGUGACUUUUCACAAUAGGAAAAAGUAAAAAAGGAAUUUCACCACACUAUUAUAUAUUUUUCUAUUUUAUAGAAAUGUGAAGACGACCAACGACCAAUGGAAAAAGGGAUAUUAAAUCAAAUAUACAAGGGCAAAUUAUAACUAUUAUACUAAAAUUUGUUGAUAUCCGUGCAGUCAUGUUCAAACCAAGGCCUCUAUUUUUUUUAUACUCUAGAAGUAUCUACAUCUUUCUCCACUCUUCCACUGAAAAUAAAUAAAUAUCUCAUUUGCAUCAGUUUUCUUAGAUUUUCAAGACUAAAGGGUUGAGACGUUGAGUAUUUCCAGGUAUGUUUUAUUCACAUUUUUGCUUAAAUCUCUUUGGUUAACUUUUUCAAUUUUCAAUUUUGAGUGACUCUUUUUUGUUGCUCUUAAUCAGUCCUUUUCAAAUAUAGAAAUUCAAAGAUGGCUUCUGUUCACUUUCUUAAUUGGAUAUUACAACCCUAGGUCGUUUUCUUUUUUCUUGGUCUUAAUCAAUCCUUUUCAAAUAUUCAAAGAUGGCUUCUGUUCACUUUCUUAAUUGGUUAUUAUAACCCUAGGUCGUUCCAAAAAUAUGAAUUGAUAAAAAAAAUCAGAACUGUGUGUUUUCUUCUAUCUUCUAUUUUCUUAAAAUUAUCUCUCUCUUAGAUUAUGGAUAAUUGAAAUUUAUAUGUUCUCUUGUGCUCUUGUUUAAUGGUAUAACAGAGUCUUCAUCAUUAGUAUUGAGACACUCAUAUAGCUAAAGCAUCACAGCAAAGGCAGUCGCUUUGUUGUGAAAUAUUCUUGCCAAAGAAGAAUACCUAACAACCGACAUAAAAUGAUAUAGUAAAAAAUAUGGCUUUAAGUUAUAGUAGAAAUUAAAUUUCCAAGAAAACAAAUGUGAGUUCCAAUAAAUCCUAUUUGCUUACCAAUAUACUAAUAGUAAUUCUUAAGCUUUGAGUAAAUAGGAAUAUAACGUGAAUAUCCCCAAAGUGCAAGUGUUUCAUCAUUGAUAUUUUUUCUCUUACACUUAGAUUAUUUGUAUGCUUAAUUAAUUGGUAGUGUUUGUAUUGGAUGGCUGGUGGAGCACUAUUUGUUAAGGUGUCCAUGCAUUAUACUUAGUCACUUUGCCUGUACAUGUGUAUUUUUUUGCUUAUUGAACAACAUCGAAGUGCUGACCGAUACGGUCUAUUUUUCUGUUGGUAGUUACAAUUGUUUGACCUUUUCUCACUCUUGCUACAUUUAUUAGAAUAGAAAUAAAGCUUUUAGACCUCUUCUUUAUUAUGUGUUUUCUGUCUUUUUCUCCAGAAAUUUGUGUCUUAUGGUGCUUUUAUCGUUAAGCUUUUUCUAUAUGGUCAAAUCAAAUGUUUAUUAGACACUAAAAUAUCAAUGUUUAUCAAGAAGUUGUACAUGUACUUUUUGCUCUUCAAGAGCUGGGAGGCUUAGAUUCAUACUUCUCUAAUUAUUAAUUAAUUAGUAAAGGGAUCAUACUAUGUUGAAACCAAAUCUUGCCAUAUAGUAACCGUAUUUGGGUUCUAAGCAUUCUCGAGUUUUUCAUUUGUCAUCUUACUCUUUCCGUCCGUUUGCACCAUCUGAUGAAGUUGAUUUUCAUUUACUUUGGGAUGAACUGUUAAAUGGAAAAAAACUAUAUAUUCUUUGUUACUAUUUUCAUUCCAUAUUCUCUUCUGCAAUACUUUUUAAAUUAACCUCUUAUUUUUAGCAUUUUCUACUUUUUCCUCUGUUAGAUAUGUCUAUUAUAUUAGAUUUAAUAUAUGGUUUGAACUGUUAAUUUUACAGAAUUUUUUCACUUCGUUGAGGUAUUUGUUCGCCACUGUUUUCACUUUUCUCUCAGUAUGUGGUAAGUAUUACUCAACCAAUCCCUUAUUUAAAAUUAUUACUAUUAUUUAUCGGAUAGUUAUUUUGUGUAAAAUUAUUUUGAUCCCAAAGAUGUCAAGUAAUAGAAACCAUAAAAAUGUGCAUGCUUUUCAAAAAUCAAAUGCAAAUAGAAAUGCUAGGAGACCCGAAUUAUACAGAUUGAUGCAACUUGAGGAAAAAGAAAUUCUUCUAGCACGUGAGCAAAGAGAGUUGAAAUGAGAAAACAUAACUUAUCUGAAAGUUCAAUGAAUAAUGAUUUGACUACUGCAUCAUCUUCUAAUUCCACAAUUGUUUCUAAUAGAAACCAUAAAAAUGUGCAUGCUUCUCAAAAAUCAAAUGCGAAUAGAAAUGCUAGGAGACGGGAAUUAUACAGAUUGAUGCCACCUGAGGAAAAAGAGAUUCUUCUAGCACGUCGUCGAGCAAAGAGAGCUGAAAUGAGAAAACAUAACUUAUCUGAAAGUUCAAUGAAUAAUGAUUUGCCUAAUGCAUCAUCUUCUAAUUCCACCAUUGUUUCUGUUGCACAAAGUUCUAAUCUUAUUAUGAGAGAACCAAUGUUGCUCCUAUCAGAGCCAUCAGAAAUUAAUUAUAUCAAAUUAAAAGAAGUAUCAAAUUGUCAAUUUUGUAAAGCCAUUAAAUUUGAAUAUGAACCGCCUGCAUUUUGUUGUAGCAAUGAUUUUGUUCAAUUAACUUCACAUGAGAUUCCAAUAGAAUUAAAGAACCUUUAUCUAGAAAAUACAGUGCUAUCAAAACAUUUUAGAACAUACAUUAGAACGUACAAUAAUAUAUUUGAUUUCACAUCUCUUGGAGUAACUUAUGACAAAGAAUUAGCAAAAGAAAUAAUGGUAUUUAUACUUUUCGGGUUCAAGGUCAGAUGUAUCAUUUCAUCAAUGACUUGAUUCCUACCGAUAAAAAAGGAAAAAAUCUUCAGUUACAUUUCUUUGAUAGUGAAAAUGAAUUAAGAAAUCGAAUGGCAUAUUCAAAUAAAUUAAAUGAGUAUGUUGUGAGAACUCUGAUGGAUAUAUUAAAAAUUAAUCCAUACUCUAUUUUUUAAAAUCUUUAGUUGAUGUUCCACAACUAUCUGAUUUUUAUAUUGCACUUAAGUGUGAUUCUGGCUUAGAUCAACGUAUAUAUAACUUACCAAUAGUAACAGAAGUUGCAGGAAUAUGGGUAGAACAAGAUAUUACUAAUUCUAUUCCUACACCACAUAUUCGAAUAUAUACAAAAAGUGAUAAAAGUCAAUUGGUAAAUUAUUAUUACGGUUGUUAUGAUCCAUUGCAAUAUUCAUUGCUAUUUCCAUAUGGUCAAGGUGGAUGGCACUGUGGUAUUAAGAAAAUUAAGUGUUCUUCAAUAACAUCAACACAAAUAUAUUGCGAACAAGAACAACACAAAUAUGGUUGUUCCUUACAAUCCCUAUUUACUUUGUAAAUUCAAUUGUCAUAUAAAUGUAGAGAUUUGUUCAGAUAUAAAAGUUAGUUAAGUACAUUUAUAAAUACAUUUGCAAAGGACAUGAUAAAAUAGCAUUUCAUAUACAGACUAAUGAUGUAAACGUAAAGAUAGAUGAAAUAAAAGAAUAUCAAUCUGCUAGGUGGGUAUCAGCACCUGAAGCUGCAUGGAGAAUAUUCGCUUUUCCUAUUAGCGAAAUGAGUCCAAGUGUAUAUCAUCUACAACUACAUCUUGAUGGACAACAACUUAUUUCCUUCAAAAGUACCGAUAACAUUAGUAAAAUUGCAAGUAAUCACAUUAUAAGAAAAACAAUGUUAACUGAAUUUUUUUUAAUGAAUAAAACAAACAAAGAAGCUAUGGACCUAAAUUUAUUAUAUCGUAUGUCACGCCCCGAGCCUACACCCUGGACGUGGCUGGCACUCGAAGACCAUUGCUGGCCCCCAAGCGAACCCUUGGCCUGGCUUUCUUAACUCAGCGGAAACUUAACUCAACAGAAUAACUCCAUGCAAUGAAAGGUCAAAAAACAACCCAAUUGAUAAAAUUUGGCCAAAAAGGCAACUCGAGUCUCAAAUUGGAAUAUUAUAUAUAUACAUAGAUGAUAGACUCAAUACUAACUGACUGACUGACUGUCUAUGAAGCCUCUAUAACACUGAGAUGGAUGUUGGGACAGACCCCGCAACAUCCUAAUAAAGCAAAACAUAAGAAAACAAAAUAAACGAGUCCUCCGGAAUGCAAAGAGGCUCACCACUGACUCUGGAGUGCUCAGCUGGAUCAACGGCGUGCUGGAUGCUGACCCUGGGUACCUGCAUCUGUAUCAUAAGACGAUGCAGGCCAACUGGCAUCAGUACAUUGAAUGUACGAGUAUGCGAGUUGGAAUGCUAAACAACAACUUAAGCUUGAAAGGAGUACAAGAGAACACUUACAUUGGCUCUGUUCGACUCAUGAAUACUGAACUCAAUAUAAAGCAAUAAGACACAUACAAUACAUAAAGUUUGUAAAACAUUGUAAACAACUUAGUUCGUUAAGGAUAGACUCAUGAAUACUGAACUCAAUAUAAAGCAAUAAGACACAUACAAUACAUAAAGUUUGUAAAACAUUGUAAACAACUUAGUUCGUUAAGGAUAAAACAAUAACAAACUCAACUUUACUUAUAUAAAAGUAAUAUAAGUUUUGUGGGAGGUUCUUUAACCGACAACCACCACUAUGAGCCCUAGUGAUGAUACAACGUUUUACCUCACGUUGCCCAAGGGCCAUCCUAUACCUUGCCGUGAUAUACUUUACUUAGUGGAUCCACUAGCUUAACUUACGUGAUCAUCUAAAAAAGUAUGACCCGUUAACUCCCAUGUUCGGCUACAUGGUUCUUAUGGAGAGUUGAGUUAAUAUGAACUCGUGUCCCCAAUUCGGUGCUCAAUACUACUCCCAAAAAUAUACUUUGGCUCAUAUGUUUUAAAAACAAACUUCUUUCUUUGGUUUGAGAUAAUUACUCAAAGCUUAGCCCAAAGGCUCUUUUGGAAUCAAUGUUCCCUUUUCUUUGCUCAAUUGUGAAAACAUGCAUAAACUUGUUUGGGAAUACUUAGUUCCCUAAUAACUUUUGAGAAAUGAACUUGACUCUAUACUCUUGACUUAACUUGAAACUCUAUACUCUUUACUUAACUUGAAACUAUAUACUCUUUACUUAAAUUGAAACUUGAGCCUUAAACAAAGUUAAAACGUUUAACAAAGACUCUUGAAUAACUUUAAAGACUUGCUUUGACUUGCUUCUUAACUUCUAAACUUGACUCUUAACUUCACUUGACUUUGAUCCUAACUUUCCUCGAAUUGGAUUAUGAAUUCAAGGGUAAUGAUCUCAUGUUUAUGGAUGAGUUCGGGAUGUUUAGAUGUACCUUAGAGUAUUGGAAACAACUAUAAAACAUAGGUACAUUACCAAGGAACUUGUAUGAAAAAGUGGGGAAUGAAAGGGAAGGAUUGGCGUCCUUGGCGCUAUGAGAGGCGCGGGGCGCCAGCCCUCAAACUUCAGAAGGGCCUGCUGGGCGUUCUGCCAGGCGCGCCGCCCCAAGGGGAAAGUUCAGCGUCCCUUUUUGGGGUGCGCUGGCUGGCGCGACACCCCAGCCCUUUCCCCCCAAAAAUCUGACUUUUUCCCCUUGUUUUUCCAACUCUAAACCCCUUAACUUCAAAGGUUCCAGCCCCAAACACUUAGAAUCAUAAAACCCCUCAACAUACAAUAGAUUNNNNNNNNNNNNNNNNNNNNNNNNNNNNNNNNNNNNNNNNNNNNNNNNNNNNNNNNNNNNNNNNNNNNNNNNNNNNNNNNNNNNNNNNNNNNNNNNNNNNNNNNNNNNNNNNNNNNNNNNNNNNNNNNNNNNNNNNNNNNNNNNNNNNNNNNCUUCUCUUCUUCACUCAAAACCCUCACUCUCACUCUUUUAAAAUGGGACAAACUGUUCUAAAAAUCAGUCCAACACUUUAAUAUAACCAAAAGAAUUGAUUAGGGAAAAGACCAAAAUGCCCUUAAAAUUCGGACUAAACUGCCCUGUGCGGCUGUGCCAACAGCCCAACUUCCAAAGGGCAUAACUCACUCAUACGAACUCGGAAUCGAGUAAACUUGGCGGCGUUGGAAAGAUCAUUCCAAAAUAUUUCCAGACAUAACUAGAAAUUUUCUAAACUCAUCCUGAGCUAUGAGUUAUGACUGUUUUAAGUUGACAAAAAAACUCAUUUUUUUCCCAUACUUAACUAAAUUUCCAGAUUCUGACUUCUUAAAAAAAAAGACUAAUUCCAAUUAUAAACUUCUUCAUAGUUAUUUCAAAUUGCAAGACAUCACAUCAUGAAUUUCCAGAACAUUUUGUAUGGUCAACAACACAUAAAAUGUGGACACGUCGUAAACGAGGUCAUGUUAUUGGACGUGUAGUGACAUGUUAUCCAACCGAAGGAGAAAGAUACUAUCUUAGACUUCUUUUAUGAACGUAAGAGGGCCAAAAUCAUAUGAAGAUCUGCGAACUGUAAAUGGAAUACAAUAUAAUUCAUUUAGAGAAGCUGCAGAAAAAUGAGAACUAUUACUUUGUGAUAAUAAUUUGGUAGAAUGCAUGUCUGAAGCUGCAAGUUAUCAAAUGCCAUCCAGUUUAAGACAAUUAUUUGCUAUGUUAUUGAUUUAUUGUAAUCCAACAAAUCCUAGAGAAUUAUGGGAAAGAUUUGAAAGCCCAAUGUCAGAAGAUUUAAAAAAAAGUUCAAACAUAAAUGUAAGAGAAAUACGUUAUAAAGUAUUAAAUUGCAUUAAUGAUGUUCUUCAUUCAAUGGGUCGUGACAUUAAUGAAUUUGAACUAAUUUCAGAAUAUAUCAAACCUUCAUCAAUAGCAAGAGAAGCUAAAGAAGUUCAUUAUGAAAGAAAUAUCAUUGUUACUGAGGAAGAUUUAUUAUUAAAAAAUAAAUUAAACANNNNNNNNNNNNNNNNNNNNNNNUUACAAAAUAAAUUAAACACUGAACAGAGAAAGGCUUACGAUAUUAUUCUUGAUAGAGUAUUGUCAAAUAAAUUUGGGGCAUUCUUUAUUGAUGGUCCUGGUGGAACUGGUAAAAGUUUUUUAUAUCGUGCUUUAUUAGCUACAGUAAGACACAAGGGAUUUAUAGCUUUAGCAACUGCAAGUUCUGGUGUUGCAACUUCACUUCUUCCCGGAGGUCGAACUGCUCAUUCUCGAUUUAAAAUUCCUAUUGAUGUCAAUGAAAAUUUUACUUGCAAUAUUAGUAAACAAAGUUCACUAGCAUCUUUAAUACGAGAUGCACGAUUAAUUGUGUGGGAUGAAAUUUCAAUGGCAAAAAAGAAAAUGGUUGAAGCAUUUGACUUGCUUUUAAGAGAUCUAAUGGAAACAAAUACGUUAUUUGGUGGUAAAAUAGUUGUUUUUAGUGGUGAUUUCAGACAAACUCUUCCUAUUGUUCGUAGUGAAAAAAAAGAAGAUUUUAUUCGUGAAAGUUUAUUGUUCUCUGAAAUUUGGAAUCAACUUGAAAAAUUACAGUUAUCGAAGAAUAUGCGUGCAACUAAAGAUCCUGAAUUUUGUGAAUAUUUAAUGAGAAUUGGUGAUGGAAAAUAAAAAACAAAUGAUCAUGGAAAAAUUGAAAUUCCUCAUUCUCUCAUUAUUCCUUUUACUUCUGAAAAAGAAUCUCUAAAUCUUCUCUUUAGAAAUACUUAUCCUGAUUUAUACACAUGUUGUACAAAAACUUCGUAUGUUACUUGUCGUGCUAUUCUAACAACUAAAAAUGAUUUUGUUGAUGAAAUAAAUGACAUGUUGAUCUCUCAAUUUUCAAACACUGAAAAAGUAUAUAUUGCUAUAGAUGAAACUAUUGAUCCAAAAGAUCAAAGUGAAUAUGAAGAUUUCUUACACACUUUAAAUCCUAUUGGUUUACCUCCAUACAAAUUAACUUUGAAGAAAAAUUGUCCGAUUAUGUUAUUAAGAAAUUUAAAUCCUUGUGAAGGUUUAUGCAAUGGGACACGCUUAAUAUGUAAUGAUUUUAAACCUCAUGUUAACAGUGCAACAAUAACUUACGGUGAUUUUAAAAAUACUCAUGUAUUUAUUCCACGAAUACCACUCAUGACUUCAGAAGAUGAAAAAUUGCCUAUUCCUUUUAAAAGAACACAGUUUCCCUUACGAUUAUGUUUUGCCAUGACUAUAAAUAAAGCUCAAGGACAAACAUUAGAUUUUGUUGGUAUAUAUUUACGUGAACCUGUCUUCUCUCAUGGACAAUUGUAUAUUGCUUUAUCAAGAGCUACAAGUUCUAACAAUCUAAAAGUAUUAAUUAGACCACCUUUAAUUAACGAAAAUGAUGAUCAUUCGACAUAUAAUGUUGUCUAUGAUGAAAUUAUUGAAAAAGCAUUUUCUUGAACUUUGUGCUAUAAUUUGCAAUGGUAAAUCUCAUAUACAACUUACAUAUACUAUAUAUAUAUAUAUAUAUAUAUUAUUUAUCUAUAUUAUAAUAUUGCUUUCAUUAUACAUUUGCCUUUAGUUUAUCCUCUAAUAAUGCAUUUUAAUUGCAGAUAUUUCAACAUGGCGGAAAGAUAUACCAUCAAUAUGAUCACUCCCGAUACUAAAGAUUGGACCUGUAAAGUCCAAGUUGUUGAUAAAAGUCGACCAAGGGACAACAAAGAUAAAACCACAAAAUACCAAUAUUUUAAUUGCAGAUAUUUCAACAUGGCGGAAAGAUAUACCAUCAAUAUGACCACUCCAACUACUAAAAAUUGAACCUGUAAGGUCCAAGUUGUUGAUAAAAGUCGACUAAGGGACAACAAAGAUAAAACCACAAAAUACCAAGUCUUAAUUCUGCAAGAUGAAGAGGUAUUUAUUUUUAUUAUUAAUAUAUUAUUGAUUUUAAAAGCCAAAGUUUAAUUGAGUUAACUAAAUAACCCAUCAUUUUAUAUUUUUACUUUAAUAAUAUGAAAAAUAACAAGAUAACUUUUAAAUUUUACACAACUAAUCAAACUUUUUACAAAUUCUUUUACAGGAGAAUCAAGUUCAGGCCACUAUUUUCAGUACUGAUAUAACAUAUUUUGAAAAAGAAUUUGCUGCUUCCAAGACUUAUUUGGUAUCUGUUGCAUUUGUGAAAGAACCACCUCUUGGAUAUGAAAAUCCACUUAACAAAUUCAUUUGGACACUCGAUAAAAACACCAUUGUUGAACCAGUUGAAGAGGUCAAACCUCCAGAGGAUCCAUUACCACCACCAACCCGACUAGCUCUUGCCACAUUUGACACUUUUGAGUAUCAACCCAAAGAAUUUGAAUUUGGUAUUUAUAAAUUUAUUUAAUUAUUAUUAUUAUUCACAUAAAUAAAAUCUAAUUGUUAGUAUAUAUAAUAGAAUAGUUCUCAUGAUCUAAUUAUUCUUUCUUUAUUUUUGUUUAAUGCAAGAUGUACUUGCCAUUGUCAUUAAUGGCAAUCCUUCAACAAAGACUGCAACUGGAAAACGAAUUCAAGAGUUUAUUGUCAUGGACAAGCUGUAAGUAUAUAUAGAAUAUCACUCUUGUCAUUUAUUUUCAUAUCUUAUUACUUGUUUUCAAAAAUAGGUUCUUUUUCAUUGAUAGUGUUCUCUUUUUUCUUUUUCAUUUUUUUAGUUGAUGUAUAUACUUGUAUUUAAUAAAGUGAUUAAUCUUUUCAAGUUUCAAUAACGUUGUCUCUGUAGUCGUCUUCUCCAAAUGUGCACUCCUACUUUUUGGGACUAUAGUUGUACUUUUAGAAGUGUUCUUGUUUGUUUUUGCAAAUAUUGUCUUUUCAUUCUUUCUUUUUUUUGUUUGUUUGUGCAUCUUCCCCUCUCUUUUGUUUAAGUAAUGUGCUUGAAUGCCUUGUCCCUUUGAAUCAUUCUGAAAUAAAGGUUCAGUUUUUAUAAGGAUUGAUCUUCUUCCUGAUUUGUUCCUGCCCUUUUUAUUUUAGAUAAAUUAAUUUCUCAAUAUUGUGAAGAUAGUCUCUUAAAGAGAAAUAUACUGGUUACCCUAUUUGAUUUAUUUCCUCUGCUAUGAUUUUCUCUUAUUUUUUAAAGAUCAAGAUUGAAAUUUGAUCAACAACUAAUGAUAUCCACGUUUAUUGAGGUCCCUGGUAGAUAUUGAGUACUCGUAGGGAUAAGAUUUGCAAACACUCUACCUCCAUUUAACCCACAUGUUUGAUUUCACUAGGUUGUUGUUGUUUGAGUUUUUUCGUCUUUCCACGAAAAUUUCAUUUUUUAUCUAUUAAUUAAGCAGUUUUAAACUAAGUUCUCGAUAAGUAACUCUUACAAAGUUGGAAAAACCAUGUUUGAGGUUUUAUAUCUUCUCCUUUAUUACUCUCCCAUAUGUUCAUUUGCUUAUGAUAUUGAUAAUAGUUACCAAAGAUGUUUCUGUUGCAGUCUAUAUUGGAUGUAGUUGAUCCAUUUCACUGACUUUUAUAGGACAAAAAGCUGGUAUUUGUUGAUAAUAAUAUAAUUUGAAUUUUAUUAAUUAUAAUAUAAUGUUUUUACAAUAUCACAUAUCUUCUGUAACUUUAUUUUAAUAUUUGAAAACAUCCUUCGAAUCAUAUGCAGGAAAAAACCAACAAAACUAACACUUUGGGAGGAUUUUAUUAAUCAUGAGGGAGUUAAACUUUUCAACCAACUUCAUGAUUACCCGAUCAUUCUUGCUAGGAGCAUUGGGAAAUCAUCCUCAGGUAAAAGUGCAAUAAAUUUGUAUUUUUCUUUUUUGAAAAAUAUAUGACAUGAUGAAACUAAAAUCACAUAUUCAUAUGCACGUAGGAACGUCAAAUAGAUUCGUUGGUUUGACGAGUAAAUUCAAUAUAACAAUUGAAAUCAAUCCUCCAUAUCCACAGGCUGCUGAGUUAAGGACGUGGUAAUAUACAUUUUUAUUUAAUGCAUCGGAAUUCCAGAAUAUUUUGAAAUAUAAAACACAUCUUUAAUCAUACAAUCACAAAGUUUUAAAUUUCACUUUUAUUUCUUUUUUCAUAAUCUUUCUACAACACAUAUAUAGCAAAAUGAAGAUAGUAGUAGUCUUAUUUGUUUUUGAUAAAUGUAUGGACCGUAGACUUCUUUACAAUCCUUUUUACAAUUUUCAAAAUGACACAAGUGUUUUCGAUGAGUCCAAUAUUAAUAAAUUUUCAUAAUUUUACUUGUUUAUAGGAUCAAAACAAUUGAAACAAAGCUUGUUACUUAUAAGAUGAAAAGUACAACUCCAAUAGGCUCUAUUAUGUUGAUUCCAUUUGAGGAUGAGGUUAUAUCUGUGGCUAACAUCCAGGCACAACCUCCGGGUAAGAACAACAAGUAUAUUAUUCUAUUUUUACAUUUUUUUUAUUUUCAGUAAAAAAUAAUAUUUGGUAUAUUGAAUUUGAAGGGACAAGUAUUUAAUGUUCAGGCUGAAUUGUCCCUUCCAAGUAAGGAUCAACUCUUUAGUGUGUUAGCAUGCUCAAAUUGUAAGCAAUUGUUCACAAGAUAUAACGUGCGAAGGGAAAUCUACUGCACAAGUUGUCACCGAUCCACGCAUCUUAUUCCUAGGUAUAUUUGCUCUUCUACAAAAUUAAUAAUAACUAAUUAAGAUUAUUUAUUUUGUUUGUUCAAAGAAAUAAAUGUCUUAACUAACCAUUAUUUUUUAAAUUUUUCAUUAAUUAUCAAAACAGAUGUCAAUUUGAAGUUACUAUUAAGGACAACAGCAGUUUUGCAACAGUUAUUGUUUCGGAUGAAAUUGCAGAGAAAUUGUUGCACCUCACUUCAGAAGAAAUUUAUGAAAUUUGCUUCGUCAAGGUACAUAUUACUUUUUUCGUACCAAAUAAUCACAAAGAACUUGUUGUGAUUUUGUAUUUUCAUUGUUUCUUAUUUCUUCUCUUCAACACAAGCUUGUAACAGUUAAGGGAAUCUACGAUGAGAUUUUCUAACUCACUACUGUCUAAAUUAUAUGCUACAUAACAAGUGCUCUAGCAUGAGAGUCGCAAUAUACUGAUGUGUUUGGUGAUACAUUUCUGAAAUCUUAUUGCUCUCAUUGACAAAUAAGGAUCGUAAUAGUUGAGCACUUAUGAAGUUAUGGUAGUAUAUAAUCGAUUUAUGAUGAUAUAAAAACGUCAAAGGUAUUUUUGAAAAGGUUAAGUUAUAAUAUAGUACUAGAUUUCCUUAUGAUCAAGUGAACAUAUGACUUCCUUAACUUGAAAAGGAUACUAUAGCUCUAUAGGCUUAGAAAUCUAGCAUAAGAGAAUUUCUAAUAAAGAUUCAUUUUUUAUGUAUCAUAUAAGUUGUGAAGACCUUUAUAGUCGAAAAACUUCAGCUCACAACUUUCAAACAAUAUCUCGUGAGUUCCUUAUCAAAUAACAUAGAAUGUUGUAGAUAAUGAGGGAAUGGAAACUUACCUUCAAUAGACAAAUAUCUCGUGAAUUAAUUAUUAAUUACUUAUUCUAAGAUUACUAAUCAUAUAUUUAUAUUUCUAUCUUAUAUAUAUAUUAUAUAGAAAUGUGAAGCCUUGGACGACCAAGGGCAAUCACUUUCUUUAAUUUUGUGAAAAAUAUACUAUCUAACUUCUAAGAGUUUCAAAUGAAUGUAUAUAUGAUCAUGUGAACAUAUGGGUUCCUUGACUUGAAAAAAAUACUAUAACUCUAUAAACUUAGAACUCUAGCAUGAGAGAAUUUGUAACGUGUUCAGUCUACUCUUUUCAUUCAAAACUUCAUAUCUUAAGUUCAUGUUUCUUUUCUCCAGCACCCAACUUAUACUUUUUGUUGUCUGUUUACAUUCAACUUUCUUUAUAAAAAUAUUAUCAUUGUAUAUAUUUAUUUUACUUUUAUCCAUCUCACAUAGCUACCCAUUAGCUCAAAGCUUUGUACCUAAGUUGUCAUGCGCACCUACCACAAUAGGCAUGAUGGUUUUAGAACUGUUGCAUGUUGACUCUGAUUAGUUGAAAGACCUUUACUAUUGAAUUUAAUUACAAAUGUAAAUUUCUUUCCUCAUCCACUUUUCUUUUAAUUUCAAAAUUCAUGAUCCUUGCAUAUGCUAUUGUUGUUGAACAUCUUCUUUAAUGGUAAAAAUAUCCAAUCUCUUUCGAUUUGUCUGUUCGCUUUAUUUUCUAAUUAUUAUAUAUAUAAAAUAUAAAACAUUAAUGAUUUUGUUAUUAUUAAUCUCUUUUUUUUCAUUUUUUCAGAAAGAAACAUUAUCGCUCCAAAAUGUGGAAGAUCAAUUGAACGGCAAGAUAUUCAACAUUCAAAUGAAAAGGCUAUUCACAAAAAAAUUGGAUGCAACGUAAAAAUUAUCCAUUUUGUCUUACUUGGAGAAAGAAGAUGUGAUUCAUAAACCAAUGGCAUCUACGACAGUCAAUGUUACAGAUGCAAAAAAAGCGCACAAUUGAACAUCUUAGUUCAGGGGAAAAAGAAUAUCCAACAUGGCAAACAAAUAUAAUCCUUCUACCCACAAACGUAGCAUGGAAAUGAAAAAUCAUCCCAUGAAAAAGAAUUAAAAGGUAUUUGAAUUAUUUUGUACAUUUUUUAAAACUUCAUCUUUGCAAUUGACUAAUAUAAAUGGGAUUGUAUUUAUUUUCUUUGACUUCGAUUCAGUCUCUAGACACAUUUUCUUUUAUUGUUUUGAAUUGCAGUUGAAACACUUUUUGCUGUGGUUCUCAAAGUGAUUAUUUUGGAACUCUUUUGUUGUUGCUACUGAAUGCCGUGUUUUGCAAGCUUUUGAUGUUGCUAUGUGGAUGCCUUAUGCCCUGUUCUUUUGUCGAAAUUGAAAAUAUUUUCUCCUCUGAUAGCAAGUUAGUUAAAAGUCAUCUUUUUACAAGUACUCCAUUUAUCAACUUAAAUGAAAAUAUAUUCUUUCUGGUGUUAUGAUUAUUAUUAUCGCCGAAAACUAUUCUGUUCAUUUUUAGUUCCUAAAAGAUGUUGUAACUUUCCUCUAUUGAUCUUGUUGGAAUAACCACCUUAAACUGAUAGAAUCAAAAACUACAAUACAAAAUAACAGUUAGUAAUUAAAAACUUGUGAAAUCAAGCCUAUUUGGUAGAAUUGUUUGCCUAUUUUGAUUUAUAUGACUAUUAGACCAAUCUCUUCAGUGAUUUCUCCUUGUUGAUUUGUUUGAGUUUUUCCUUAUGGCUUACAUUGAUCAUUGGGAAAGACUUUCGAUUCUUGCUUUAAAGAGUCAAAAUCAAGCGCUAGCUCAGAACUGCGUCUUUCUCAGCUUCAGCCAAUCAAUGUCUGUUGUAUCUCCACCAUUUUAUAAAUUUUGUGACCCAUAUACUUUUGCCAACUGAUCCUACACAAGUCAAAUAAUAGGCAUAUAUGUGGUUGACAGCUUAAAAUUAAGAAAGUUAGAUUUAUCAUUCUUUAAAUUUGUUCUUCAUGUUACUUACUGUUCCGGCUUGUAUAUAUCAAUGCAGUAUGACAGCUCUUUCGAGUAAUGGUAAUUAAAGCAACCACUUAAAUAAAUAUUUUUCCAUCAAUGAAGCUUCCCUUACAAUUGUUUAGUAUAUUAAACCCUCGCAUUUUAUACUCAUUAUUCAUCCAUAUGUAAAAGCUAUAACUUUCACAUUUUUCUCUAUGAUAUUUUAAGUUUCCAUGUUCCAUUUAUUGUGGCUUAGUUGGUUAGUUUCCUCCAACAUCAACUCUUUGGUGUUGAUCAGUCAUUAAGAAGUAAAAACGAUAGUUUUGUUGAAUUCGUAGUUCUUGGUGGCCUCACUAUGUUAUUUUUACAAGUAAGCAAUGUGUCAUUUACUUUCAAGUUACGUUCAAUAAAAAUCAUCUUUACGUAAAUUAUCAUUGUUUCUAUUGUUUGCUUAUCUACUACAAAAUGGAUAAAAACAAAAUUUCUUAUGUUGUUGUUGGGAAGGAAAGAAUAUGUGAGUUUGUUGAGAGUUAAAUGUCUUGGCCAUGUGGUUUAUAAUGCUUCUGUUAUUACCGUUACAUUGUUUGUUGUUGUUUUUAGUGCCUAUAUUGUAAGACUUAGAUUAAAUUAUUUAUAAAUCCUAGACUUGCUAACAGAUAUAUCUUGUGUUGUAUAAACUAUGUGAUUCCGUGCUGACAUUUAAUCCCUCAAUUUUAAUGUAACAGGUGAUUUUGAUCAAAAAAAAUGGUCCAGAAGAUCCAAGCAUGAAAGAUGCAUCUAUUUUUGUCUAAAUUAAAAUAGUAUGUAAAUUUAUGUAAUUAGCACUCCCACAUAUGGAAAUGUUAAAACUAUGUAAGUAUGUCACUUCAACAUUCAGUAGUAUCACAUUCACAUGAAUAUAUAAUGAACAAAUUUGGCAGCUAUAAUGUGUUUAAAUUAGUAAUUUUUCUCAUUGAAAUAUAUUUUAGAUCCAUUAUAAAUUAUACAUAGGGACUGUGUUGGUACUCCUACCACUACUUUUCUAGAAUGUACAGGGAAAGUAGCCACAAUGUUUUCUGCCUAACAUGUAUUCGUAUGAGCAUAGCAUCGCAUAUAUUAACAAUUGAAGAGUAUUUAGAAGACACCUGUCUGCAGUAAAGUUGUUACUGUAAUGGGAGAAAUUAGUUAUAUAAUUACACUUUGAAGUUCAUGUGUUUUAAGUCUAUUAGAUCUGACAUUUGUAAAAGAUGCAUAUGGCUGUAAAGUAGCAUAACUAAUGCAAUGGUCUGUUAACUUUUACACUAUAUACUCUAAUUAUGUCAUUUAACAACAUCAACCAUUUAUUUGAAUUUUAUGUCUCAAUUCCUAGGCUGAUGUCUUUAUUCUUCUGAAGUCCCUUUUUGCCAUUUAUAAUAUGUACAUGUCCUGUGAAAAAAAAUGUAUUUAAGCAGCUUGUUCUUUCGCUUUCAUUUCUAGACUCCCCUCGAAAAUUUGGAACCUGUUCUAAGGGAAGACAUUCAGAAGGUACCAUAUUCAUAGUUUUUUAGUUUUCUUGUUUUUUUUUCUUCUUUCUAAACUAUACAUUAUUGAUUUUAUCGUACCUAUUCUGCCUGUGUAAAAUUAAUUAUUGAAAGUUGUUUUUGUUAAAAAAAAAAAAAUCAUUUAAUUUUUAAACAAUAACGACAAACUGUGCUUUACAAGUAGAUUUCCUGUCGUGCAUUCAAUAUCUAUGUAAUAAUAAUCGAUUGCCUUCUUAUUAUGUAUAUAUUGAUAAACUUUGAAUAAGGAUACUAAAUUGUGAAUGUUUUCCCAACUUAAUAUUGAACUAAUUGUUGAAACUUGAAAGAAAAGUAAUAGUGACUCUCGCUUGUAUCUUAUUACAUGUGGAUUCUUUUAUCGUGCAGAUUAAAAAAUGUGAUUCCUUACUAAAAUUAUAGACAUUGUGUUUUUUGAAAUUACAGUUAUUUAAAAAUAUUUUUUACCACGUUGGAUUUCAAAUAUAUUUCAUAGUAAAUCAAACAGAAGUAAAAUUAUGAUAAAAUUUUAAACGUUGGGCCCAUGCUUAGCACGGGCAACGCUCAUCUAGUAUAUCUAAUAAGGAAUAUACGUUUGUGUGGGUUAAUGUAUAUAUAUAUAUAUAUAAAGCAUAUUAUUAUUCUUUCGUUUCGUCUCACAUUAUUUAUUCACUUUCUUUUUUACAAGUUUGGUUUUUUAGUAUGUGCUAAAUUUAUGUUCAAUCAUUCCAUAUCAUAUUAUUUAUUCACUUUCUCUUUUACACGUUCAUUUUCCUAAUACACUCCCUCAACAUUCAAAAAAAAAAGGUUUUCCAUAUCCAAAGUUUCUAUAUAUAUGCUUCGUGUAAAAAUCUAACAACUUAAUCCAAUUGGCGGACGGUGAUAAAUCUUUCCUUUUUUUUAUGGGUAAAAAUAAAGUUUCCAUAUAUGUUUUCUGAUUAUAUAAACCGUGCAAAAUUAAAAUAUAAAAACUUCCAUAUAUAUGUUUUUGGUUUUAGAAAACGUGUAAAAUAUAAAAAGUCACCAUAAAAUGUAAAAAAAAUUCCAUAAAAAAUGUUUCCAUAGUCGUUAGGGAAUAGGAAUGAUAUAAUAAUCCAAAAAAGAAACGAAAAGGAAAGCGAAAUCCUAAUCCAAAGAUAAAACGUAAAGCCUCUACCUAUAUAUACAUGUGAAAUAGUGAAUUGUUUCAUUGAAAUAUUAAUUAGCUGGUGCAAAUUCAACAAAAAAACAUGGUAAAAUUUCCCUCAUGUCUUGUUAAAGUAGUUGUAAUAAUGAUACUAGUAUGUUUUCCUUCCACCACCCUCUCUAGAAAAUUAUUACUCUCGUCACCACCAUCAGAAGCUGCUCCUCCAAAACCUCAUAAUAAUAUUGUUAACGAUGAAGACAACAAUCCAAAAGAGAAGGUGAUUGAUGAUAGUCGUCGAAGCUGGAGUUCUCUUGAUCUUGGUCACAAAAUUAUGAUUAUCCUAUCUAUAUUUUGUAGCUUACUUACAAUUGUCGGCCUCGUUAUCGUGAUAACAUGGCUUAUCUAUUCCGAACUAAGGGGAUAUUGAUCCAUCUAACUACUCUAUACCUUUUAUUUUCUGUAAUUUAAUGAAUAAACAGUGUUUUUCUAUUUUCGAUCCACUUAAUUGGGUGUGAACGUUGUACUUGUAUGUAUCGAUUGCUGGGUUUGUUUUGCUGUGUAUGUCUGGUGGAUGUUUUGUUGGAAUUGUUGACAGCGUUUUGGAAUAUUGGUGGGCUUGGGUCGAUGCAGCUGAUUAUUGUGUUGUGGGCUGUUGUAAUUGGGUUAAUAUUGGUUUGAAGUUGGGAUGAAAUUGUGUUUAAGGGGGUUACUUAAACAAAUUAAGUGGAACUUUUGUAUAUAGCCACUACAAAAUAGUUUAAUUACGCUAUAUAACUAGAGUUUGCUAAUUUCGAUUCGUAGCUACAUGUAAAAGAGAGGAGAGUGGAGAGCGAGAUUGGGAGAUGGAGGAGAGAGGUGAGCGAGAGAGGGCAAAAAGUGGGAGAGAGGUGAAUUGUAUAUGUAUAUCGGUUUGAUAAUUGUACAUAUGUAACUGGUAUAUGUAUGUAUUUGUAUAUCUAGAGAACGAAAUUGGGAGAGGGAGGAGAGAGGCGAGUGAGAGAGGGCAAUAAUUUGUAUAACUCGCAUCUCACUUGUACAAUUCACGUGUUUUUGAACGUAUAUGGUGAUAAAACUGAAAAACCAAACGAAAUCAUCGUCAUAUGCAAAUACAAACCAUCUUAUACAAAUAAAAAUCAAACGAAGAAUUGUUAAUUGCGGAUUAUACAAAUGUGGCGAAUUAUACAAGCACGAAGUUAGCCCACAUAAUUAAUAGUUAAUGUUAGUUGCAAGUGGUAAUUAUAGCAAACUAUAGCUACAAUGACUAAUUAAGUAGUAUAAAUUCGCUUAACCGCAUAAUUUUCCCUUAAAAUAAGAAGAAUUGUAAUAAAAGGGGUUAGAUUUCAAAUUAUGACAUAACCAUAUGAAUUUCAAUUAUGACCAAUUGUAAUUAAUAUGUAAUAUUUUCCUUUAAAAUCGUUUUUGUAAAAAUUUGAUGGUUCGCUGCACCGAAGAAUGUUGUUUAUGAUGUUUCGAAUAUUGCACUAUUUUGUUGGUAUUACUGUUUUCUUAUUAGUUGUUAUAUUUUCUUCACUGUCACUAUACAUUUUCAUACAUACUUUAAUUUGUUGUAUUCGAGCCAAGGGUCCUACGAGAACAUCUUCUCUAUUUCCACGAGGUAGAAAUAAGGUUUACAUACGUUUUAUCCUCCGCAAACCCAACUCGUAAAAUUAUACUAAAUAUACCAUUAUAUAUUUCAAUGAUAUUAAUAAAUUGAUUGAUCGAACGAAAUAUUAGCGGAGCUUAUAAUUUUAGCAUAACACCUCGAAGAUGAAGUCGGAAUGUACGUUCCAACACAUCACAUGAUAACAUUAAACGAAGCCUCCAACUUCGAUGCAUUAUACAUUUUUCAUAUAUAGACUAUACUAUAUAGUACAUCUAAAUUUUUUUAAAUAUUAUACAUUGAGUGAGUUAAUGAUGCUGGUGCCUCUUAUCUGUCGUCCUAGUAAUUGCUGACUUGUUUUUAUUCCCAUACGUCUAUUAAAUUUCAUAACAUGCAUAAUGCCAACUCAUAUAAUAAUAUUCUUCAGAAUCUAAAGGGGAAAAAAAAUGUUUCAAGAUCAAAUUUUAAGUUAUUGACCUUUCAAGUUCUUAAGAGUGUUAUCUAAUCAUGAAUGAACUUGAAUAAAAUCCUAGAAUUUGGAUUUAAAUUUUAAUAGGAUGAUAUCUUUUAAUCUGUUCAAAUUUAAGUAAGGAAAUUUGUUUUGCUAUACUUAUGCUAAAUAUAAAAUAAUUGAAGUGUGCGUAAUUUCGUUUGAACAUCAGCAUUACUAUACCGUUUAAGAAAAUGGUCCAAAUUAGCUUUUGUACUGUGAGAAGGUUUUACUUUGCUCUCUAUUAGAAGUUUGUUUCAUUUAUCUUUUUUGUUAUUUUAGUUUUAACUCCAAAUUUCUCAAACUUGACUUUAAGAUAACAUUAAAUAAGGAUGUAAUGAUAAAUUUAUGUAAUUUCUUAAAAGACGUGAAAUCUAAAAUAAUGACAUCUAAAUACGAACGGAAGGAAUAUUAGUUGGUCUCUAAUUAUUUCGAUCAUGAGUGCAUAAAGAUGCCACAUGGCUAUAUUGUGGCUACACUAUCAUAGAAAUACUGCUCACAACAAUCCAAUGAAAUUUAGUCAAAAUGUGUCAUGACUAAAAGAAAGAGAAAAAUAAGAAUUUUGAUUCAUCGUCAAUUUCAUUAUGUGUGAAAAAAAUCAUGAUUUUGAAGUUUUGAAGUGAUUUUAACAUUUUAUUUUUAUUUUGCAUACCACAAAAGGGAAAUAUGGAUCUUUUCCCUAUAUAAUAUUUGAUUUGUUAGCGACUAAAAGUAAAUUCGAAUUAGAAUUAUAACGUUGCGGAAUUGAAUAAGCCAAACUUCCUACAUAGUACAAAAUUAAAUCUUUCUACAAAAUAUGAGGGUAAAUUUGAACCUUUAUUUUUAUAACAUAGAAUCACAAUAUAUUAAUUGGACAAUAAUCAACCUCCAUCUACUACAAUAAAUAUCUCUCGUCAAGUCACUUUCAUUCUUUCUUUCUUUUUAAGUCUAAUCAACUUCAAACAUAAACUAAAAGCAUAAAUGUAUUUAUUGUUGUCCGUCUCAUAUUAGUUGUUAAUUAUACUUUAAAUAGUUAUCCUACCUUACUUGUCAAUUUACCUUUAUAACUAAUUCUUUUUUUUUAAAGUGUAAACAAGUUUGUAAAGUUUUUAAAAAGUUUCUGAAGGAUAAAUUAAUAAAACUAACAUUCUUAUUAAUGAUUUCUUAAAACGUACUAUGGGAAAUAUAGAAACUAAUAUCAGGGGCGGAGUUAGUAGUCAGCGUGUGGAUUCUUUAGAUUUUAUCAUACACACAUUUUUUCCCCUUUUGUUCAUAUAUACUUUAGAUUUGAUCUUUGUGUUUCCUUGAUAUUUUUUUUUACAUCAAAUGAUCAACAAAUCUAACGAAUUCAUUCGCCGGAUUUUCAAUUUUCCGGCUAUUCGUCCUAGUGAAACAGUAUGUUUUUCUAGCCUUGUUACAUCUUUGAUUCAAUUAGGCCAAACAAUAUGUGAAUACAAGUCAAGAACUUUUUAUACCAAUAAGAAGAAUGUUAGGAAUUCGAUUCGUUUAAUUGAGGAUAUUCUCAUUGUUCUUGAAGAAAUCCCAAAUGGGGUUUCAAGAUUUGUUAAUUCAAGUAUUGUGAGCUUAUCUGAGAUUCAUUUUAUCUUCCACUAGUUUCAUUUCUUGUUAGAUGAUUGUAGCAGAGAAGAUUCAAGAAUAUGGAUUUUAGCAAAAUCCGAGGAUGUCUCUUGCCAGUUUCAGAUGCUGGCAAGAGCUGUUGCUGUGGCACUUGAUGUUCUUCCCUUGAAGGAAAUGGAUGUUUCUGUGGACGGUCAAGAAGUGGUUGAGUUUGUGAGGAAUCAAGCUGUUAAGUUGAAGUUUGAAGUGGAAAUGGAUGAUGGGAGAAUGCAAGUGAAUGUUUUGAAGAUUUUGGAUCAACUUGAAGAUGGAAUUGUUCCUGAAUCACAUGAUCUGAAAAGGGUUCUUGAUUAUUUAGGGAUUACACGUUGGAGCGCGUGUAAUAGAGAAGUUAAGUUCUUGGAUAAUGAGAUGUUGUUGGAGGGGAAUACUGAGGAGAAGAGAGAUAUGGGAAUCCUUAGUAGCUUAAUGGGGUUCAUGAUAUACUGCAGGGGAACUCUGUUUGAAGUAUUGGAUAAUGGAGCAGGCAGACAAAUCAAUGGAGGCAGUACUAAUGCAGAUCAAGUCAUCAGGUUCUUGAAUCUUGAUGAUUUCAGGUGUCCAAUUACACUUGAAAUGAUGAGUGAUCCAGUGACAAUAGCCUCAGGUCACACGUAUGAUCGGGCUUCGAUUCUGAAAUGGUUCAGAGCUGGAAACUCCACUUGUCCAAAGACUGGUGAGAGGUUAACAAGUAUUGAUUUGGUUCCUAAUUUUGCUUUGAAGGUUUUAAUCAAGCAGUAUUGCUCCGCGAAUGGUAUUCCAUUUGUGGAGACUGGUAGGCGAAAUCGUGAUGCUGGAAGAUUUGUUGGUUCAAGCAGUGUGGCUAAUGAGCAGGCUAUGAAGUUGCUUGCAAGUUUUCUAGUAGGCAGGCUGGUUGGUGGAACAAUGGAACAGCAAAAUAAGGCUGCUUUCGAGAUUCGUUUGCUCACUAAAACAAGCAUUUUUAACAGGUCUUGUUUGGUGGAAGCUGGUGCAAUCCCACCUCUUCUGAAUCUUGUUACUUCUAGGAAUUCUUCUUGUCAAGAGAAUGCAAUGGCUACUCUGCUGAACCUCUCAAAGAACUCUAAAUGCAAAAGCACAAUUGUUGGAAAUGGAGGUUUGUUCUUGAUACUUGAUGUGUUGAAAGGAGGGCUAAAGAUGGAAGCUCGACAGCACGCAGCUGGUACAUUAUUCUACCUUACAUCAGUAGAAGAGUACCGUAAAAUGAUGGGAGAAAAUCCAGAGUUCAUUCCAUCACUUUUGGAGUUGCUAAGAAAUGGCACUGACAGAGGAAAAAAGAAUGCCUUGGUCACCAUUUUUGGCCUCCUAAUGCGCCCCGAAAACCACUGGAGAGUGAUUGCUGCUGGAUUAGUCCCCUUGGUGGUUAAUCUGUUGAAAUCUUUCGAAAGGGAAGAUCUCAUUACAGAUUCUUUAGCAGUUUUAACAACGCUUUCUGAAAGGCUAGACGGAGCAAUGGCUGUUCUUUAUGCUGGAGCUUUGCCUAUUAUUGUCAAUGUUCUAAGUUCUUGCAAUUCAAGGGCAUCAAAAGAGUACUGUGUCUCAUUGUUGCUGGCUUUGUGUAUCAAUGGUGGAGCAGAUGCAGUUCCUGUUUUAGUAAAGAACUCAUCUCUCAUGGGACCGUUAUAUUCCCUCCUGGCUGAAGGCAACUCAAAAGCAAGCAAGAAAGCUAGUACACUCAUCAGAAUCUUGCACGAGUACAACGAGAAGACCUCAUCUGGCUUGAUCACUCCAGUUUUUAUAGAGGAUCAAUUCAUUAAUGUAUGGUAAUUAUUUACAAGCAUCCAACAUGUAUAUAUACACCAUGGUGUAGGAUGCUUUAGUGUCAUUUUCCUUUACUGGUGAUAUCGGCUCAAGUUUUUAAGAGCUAGUCACACUACACUGCUGCAGCUUCUGGUUUUUUGAAUGAAGCUUUGUAUAGUUUUACUUGUAUCUCUAUACUUUCUGAUGUUAAUGUGAAUUGUUGUUAAUGUAAACAUCAAUCGUUGUAAUCUUCGAAUAAAUAAUAAGCAUUAUCUUAUCUGAAUCAGUUGGUACAAAUAUACAAUCAGCUUACUUGUUUUAUCUUUGAUUGUUCAGUUUCAUCUUCUGGUAGGCACCUAAAUUGAGAUCAAAAUGUGUAUAAGAGGAAACUUAAGUAAUUGUAUAACCUUAGACAAAGGCGGAUCUUCAGCCAGUUCAAUGGGAACCAUAUAUAUAAUGUAUAACUAUGAUCAGAGAUGUAUAUAAAUACAUACACUCUUUAUAUAAUAUUUAUAUAGUUGCAAAAGUUCAUCUUCCUCAGCAAGCUACUUUUUUUCAAUCUCAUCUAACUCAAAUUUCCUCUAAAAAAAGGCUUAAAUUAUAAAUUUGAGCUGCUCUCAAUAUUUCGAAUCACUUCAUAUAUUAUUCACUCAAAUUUCAAAAUAAUUCAUAUUUGCAAGAGAUCAAAUUUUGAGCCUCAAAACUAUUCAAAUAGAGGGCAAACAAUUGUUGGGCCUUUCUUAUUCAAUGGGCCGGUGGACUGUACUAAUUAUUGAAUAAUGCAGACUAGGGUGUAAAUGAUCCGGUUGGUUUGAGUUUUUCAAAUAUUAAACUAAACUAUUUGUGUCGAAUUUUUAAAGGGAAAAUUAGCAAAUUAGUCAAAAAGUCUAACUUAAUUAGUAAAAACCUCCAUACUUUAUAAAUAUUAGUAAAAAUAUCAAAAUGCCAUUAUUUUAGAAAAGCUUGUGUAUCCUAAUUUACUUUCUAUUUUAUCUCACCUUAAUUACACAUUUCCCAAUUAAUCCUCUAUCAUAUGUUUAAAAUAAAGGGAAUAUUUUCUCUCUCUCAUAUUUUCAUCUUCUUUUUUUUUCUUUUUUUCUUUUUUUUGCAACAUAUUUACGUCUUCCAAUUCUUCUCCAUUUCAAAAUCCGCCUCUCUUCCUUUUCUUUUUUUUUCAGAAAUUGAAAAAUAUAUUUAUAAAGAUAUUCACACAAUCCAUUUUAUUGAGGUAUGCAUCUUUAUUCGUUUUUUAAGAUUUAUUUUAUGAUUUUAUUUUUGUUUAAAAUUGUUGUCUGUAGUUGAAAUCACGUUUAGAAUUUGAUAAACUCUAAAUCACGCUCCAAUAGCAGAAUCUACUAGAGGUAUCCAACUUAAUCAACAAUUUUCUAUUUUUCAAUAUCACAAUUUUCUAUUGAACACAAAUGACGACAAUUUUAUAUUUUAAUUUGCUUAUUUUGUAUUUCAAUAUCACUUUAUCUACAAACAAGUUCUACUUUUUUAAAAUUUUAUAUUCACCAUAAUGGUAUACCAACAAAGUCACAUUUGUAUUUCAAUUGAAAUGAGUAUUUAUUGUGCUUAUUUUGUAUUUCAAUCUCAAUUUUCAAUGACAACAUAAUUCUUUUUUAUUAUGUACCAACAACUUUUAUAUUUUAUGUGUUCACUUUACCAUUCAAAUUAAAAUUGAAUAUCAUAUUGUGGUGCGUAUUUUACUGUGAUCAUUUUGUAUUUAACUCUCACAUCGUAUUCAAAAAAGUUUGUAUUUUUUUUUUGUGUUCAUCAUAAUGACAUACCAACAAAGUCAAUUUUGUAUUUCAAUUGAUGCGAGUAUUUAUUGUGAUCAUUUCGUAUUUCAAUCUCAAUUUCAAUGACAACAAGUCUAUAUUUCUUUUUAUUAUGUUUUCAUCAUAAUUGUAUAUCAAUAACUUUUGUAUUUUAUGUGCCCACUUUACCAUUCAAAUUAAAAUUGGUAUUUUACUUUCAUAGUGAAAACUAAAAUUUGUAUUCCAGUGAUCAAAAUUGUAUUACAUAACUGCCAAAUGUAUUUUUCUUUUAUUCGUAUUACAAAAAUAUUAUUCAUUGUAUCACAAUAUAAUCUAAUCAUUACAUAUGAAUAUGUUUAAAGAAAGAUACAAGAUUCUGAUAAAAGAAUAGCAUACAUAAUAAAAUUAAUACAAUCUGUUGAGGAAUUAAUGAUACAAUAUUCUAAAAAAAAUACAAAUUUAUUGUGAAAGAAAUAUGAUACAUCUAUGUUUAAGAAAUACAAAUCAAUUUGACAUACCAAUUGGAAUGACUACAAACUAAAAAAAAAAUUACAAUGUUCAUAAUAAAAAUAUAAAUGUUGAGUAAAAGAAAAACAAUUGACAAACAAAAAUUAAUAUGAAUACAAUUUUUGCAACCUUUUUCUCCAUUCUCUAAUUCUUUGCAACCUUCUUCUCCGAUUCUCUCUCUUUUUUUCUUCUUCUUCACAAAAGUCGAUUUUGGUUCUAAAAGCUAAUCCGUUGAAGCCAUGGUUGGAUAUAAAAAAAAUGUGAUUUAAUCAAAUUCAUUUCAAUAGAAAUUGAGUAUUAUCAAUGAAAAUUUAAAAAUCGAUACUAGAAAUUUGAUGAACAAGUGGGAUGAGUUCUUUGUGUUUUUUUUAUUUGUAUUUAGUUUUGAAUUUUUGUAACUGAUGAGACUUUUAAGCAAUUGUUCCUUUUUAAAAAUUUCCUCUCCCCUAAAUUUCUCCUUUCUAUUAUUUAAUAAUUGUAUUCUUUAAAUAAAACAAAUAAUAAAAACUUAAAUAAGAUACAUAUUAAACUAAAAUUUUGACAUGUUUACUAAAUAUUGAAAGUAUUGACAAUGAGUCCUAUUAAAUGUUAAAAUAUUGAUAUUUUAAAAAAUUUCCCAUUUUUAAAUUUAUAAACCAAAUCAAACUAAUAAAACUUGGUUUUUUCAAUCUUAGUUUUUUUUUUCAAUUUGGUAUGGAUUUUUCAAAUAUCAAAUCAAACCAUUUGUGUCGAAUUUUCAAAUUUAUAAAUCAAGCCAAACUAAUAGACCUCGGGUUUUUUCAGAUUUUUUUUCCUGUAAAGUAUUAAUACAAAUAUAUACUAAUUAAAUUGUGCUCCAAAUAUUUCUUUAGUCCAACCAAAAUACAAUUGUCUAAGGUGUUUCUUAAGAGAAUAACAUAAAAUAUGAGAUGAGUGAUGACAAUAAAAUAUUCAACAAAAAAUAAUAAUGAAAUCACAUAAAAUAAAUAUUGCAAAUUAAUAAGUCAUAAAAGGAUCAUAGUUUAAAAGUACUAAAUCAUGCUAAAAAAAGUCUAAUAAGUAUUAAUUACAUGAUUAAACAUUAAAUAAAAAAACAAAAUUAGGUUAUGAAUUUUAAAUGUCUAAACCAAUGUAAAAUUAAAGAACAAAUAUUCAAUAUUAUUGUCAUUUUUAGUGUUGAAUCAAUUUUUUUGUUAGCAUUAAUAUUGAUUUGAUUUUGAAUUGAGCUUUAUUAGAAUUACUAAUAUCUAUGGACUAUAAUCUUAUUGAACCAUUCAAAAUUAUAAAUCUCAAAGAACUUGAAAAAAUAUGUUAAAAAAUAAAAAUUAUGAAAAAUUUUAAGUAAUAUUUUGAAAUUAUAUCAAAGUAAAUACUUUUAUAUAUAAAGUAAAUUUUAAAAAUUAUAUAUAAAAUGUCGGGUUGGUUUGGUCUCGGAUUGACUUUUUUUAGUUAAAACUAAACCAACCCAAGUAUAGUCAAAAAAAAUUCCAAUACCAAACCAUAAUCAAGUUUUUUUCUUCAGUUUGACUCAAUUUACAAUUUGAUUCGAUUUUUGAUUUGAUUUUGUACCCCCAAACUUCCAAAGUUGGUCAAUUCAACUUAUCUCAUAAUUUGAAAAAAAAAGACCCGUUAUUUAGUCCAUUGACUCCUUAACCUGAUCAUACUCUGAUGCAACAGUUUUUUAAUAAUAUCAAUAUUAGAGUAGGUCGAUCAACGUUUGAGAUCGCGACUCAAAUUGGUAGCCUAUUUGUGAGGAGUGGUGGCUUGAAUCCAUGACCAACGUUGUUGGUCUUCAAUGAGGACGAUUAUUAUAUAUCACUUGUUCUCCAUCAAUUUUUUAAAAAUGACAUAAAUAGCCGUCCAUCAAAAUAAUAAUCAAGAAAUGUAUAUGUUGUAUAUAGACGCAUUAUAUACGUAAAAUAUACAACUUUAAUUUGAUACAAAAUAAUAUAGAUUUUUAUAUAUUUGACCAGUGAAUGUAAUUAUUUUUAGUCAAUCGAUCCCAAAUGUGUAACUAGGCUAAAUAGACUCUCCACCCCAUAACUAGUCUUCUGGAUUGUUACUCUAUUUGGAACAUAGUAUAGUAUUUGGUUUAUAACAUAGAAGUUCUAGUUAUAUUUUACAUGGAUAAGUUUUGAAUGAUUUUUAUCGAAGAAAUAAGAAAAACGAUGUGUUAAUCAUGACACACAUGUUACAUUAUACAUAUGAUAUACAAAUGAUAUAUUGUAUAUGCCAUAUUGUAUCUGUUUUCCUUUUGUUAGAUAGUUUGAUGAACUUGUAUUCUUAGAAAAACAGUUUAAUUUACUUUCUUCUAAUAUGCAUGCAUUGUCUCAUUUUUCUCAAGUUAAGUGGCUUAGCUAAUGAUUAAGCAUGAGAAUAAAGAUCUACGUGUGAUUUGUGAGUGGAUAUAAAUGUAAAACAUCAUUUAUGUUUUUUCCUAAAAAAAUUAUGUUCUAUAAAACUAGAAUAAAAAAUUCAAUAUCAAUUUUAAAAAUUAAUAAUUUAAUAUCUCAAACUUUUCAGAAAGUGAUAUUUCAAUUUUUUAAAUUAUAAAACUUGAUUUAAUUUUAUAUUUUUCAAAUAAGGAUUCAUUGUUUUAAAUUUGAUAAAAAAAUAAUAUAUAUGUUCGACAUGAAUAGAUUAUUGUAUCACCUGGAAGGAUUAUAUUAAAGAAUAGUUAGUAACCACUAUUGCUGAUUAUUAUUUUUUUUGGAUAAAAUGAAUAUUUGUAAAAUUAUGCGCAUUUGAAAGUUUAUAAUAACAUGUAAUCGCGAACAUUUAUUUACAAAGAACGUAUAGAUAUGUGAUUUAUUAAUGUGUCGCCUUAAGAUAUUGUGAUACCUUGUUUAUGAAAUAUGAUAUGCUCAUUUGGUAAAAUUGUAUAAGAGUUGAGAAAGUUUUGAUAGUUUUCAUAAUUUGUAGGAUUUAUAUAUUUAUGAGAACAAAAUACAACUUAAGAAGUCUAAAUUGCAUAUCCAAACAAAAGUUCAACUUCAAAUCAUCCUAAUUUCAAAUCACUAAUUUGAUAUGACGUUCAAAUGGAUCCAAAAUAUUGUCUAAACUAUACGUUUGACUCCCAAAAUUCGAAACGUGUUACAUAAAUUAGGACGAAGAGAGUACAUAAAUAACUAAUACUUAUAUAAUUAAUAUAUGUAUACCUCUAAUCAACAAUCAAACAACUCCUCAUAAUUAGAAACAAAACUCAAUUUUAAUCUUACAUUCCUAAAAUAAUACUCUCUUUAUUUCAAUUCACUUGUCUUACUUUCUAUUUUUAGUCCGUUUAAUAAGAAUAUAUUUUCUUUCUUGGCUACUCUUCAAUUUCAGUUUUUCAUCCAACAUGUUUAAGAUCACAAGAUUAAAUACGACAUUUUAAUAUAUUUUUAGUUUAAAAUCAUAAGUAGUACUCAAAUUUAUUCCUUUUUUUUCUCAAAUUCAGUGUUAAUCUAAAAGUAGACAAAUACAUUGAAACGAAAAAAGUAAUUAUGCUAAUUUAUUUUUAAGUUUAUAAACGACAUAAACAAAUUGAAAUCGAAAAAAUAGUAAUUAUCAUAAUUUGUUUGUUUAUAUAUCCUACUAGAUAAUGUUGGCACGGGCCCAAUAAUAUAAAUGGUAUGUUUUGGGGCUAAUAACCGAGUUUUUGAAGCGACUGUUUGUGUGGAUAAAGGAAUAAGUUUUUUUAUCACAAACCUGUACUUUCUUUGACACUAUUUAAGGCAUAAUAAGACUACCCACAUACAACAUUUUUGAAAUAUUUUAUAUUGUCAAUUAUCAUGAUUUAUAGUAUUUUUACGAUAGAUUCACUUCAAGAAUCAGUGGAAUAGAUAUUUGGUGCCCGUGCCAACACGAGCCCAAUAAAUAUUUUUUUUGUUUUUGUUUUAAUUUAUGUGAUAUAAAUGGAAUUUGAAGAUCAGUCGAUUUUUUAUAUGUUUUCUUAAAAAUAUAUUUGAAGUUAUUAAAUUGUUGUGAUUUAUAGUAUUUUUGCGUUAGUUUUGAAUAAUAUAGGUUACUCAUGUUUCAAUUCACGUGAAUAAUCAUAAAUAUUUUCAGUUGUUAAUUUAUUGUGAAUUCUAGAAAUUUUGACGUUAUUUUCAAAUAGUACAUGUUACUUAUUCUAUUCCAAUUAGUCAACCAAAUUCCAUAUAUGAUUUAAAAAUAUUUUUAAUUGCUAAUUAUUGUGAUUUAUAGCAUCUUUUAUGUAACUUUUAAUAAUAUAUAAUUUGUUCAAAUUGAUAUGACAAUGAUAAGAUUUCAAGAGUCAACGCAAUAAAAAUUUAAAUUUUUUAAAAAGUUGUACCUCUAAUAUAUUUUCUAGCUAAAAUAUAUUCUCUCCGCCCACUUGUAUUUGUCAUGUUGCACUUUUUGAAAGUCCAUUUGACUAAUUUUCAAAGUUAAAUCAGAUUGUAUUAAUUCGAUAUUUAAUAAAUAAAAAAAAUAUGCAAAAUCUAUACAAAAAGUACUAUAAAUUGGUAGUUUUUUGCCUAUGAAUAUGAUGAAAAAAUACAUUGUAUAAAUAAAAAAAAUAUGCAAAAUCUAUACAAAAAGUACUAUAAAUUGGUAGUUUUUUGCCUAUGAAUAUGAUGAAAAAAUACAUUGUAAAAUAUUAGUUAAAAUUCUUAUAGUUUGACUCUAAAAAGGAAAUCAUAACAAUUAAAAGUGCAUAGAGAGAGUAAUAAAUAGGUAAUUAAAUUUCAAGAAGUUUAAAAUAAAAGGUUGAAAAAAAGAAUUAGAUAGAUAACAUAUAUUGAAAAUUGAAAACAUAUAAAUAAUAAAUGGGCCCAAAUGAGGUCAAACUUUUUGGCUAAUAAAGUAGUAGGUAAUUAAUGGUGUUAAAUUGUCCAAUAAUAUAAAUUUUAAAGGUAAAACCAUAAAAGAAGAAUGUACAACACUAUCAAGCACAUAUCAUCCAACACUUGUCAUGUGCUAAGUAGUAGUUAUUACCACUUAUUAUAUACUAGACAUCGGAGCCCGUGCUAGCACGGGCCCAGUAUGUAUCAUUUUUGUUUCAAUUUAUGUGACAAAGACAAAAUUAAAGAGUUAAUCAAACUUUAAUAUUAAUUUAAAUAGUUUAAAUUUUUAAUUAUUGUUAACUGUGGUAAAAAUAUUUUUAUGUCUUUUAACAUUCUAAAUUGCUAAUUAUUGUUGUAUGAUUUGUAAUAUCUUUUAAGCAAUUUUGAAAUAAUAAAGGUUAUUUCUUCUUUCUCAAUUUUAUGUGGUACUAAUAAAAUUUCGAGAUUCAAUCUAAUUUUUUUUGUCUUUAAAAUAUUCUAUUGUUAAUUACUGUAAAUUAUUGUACUUUCUAAGUAAUUUUCAAAUAAUAUAUAUUAUUUCAUCUGUCCAAUUUAUGUGUCACCGAUAAAAUUUGAAGAGUUAAUCAGAUCUUUUACAUAUUUUUAUAUCUUUUGAAUAUUUAAGUAAAUAAUUAUUGUGAUUUAUAAUAUUUUAUACAAUUAUUUAAAAAAAUUUAAACAACAAACAAACGAAUUCAUCAUAGGAAAAUUACCAAAGCAUCCUUGAAUACAUCAAUAAUGGGUCCCACUUUUUGUUUAAAAAAAUAUGCAUAUUGGGAGGAUAUUUUUGUCCAAAGUGGAAAUAGAAUAACGUAUAAAGCAUUAAAGUCUUUUAAAAUUUUAAAUUGUUAAUUCUUAUUGUAUGAUUUGUAAUACUUUUACGCCAUUUUCAAAUAAUAGAGGUCAUUUCUUCUUUCUCAAUUUAUGAAGUACUAAGAAAAUUUUGAGAUUCAAUCAAUUUUUUUUGUCUUUGAAAUAUUUCUAGCUGUUAAUUACUGUAAUUUAUAGUACUUUUUAAGAAAUUUUUAAAUAAUAUAUAUGAUAUCAUUUGUCCCAAUUUAUGUGUCACCGGUAAAAUUUGAAGAGUCAAUCAGAUCUUUUAUAUAUUUUUAUAUCUUUUAAAUAUUUAAGUAAUUAAUUAUCGUGAUUCAUAAUAUUUUAUACAAUUAUUUAGUAUAGUAAAAUAAAUUUAAAAGAACACAAGCAAAACGAAUUCAUCAUAGGAAAUUACCAAAGCAUCCUUUAAUACAUCAAUAAUGGGUGCGACUUUUUGUUUUUAAGAAAUUGCACAUUCGAAGGAUAUUUUUGUCCAAAGUGGAAAUAUUGUGUAAAAAAUGUGUAUUUGUUGUGAUUUUGAAUAUUUUGUGGGGCAAUAGGACGCACGCAAAGUUAAGGUGUCUUUUUGAAAAUCUGGGACAACUUCAAGUAUCACUUAAUGUUUUUUCUCAAAAUCUAAUUUACUUUCAUAAACUAUUUGUCAGAUCAAAAUCAGAUUAACAAAUUCAAAAGGAAUGAGUAAUAAAAUAGCUCAUACAAAUAAUAAAUAUGUAACUAAAAAUCUUGUUAGUUUUUGGUUGAAAGCUAACAAGAUAGUUAGAAUGAUAGUUGCAUUGUGAAAAUCUUAUUAGCUUUUGGUUGAAAACUAACAAGAUAGUUAGAAUGAUAAUUGCAUUGUGGCUUAUUAUAUAUAGAUAAAUAUAUGCACGAAAUAAAAAAGGACAUUGAAGAAAGUGUAUUUUUAAUCUAAAUUCUCGUACACAUUAUCACGCAAUUAUUAUUUAAUUCACAAUUUACUUUUUUUCGUAGUUAUUUUUAUUUAAUUAUUUUUUUUUAAAUUAAAAUCUUUUCAUGUAUAAUUAAGAUAUUUGCCUUAUUAAAGAAGCAUGCUUAACAAAACCUAUAAGAUAAAGACAUAUAACUAUGCCAACAAAUUAAAUUAAAUUAAUAUCUUUCAUAAAAUAAUACUAAGCAAAUGCGUCACAAAUGCAAAAAUUAAUUUAUGAUGACAAGAUUAGCACUUUCUAUAUAGCACCCUUUCGAAGUGGCCAUUGGCCAAAUCAUGAAAUUAUUUUAAUUAUAUUUUUUUACCUUAAUAAUUAUCUACAUAAUUUUUGAAGAAAUAAUUUUUUUUUAAAAGUCAAGAAAGGGGGAUGUCGGGUACGGAAAAAAAUAUUAAAUUUUAUUAUCCAGUUGUUGCCAGCCUGCUAGCAGGUGGCAUAGCUUUUUUUCACUUUGCGUAAUAGUCCGUUAAUUUCUUAUAUUAAUAUUACUAGUUCGUAUAAAUGGGAUAUGAUUUUAAUUGAGAAACUUAUUGCAAAGAUGUUAAUUUAAUUUAAUUUGAGGGCCCUUUUAUCUUUUAACAAUAGAACUUUUCGAGAGAAAAAACGUUUCUUACGAAUGCUAAUUCAUUUUGAAAAUUCGAACUUAAAUUUUUUAAAUUAAGAAUGAAGAAUUACUUGAAACUUUGUUAAAAUCUGUAAUGAUUCCUUAUACAUAUAUGAUUGAAAUGGAUCUUAGGGUUAUUUUUCUAUUCUUGAUAUCAACUACAGAUUCGCGUGUGAGAACGGUAUCUAUUACUUAUUGCCCCCUUUCAAUAAUAUGUGUUUCUCAACCACCCGCUUGUUACAAGAAUGUAUGAUGAUGAGAAUCAAAGUAGUCUUGUGAAAGCCUAGUGCGAACAAUUGUGAGCGCAUUAAAAAAAUUAAUCAAAUAUUUACUAAUUUGAGCAAAAUCGAGCCUUGCCAUUCAAGCCUUCUCAGUCGCGGGGGUGGGGUGGUGGGGGUUGUUAAGUUAUUGAUGAAUUACUUAAGUAUAGAGAUAAAAAGUUUUCACAAUCUAUAUCUAUAUAUAUAUAUAUAUAAGGCUGAAUAUAGACAAUUUGAUGUGGCACCCCUUUAUGACCAGCAUUUAAAGAAAAAUCUUUUUUCUCCUUUUUUUGAUAUUUUAUCUUUGUUUUGUAUUUUUUAUAUGUAUUUUUUUUUUUAAAAAAACUGAAAAUAUUUAUGUCAUACCCAAUUAAUUAUGCCCUAUAUAACAUCCAUUACACUGAUAUAGAUUUAAGUAAAUGGAAGAUGAAUAGAUAAAAAACUAUUCAUUUUGCAUAAUUGUUUAUAUUUAUUUAGCCUAUAAAAUAAAAAUAUUUGAGCAUUUGUAACAAACAACAACAAAUUUUCUUCACUUUUGGCUCUUCUUCUGACAAUGAUGAUGAAUAUUCGCUAAGAUGUCCAUCAAAUUUCUAGCUCAUGUGACUUUUUUUAACAAAAGAGAAAGAGAAAAUAUCUCAUAAUUCUUGUGAAGCUAUUGAUGUAAAGAAAGAGAUCAUGCAACAAAAGCUUCUCUUCAAAAUGAAAAACUUUCUGAAAGAAUGUUUAUUCCUCCUGCAAGGAGAGAAAAUUCAUUUUGAUUGAGAAAUUUAUAGGAAAAAUGAUUAGUGUUUCAAAGGGUAAGAAGAAUUAUUUGGAGAAAAAUCAUUUUAUUUAUGGAAUUCAUAUCAAAUUAGGAGGAGAAUAAGCAAAAAAUUAUUUUGUGAUUUGAAAAAAGAGAAAAUUAGAUAUUAUUUCUUUCAACCUCAUUAUUCUUCUAAAAAAAAAUUUAUUUUUUAUUUUGUCUUGAUUUUUUUAAAUCUUUAAUUAAAGUUUUUUUUCUUAUUUAUCUUUAAAUAAAGUUUAUAUAUAUUUUCAAAAAAAUAAUAAUUAAAAAGAUGAUCAUAUUUAGUUUCUUUCCUCAUCAAUGCUAUUAUUCUCAUAAUUAGUGUUAUUGUUAUAAAAUCAAGCUUAUAUAUAAUCAUAAAGAGAAGAAGACAAGAGAAGUAGAUGAAGGAGAAAUUUUUUCUUCUAAUUCAAAUUGUGUUCCGAAUGGUGAGUGAUAUCUCUAUUUAUAGUGUUGAGAUAUCACUCCCAAAGGUCACCAAACUAGUAGAUACAUAGUUAUCCCUUAAGGUUCUUAUCACCUUGGAAGCACCCAUACAUGAAUCAAAUUAAUUAUUGGAUAAAUCUAAUUGAUAAUCCACACAAUGCAAUGGAUUUAUAACACUCCCCCUUGGAUGUCCAUAAAUUAUGUGACUCGUUAAAACCUUAUUAGGAAAAAUCCCGUGGGAAAAAAAUCUAGUGAAGGAAAAAGAGUACAUAUAUAUAUAUAUAUAUAUAUAUCAUUUGAUACGCAUUAUUUGUUGCCUCAUUAAAAAACCUUGCCAGAAAAAAUCCAGUGGGACAAAACCUCGAUCAAGGAAAAAAGAGUGCAAUAUGUAUUGUACUCCCCCUGAUCAAAACAUCACUUAAUUUCUUAUGAUGAUGUCAUCCAAUCUUAUAUACCAACUUCUCAAAUAUUGACAGUUUCUUUGUGAUCAAAUCAUAUUCACGAAGAUGUUGCAUGAUUGAACUCAUUUCUGAUAUGUCAUUUUCUGGUUUCACGGAUAUGAUGAGGCUUUGAGCUUAGCCGAAUACAUUCUUGAAAAUCACUCUAUUCGUGACCUCGUUAAUGCAAGUAAAUUGCUCGUUCAACUUGUUCAUAGCAACAAUCAUCUUGUGGACACUUUCAUUUGCUGUUGUUCAUCUUCAUACAUUGUGGUUACAUAUUCUUUUCAAAGAUUCAAAGAAAAACCACACAUUUCCUGAAUAUGGUGUGUCAUUGAUCUCAACAAGACGCACUCUCGACUUUCUUCAUGGAGGGCUUUUAUUUUUGCAUCGUUUGAAGAAGUGAUUACCAACAUUUGCUUCAUUGAUCGCCAAGAUAUUAUUGUGCCUCCACAUGUAAACAAAUAACAUGUUUGAGACCGAACUUUAUCCGGAUCAUAUAAAUAUUCUGCAUCUGCGUAACCAAUCAAUUCUGUCUUGGAUUCCUCGGAAUAAAAUAAACCCAUGUCUAUGGUCCUUUGAGGAUAUUCAAGUAUGUGCUUAACACCAUUUCAAUGUCCUUUUGUUGGGGAGGAACUGAAUCUUGCUAGUAAAUUUACUUGGUCGAGUAUUUUUAGCAAGAUGUGCCCUGAUUGCACUAAGAUAUGGAGUUUCAUCACCAAGAAGCUAUGCAUCCUUCUUUUGAGAUCAAAGUGAAUCUUUAUUUAUGUCAAUCGAUCUCAUAAUCAUUGGGAUACUCAAUGAAUGUGAUUUAUCCAUAUAAAGUCACAUCAAAAAAAUUAUGUGUAUGUUGAUUGAUGGACAAAUAUUUCAUUCGUCAAAUUCUCAAUCUGUAGGUCAAGACUAAAUUUUGUCUUUCCAGGAUCUUUUCAUUUUAGAUUCCCUUUUCAAACACUCAAUAGCUUUUAAAAUCUCUUUAAGAGUGUUAAUAAUAUUCAAGUCAUCAACAUACACAACUACUAUAACAAAUUCAGAUCCUGAACUUUUCAUAAAAAUGCUAGGACAAUUAGGGUCAUUCUUUUUGUACCCUUUUCUUCCUUGAUUAUUUCAAUCCAUAUAAGAAUUCUUGAAGCUUUAUUGAAAAAGUUUCCUUCAAACUUUUAUAUGCUUCAGACACCUUGAUUGCUUCAAGGAUUUUCAUAUAACCUUCAAUAAUGUCUAGCUAGACAUGAUAAUUAUUCAUUAUAUGCAUUCAAGUUUUCAUAUAUUGCCAGAUUAACAAAUCUCAUUGCAUCCAUCAUAGGAGAAAACAUCUCCAAUAAUGUCAGGAUAUUUGUGAGAAACCUUUAUGUCCCAAGGCACAAGCCGUACUUGAUAUCUUACGGUUAUACCAUCACAUAAUAAUUUAUUUGUACCCCACUGACAUUAUACCUUGAUUUAUGGACUAUCAAUCCAAAACAUCACUUUUCUAAGUGAAACAAAAUAUACUUGAAUUAUGCAUUUUAUUUGGCCAAUCAUUUAUUUGUCCACAUUAUGUGACAUAUUUGAAUUCAAGAUCCUCUUCACAAUCUAUAUCAUGAAACACUACUUCAUAUCAAAGGUAUUGUCGACGGUUAUUUGAUAUCGAUUUCAAUAUGACAUAAUUUAUCAAGAUCUCUUCAUUUUUCAUCAUUUUCAGGUACCUGAAUCUUUUUCAAGGUUUUACGAAGUGUUAUGUCGUGGUGCUCUUUUAUAGCACUUGCCUCAUGAUCAUUACCAUAUUGAUCAUGUGCUCCUAUCCUACUUCAAGAAAUUUUACAUUUGGAACCGAUUGGUCUAUUACGCUUCAAGCGUAUCAUAGACUUUGUCCCUUCUAGGACUUCUCAUUGGAGCAUUUGCAGCUGAAUUAUAUCAUAGGGUCAGUAAACUAAUCUGGCAAUUGAUUUGCAACAUUAUGCAAAUGAAUUAUCACUUGAAUUUCAAUUUCACAUUUUCUUUUAACGAGGAUCUAGAUAAUUCAUAAUUAACCUCACACAUAAUUUUCAGGUGUCAAUCAUCUCUCCUCCUAAUGUUAAAAAAUCUAACAUUCAUCCCAAUCUUAUUUGGGAAUUCAUCUUUGUGCGUGGUGGAGAAAUUAAAUCAUAACUGCACAUUCAACAUUUUAGAUGAAAAUUAUUUGAUUCCUGAUCCUGAACCAAUUUUGAUAGGGGACCUUUGUUGGCUUGAUGCGUACAAGUGUUGUUACAUGUUAAAUAAAUUCAUCUCAUACCAAAUCUUAUUUGGGAGUUUCGUUCACAUACCCAUGAUUUAGCUAUAACUGGAGGCAUACAAUUUCUGUUAAACCGUCCAGCAUUAUCAACGUAAUAAAUGUGCUCUUAAUUUAGAAAUUCGAGCAAACAACCUUACAAAAAUUAAUUUGUAAGUUGAAAACAAAGCACAUGUGACCAUCUCAUAGAUGUAACUUAUUAUAUAGUUGCAGACGGUCCACAUGGCAGGUGAACGGGCCCAUAUUCACCGUUUUAUAUGUUCCAAAAAUCAGAGGGAGUAUAAUCUCAACCUUAGUUGGUACAAUGAUACAAUGAUAAAAUCAUUAGAGAACAAGCAACACAAGAGAAUUCUUGAAGAAUAUUUCAUUUCUUCAGUAAAUAAUUAUGUGAAUUCUCAAUUAUUUUUGCAUCAUAUUUUAAUUGGAAUGACCAACCGAUCAUGCCAACCGAUCUUUAUUCCAGCACACUUAUAGUUUACUUUCGCAUGUGAUUUGAUCAACAUGUCCAUGUUUGUGUGCAACAAACAAGAGGAAAAAAUGGGUAAGCUUUUAUAACCUGUUUCGGUUGUAGUAAUCUGAAGAUAUUAAAUCUUUUCGUAAUUUAUAGUCUCAAUAUUUCUUUUCAAUUCAUCUGAAACUUAAAAAGGUUUUUUUGAGACUUACUACAACCCCAAUAUUAUUCCUCUGGCAAUAACACAUCUCAUUAGAGCUUGUAAUUAAUUUUUGUGUACUAUCACACAUUUCAUGACAUCAUCCAUAUGGUGAGCAUCUCCUUCAAGGAGAAAAUUAUAUUAUUAUUGUCAUGGUCAAAAUUAUUACGAGCAAGACAUGUUUCUUGCUUUACUUUUGUUGUACCAUAGGUACACCAACUAAUGACUAAUUUGUAUUGUCACACAAUAAUAUAUUUUGAUCAUGGCCACAACCUUUAUAGACAAGAAUUACUUCUUUCUUUUACCCUUUCGGUAGUUCACAAUAAACAUACCAUAAUAUUUAUGACGUAUAAACAUACAAUACCAUUGACCAUUUCUGUCAAAUAAAAUAUUUUUAUUCCUCUCAAACCUCCCGUAGAGUUGAGUUGUGGCAUAUUUCUAACCAUACAUGAAUAUGUUCUUAUUCAUAUUUUUUUUAUUCAUAUUUUGACACAUUCACUUUCAGAAUGGUCGAACAUUCAUCAUGUUUCUCACAAGUCACAUUCUCUUUAAGGAAUGAACUAAUCAUGUGCUUUUUAAAUUUGAUUAUAAGCUCAUUGUCAUGUCCUUAAAAUUUAUCAUUUUUGCAUGACAUGCCUUAACGUCACUUUUGAAAAGUCAAGUGUACCAUCACUUUAUCUUCCUUUCUUUUGAUGGUAGCUUUAUAAACUUAUCAAAUUAUUAGGUCAACAACAACCACAAGUUCAAUGACCUUUCAUACCAUUUUGAUGAUAAAAAUUACCUUCACAUUUUGAAGGACCAUUUGGAGAACGCAUACUGUUCUUCCUUUUAUAAUUACCACAAUGAUGAUUAUUAGAAUUCCUUCCUUCACGCCCUUAUUCAUAUCGUUAAUUAUUUGUCAUCUUUCAGACUAAUUAUUCACCGCUACACCAUUCAUACGAUAGAAUGGAGCAAGUCAAUAUGCGGAUUUCAAAGUUAUCAUAUGUCGCUACCACAUUCUUUUCAAGGAAUGGAGCAAAUUUAAUGGGACGAAUUUCAAAACUUUUCAUUAAAAAUAUACUAUUUUUGCUUUAGUCAUCAAUUUAUCAUCAUUAUGGUGCAUUAGAACUUAAAUCCAGCGUCUUAUUCAUAUAAAGUCAUCUUAGGUCAUAAAUCUAUGAGAUUGGACCCAAUAUCUUAUCAUCAUGGUGCAUCAAAACUCAAAUUGAUGUCUUACCCUCUUGGUGCGAUAGAACUUGAAUCUAUCGUCUUAUCCUCAAAUAUUUUUCAUUAUGUUCAUCCGGACUUUAACCUGAUGUCUUGCCCUUUUGGUGCGAUGGAACCUGAAUCAACCGUGUUACCCUCAGUCACUGACAUAAUAAGUCAAAUGCAAUAAGACUCACCGUUGAGCCUCUUAAAAAAAAUAUUAUCACUUUGUGAUUAAUAUAGAACAAAAGAAGCAAUAAAAACAUUAUCAACUAACUAUGUACUACUCUUAAAUUUUUCAAAAUAGAAGAGUUACAUAUGCAAUUAAAUGCAUGUCAUUUCCAAAGUUACUACUCGAAUUACAAUACAGACAAAAUUUUACACCUUUUGUUUGUGGAAUAAAAACUACUAUAUGUGCUAUCUAAUAAUAUUAUAUUGCACACAAUAUAAAGAUGGGUGAAAGAAAAUAAUUAACCUUAUUUUGUUGUGCAUAUUGACUGUUAUGAUCAUUAAAUACGUACUAGUAAAAUAUUUGCAUCAAAGUAUAAACUGACAGCCAACUCUAAAACUUUCUCUUUAGAGUAUAUGCAUAUAUACCUGCUAUAAGAGAGAUGAUCCGAAUAAAGUUAUGAAUACAUACCAGAUUAAGAAGUGAUACUCAACUUGGAUAAAUCAAAAUGAUAUUAGAGUCUCGUGCUGAUAACGUGUUAUAAAAUCAAGCUCAUAAUAAUAUAAUCAUAAAGAGAAGAAGACGAGAAGUAGAUGAAGGAGAAGACUUCUUCUUAUUCAAAUUGUGUUCCAAAUGGUGAGUGAUAUCUCUAUUUAUAGUGUUGAGAUAUCACUCCCAAAGGUCACAAAAAUAGUAGAUACAUAGUUAUCCUUUAAGGUUCUUAUCACCUUGAAAGUACCCAUACAUGAAUCCAAUUAAUUCUUGGAUAAAUCUAAUGGAUAAUCCACACAAUGCAAUGGAUUUAUAACAGUUAUAUAUAUAUAUAUAUAUAACUUAUUGGCUCUAUUUUAUGGAAAGCUUAUUGGAGCUUGCACUCAAGAAGGCAUAAACUUAUGCAAUGAGUUAAAGCUAUCUCGACAGCUUAAGAUGGAUAAGCUAAGAGAGAAAUCUCAAUUAGGAGAUUUUUGUACACAGUUUGGAUUACCAGAUGCUUCUAAAGGUACCAAACAUGAGACUUCUAAGUCUGAUCAUCGUGAAUCUCAUUGAAAGAGAAAAGGAUCUAGAAGGAGAUCUAGAGAAGAAAGAGAAGAGCGAAAAGCUUAUCGUAAAUCUCGUAGAUUUACGAAAAACAGGUCAAAAAGAGAUCUUGAUAAGAUCAAGUGUUACAAAUGUGGAAAGUUUGGACAUAUAGCUCCAAAUUGUAAAUUGGAAAAGCUUAAAGCUCUAGAACUAGAUGAAGAUAUUCAAGAAAAGGUUUAUAGUUUUCUUUAUACUUCAGGUUCCGAGUCAGACUACGAAGAUUCUGAAGCAAGCUAUUCAACAGAGGAUGAUCAACCCAAGUCCUCUAAAGAUCAGCAACAAGAUACUAGUGAUACUUGCAAAUGUCAUGGUGAUAUUUGUAAUUGUGAGCAUGGCGAGUUCUACAAGUUACAAUCUCAGUUCGAAGAUAUGGACUUAUUCACCAUAACCUCUGACAAUGUCAUAGAACUUCUCAAAGAGGUCACUGAUAGUACUCUUCGUGAAAAGAUUAUUCAAUUUGCAGCCAGCAAAGCUAGCUCAUCGGCUCACUGCACUCUUGAUGAUAAAAAGGGUAAAGAUGAUUUUGUUUAUUCUGCUCCUUAUUCUUUGUCCGAAGUCAAUAAUAGACUUUCAUCUAGGCAAACUAUGGUGGUUCGUGAUUCUUUUUUUGAUGACUUAAAAGGAGAAAUUGAACAGUUAAAAGAAGAAAUUAAAUUUCUCAAACAAAAUCAUAUUAUUUGUGAUCACCGUCUUACUCAAAUUGAGUCUGCUAAUAGCAAAGGAAAAAACAAGGUUGAUGAUAAUCCUAUUGAAGUUUUUUCUAAACCUUUACAUACUGACCCUAAACAAAAUAUGUUUUUGGGAAUGAUGCAAGUUGUUACAGCUCAUAAAUGGUAUGUUAAAUGUACUAUUUUAAUUGAUAAUUCUUUUUCUAUAUCCAAUAUUGUCAUGAUUGAUAGUGGAGCAGAUGUAAGCUGCAUUCAAGAAGGACUAGUGCCUACAAAAUAUUUUGAGAAAACUACUCAUAUGGUUAAAUCCGCUUCUGGUCAUGCUUUAGAUAUAAAGUAUAAAUUAUCCAAUACUCGUAUUUGCCAAAAUAAGGUUUGUAUUCCUCACUUCUUUUUCUUGGUAAAAAAUCAGUUAUACCCUCCUAUCAUUUUAGGAACUCCCUUUAUAAAUGCUAUUUAUCCUUUUACUAAGAUAAAUGCUAAGGGUUUUUCAGCCACUUAUAAAGAAAAUGAAAUUAGUUAUACUUUCAUCACUGAACCUGUUUCCCGUGAUAUUAACACAUUAAUUGAAAUGAAACAAAAGCAUGUUAAUUAUUUACAGCUUGAAAUGUUCAGUAUAAAUAUUUUUGAUACUUUGAAAGGUACUAAAGUACAGGAAAAGAUUAAAUUGAUCUCUGAACAAAUGGCUAUUGAUAUCUGAGCUGAUCAUCCUAGUGCUUUUUGGAAUCGAAAGAAGCACAUCGUAACUCUUCCUUACGAAGAAGAUUUCUCUGAGGAAAAUAUUUCCACGAAAUCUCGUCCUUGCCAAAUGAAUUCUGAGCUAGUAGAAUUCUGCAAUAAGGAAAUUGAUAGCCUGUUACAAAAAGGUUUGAUAAAACCUUCCAAAUCACCCUGGUCUUCUACUGCCUUUUAUGUUAAUAAUGCAGCAGAAAAAGAACGAGGUGUCCCCAGGUUAGUCAUAAAUUAUAAACCCCUUAAUAAAUUUUUAAAAUGGAUUAGGUAUCCUAUUCCGAAUAAAAGAGAUUUGCUGUCAAGAUUAUAUGACGCAAACAUAUUUUCAAAAUUUGAUUUAAAAUCAGGUUAUUGGCAAAUUCAAGUUUUUAAAGAGCAUUCUUAUAAAACUGCUUUUAAUGUUCCAUUUGGACAAUACGAAUGGAAUGUAAUGCCGUUUGGUUUAAAGAACGCCCUAUCUGAAUUUUAGAAGAUUAUGAAUGAUAUUUUUAAUCCCUAUUUAGACUUCAUCAUAGUCUAUAUUGAUGAUAUUUUAGUUUAUUCAAAAACUCUGGAAACUCAUAUCAAACUCUUGGAUAUUUUCAAGAAAAUAGUCAUUCAAAAUGGUUUGGUUAUAUCAAAACCUAAAAUGAACCUCUUUCAAACUGAUGUUAGGUUUUUGGGACAUUUAAUUUGCCAGGGAAAGAUUACCCCUAUUCAGCGAUCCAUUGAAUUCGCUUCGAAAUUUCCGGAUAUAAUUACUGACAGAACGCAGUUGCAAUGAUUUUUGGGAAGCUUAAAUUAUAUUUCCCCAUUCUACAAAAAUUUGUCUCGAGAUUUAGCCCCUUUAUACGACAAGCUAAAGAAGGAGCAUAAGAAGCCUUGGAUUGAUAGUCUCACGAAUCUAGUCAAAACUAUCAAGGAUAGAGUUAAGACUUUGCCUUGUUUAACUCUUGCCAAUUCGGCUUGGCCUAAAAUAGUAGAGACGGAUGCGUCUAACAUGGGUUAUGGUGGAAUUCUGAAACAAAUUAACCCGCAUGAUAAACAUGAAUAUCUCAUUAGAUUUCAUUCGGAAAAAUGGAGCGAUGCUCAGCGAAAAUAUCCGACGGUAGCUCAUGAAAUGUUAACUAUCGUUAAAUGUGUUUUAAAAUUUCAGGACGAUCUUUACAAUCAGAAGUUUUUAAUAAAAACUGAUACUCAGUCAGUCAAGUAUAUGUUUGACAAAGACUUUAAACAUGAUGCGUCAAAACUCAUGUUUGCAAGGUGGCAAGCACAGUUAGCACCUUUUGAUUUUGAGAUUCUUUAUAAGAAAGGUUGUGAUAACUCCCUCCCUGAUUUCUUAUCAAGAGAAUACAUUCAAAAUGAGUGAGUAUAGUGUCGAUUCUGAGAUAGGUGAUAUUCCAUUAUCUCUCUUUUUUACUAAUAAAAGACUUAUUACUAUCUUGAAGGUUCUUCCUCUCUAUCGAGAUGUAAAAGAACUUAUUUGUUGGAAAAUUGUAGAUGGAAUGGUAAUAGACCUUUUUAUCUCUAUAGGAGAAACAAAUGAUAAUCAUGACAGUAACUGGGAAUAAAAACUGUUGCUUUGUAUGCAGGAUGGAAAACCCUUGGGUAACUAAGGGAAGAGGAAAAGGAUCCCACGGAAGGGGAAGAUCAUCCCCGAGCACGACGAGAUCAUCAUAUGGAUCUUCAUCGUCAUCUACUCCGAUUAUACAAAAGGGAGGAAUAAGUUUAUACAACUUAAAUUCCAGAGCUCAAGAAAGAGCUUCAUCCUCAAUUCACUUGGAAGAUAUUCCUACCACCGAUCCAUUAUAUGCAAAACUACAAGAGUUUAUAACUCAAAAGCAAAGUAAUACUUUUGCCUCGAUCGCCAAAGAAGAAGUCGAUGACAUCAAGACCUAUGAAAAGGUUGAAAAAAGAGAAGUGAUAUUUCUCUUGAAAAACUCGGACUUACAAAGACGAGGAGAACCUUGGAAGAUAUUCCAAAGGUACUUAGUCAAUGGACUAUAUUUCCCGGGUGAGUCAUACAAAACUCGGAAGUAUUAUGAAAUUUUGCUGAUAAGCACAGGUGUUGAAUUCCAACACUUUUCAGGUUAUAAUACAAGUGAGAAUGUUUAUAACUUCUCAAAGAUGAUUAUAAAAUAUAUAAUUCAUAUUGAAGAUUGGGGAAUUUCCUCAAUGACAGAAAGACAAUUCAGUCUAAAUAAAGUCAUGGUAAGCUUUACCUAUUGGGAUUAUAUCCAGGCGUUUAAUAAAGUUCUUCUCUAUAAUAAUGAGAGACAAAAGCAUACUUGGUUUAUAAAGGUAUGUGCCAAAAUAUUUGUCAAUCCCAUACCAAAUUGGUUUUUGAAUUGGUGGUCAUACCACGGACCAACUAUAAAAAUCUUGCCUGAACCAUUUCUUAAGUUAUACAAAGAAUGGGUAAAGAUUUCUCCUGAUCUCAACAAAUUAUAUCAUCAGGAACACAUCUGUUAUUUUCAACAGAUUGAACAAAUUUAUUUCUUUAUAGAAUUCUUUGUCCCAUGGAUUCAUAAAUGGGUUCCAGAGGUAGAUUUUACCGAAGAACAGAUCCCUUGCUUAUACAGGACCUAUUAUAAUAAUUUUUGGGAUAAAUUGAUAAAGAAAGACCCCCAAUCAAAGUCUAUCUAUGGACAAGAACUGUUGGAUGAUAUAGCCAAAACCAUCCAGGAUUAUAAAUCAAUUCCUAACAAAGGAAUUUUGACAGAUAAUACAACCUCUGUAAAACAUGUGGCCAGAAGAAUCUCCAACCAUGAUGAAGGAGAACAAAACAAAAUGAUAUUAAAAUAUCUUGAAGAUGUCAAGAGAAAUAUUCUUCUAAACAUAAGCCAUUACGCAAGGUCAGAUUCGUCAAUGCGUAGUGAAACAAGUGCCAGUGAAGAUAUGCACGAAGCACAGCAAGAUGAAGAAGUUGCACCAGUAGAAGCACUAAAAAGAGCCGAAGAUUUUUUGACAAAGUUAAAGGACAAGAUGUGAAAAGAAGAUAAGAUAAGAUCUGGCCCAGCAGACACUGCUCAUCAACAGUAAAUACACUGUUACUGGACCCAGAUAAGGGCCCCAAAACUCUGUACAAAGAUGCUUUUAUUUCCCUAUAAAUAAGUUGCAUUUUCCUUAGUUAAGAGGUAGGUUUUAAAAACCAACUUCUCUCUACUCUCUCUCUCUCUCUUGUAUUGUAAAGUACUGUGAGCUUGCCCGGACUUUGGCCGGAGAAUAAAGAUUGUUUCUAAGGUAAUUCUUCUUUCGGUUUACUUUCUACUACUCUUCUUGAUUCAAGUCUUAUGAUCGGCUAAAGAUCUAUAUCUAUGCCGGAUAACUAACUUCGAUUAUAUAUCUACCAUGAAAGAUCUAGACUUUAUCUAAAUAUGCAUAAAUUCCUUAUAAUUUCUUGACUUGGUUCCAAGAUGGUGGUACAGUCGGAUUUAAAUACAACAUGUUAAUGACUUUGUCUUAGUGACUCCGUCUAGUCAGCCAUGAUCUUAGCCCGCAAAUGAGUUAAAAGGGCGCCUCAUACCCGGUUAGAACUACUAGACACAUGGGCUCAUUAACAAUACGUAUUUAAGUUGUGACAUGCUCCUUGCUUGGGUAAAAGGACUACCUUCCAUACAGUCAUCAAAUUAUAUGAAUUUGUAUGUAUUUCUUUUCGAAAUUAUUUUUCGGAUAUUAACAAGCUAGAUUAAAGAUAACCGCGCGGUAAUCAGUUAUAUAUAUAUAUAUAUAUAUAUAUUAUUUUCUUAAUUACUUUUUUUCUUCCUUUUAAUUAUUUAUUUCAAGAAAUUAGUUAUUAUAACUUUAUAAGAAUUACAUAUGUAUUUUUACAUAAUUGAUUUGUCAUUUUUAAUUUUUUUGGAUAAUUUUUCUUCUUAAAGUUUUUAUCUAUUUGUAAUAAUAAAGCUAAAAUAGUAAAUGUGGGGUGACAUCCUUCUUAGCAAUAUAUAUCUAUUUAUUCUUAUCAAUGUUUUCUGACAUUUUUUGUUAUUUUUUCCUUAAAAUAAUUGUUGAAUCGAUUUUUAUUUUUAGUUUUAUUUUUUAAGCAUUUUUAAAUUUUAAAAGUCUGAAAAUUUUAUAUUUGAAAAUUUAUAAAAUAUAAAAAAUGAUUUAUUGAACUCCUAUCAUCAUCAAUAUUAUUAUUAAUUUAUUUUAUUACUUCUUCCCUUAGUCCUCAUUUCAUCAUUAAUUUAAUUUAUAUCAUUUUGUUAUAUAAGAUAAUCUUCAUUUUUUACGUGACAUUUCUUAGAAGCUAGGAUUACUAUUUAUAUAAUUUCUCAAUUUUUUGUAUUCUUUUAUCAUACUAAAUACAACAUGUUUUAUUAUAAUUACCUUCAAUAUACUAAUUAAUAUGUUGUAUGACUUAAAAGAAAAUUCUCAUUUCACAAAAACAAAGGUUAAAUUAUAAUUUUAUUAUGAUUAAGGAGAGAUAAAUAGAAAAGGAAUCACCAUUUAAGGAAUCAUUAUUUUUAAAAUUUUUGAAUCAUUUCUUCUUCUAAAAGUUUCUAUCCAUAUGUAACAAUAAAGUUAAAAUAGAAAAUGUAGUGACACCUUUCUUAGUAAUAGAUACUAAUUUAUUCUUAUCAAUUUUUUCUGACAGUUUUAGUUAUAUUUUUCUUUAAAAUAAUUGUUACUUCGAUUUUUAUUUUUAUUUUAGCAUUUAUUUUAAAGUUUAAAAGAUUGGAAAUUUUAUGUUAAAAUUUAAUAAAAUAUAAAAAAUGAUUUAUUUAACUUUUAUCAACAUCAAUACUACUAUUUUAUUUCACCUCUUUCCUUAAUCUUCAUCUCAUCAUUAAUGUUAUUUAUAUAAUUUCUUAAAUCACUUACUUUUUCUUUUUUAACUCUUUUAUUUUCUUUCUUUUUUACUCUUUUAUUUAUAUAUAUAAAGUUGGAUAUGUAAAUGAUGAUGUAACAUUUCUUAGAAGUUAAGAUUACUAUUUAUCUAAUUUCUCAAAUUUUUGGAUUCUUUUAUCAUACUAAAUACGAUAUGUUUUAUUAUAAUUACAUUCAAUAUAGUAAGCAAUAUGUUCUAGAAAUUAAAAGAAAAUUAUCAUUUCAGAAAAAUAAAGGUUAAAUUAUAAUUUUAUUAUGAUUAAGGAAAGAUAAAAGAUAUUAUUUCAAUAUCUCAUAACCACAUUCAAUACAUUAGAAAUUAAUUGAAUAUAGUUGUAAAUGGGAAAUGAAUCACCAUUUAAGGAAAAUAAAUGUUUGCAAUACCAUAAUAAUUAAGAAGAAAGUAAGAUAUUAUUUUAAUAGCCUAAUUCGAAACUUUUGAUCUACUACUCAAUUAAAAAUAAAAUGUAUUUAAUAAUAUUAAAAAGUUUUUAGUUUAAUAUUUUUUUUCUCAUUCUACUAAUUCACGAUUUUAUUUUUAUUUUUAGCAUUUAUUUUUAGUUUAAUAGAUUGGAAAUUUUAUGUUAAAAAUUUAUAAAAUAUAAAAAAUAUUUUAUUUAAAUUUUAUCAUCAUCAAUACUACUAAUUUAUUUCACUUCUUUCCUUAAUCUUCAUCUCAUCAUUAAUGUUAUUUAUACACUUAUUUUUUUCUUUUUAACUCUUAAUAUAAAGUUGGAUAUGUAAACGAUGAUGUGACAUUUCUUAAAAGCUAAGAUUACUAUUUAUCUAAUUUCUCAAAUUUUUGGGUUGUUUUGUCAUACUAAAUACAAUAUGUUUUAUUAUAAUUACAUUCAAUAUAGUAAACAACAUGUUCUCAGAAUUAAAAGAAAAUAAUCAUUUCAAAAAAAAUAAAGAUUAAAUUAUAAUUUUAUCAUGAUUAAGAAAAGAUAAAGAUAUUAUUUGGAUAUCCCAUAACCACAUUCAAUACAUUAGAAAUUAAUUGAAUAUAGUUGUAAAUGGAAAAUGAAUCACCAUUUAAGGAAAAUAAAUGUUUGCCAUACCAUAAUAAUUAAGGAGAGAGUAAAAUAUUAUUUUAAUAUCCUAAUUCGGAACUUUUGAUCUACUACUCAAUUAAAAAUAAAAUGCAUUUAAUAAUAUUAAAAGGUUAUUAGUUUAAUAUAUUUUUUCUCAUUCUAAUAAUUCACGAUUUUAUUUUUAUUUCUAGCAUUUAUUUUUAGUUUUAAUAGAUUGGAAAUUUUAUGUUAAAUAUUUAUAAAAUAUAAAAAAUGUUCUAUUUAAAUUUUAUCAUCAUCAAUACUAUUAAUUUAUUUCACUUCUUUCCUUAAUCUUCAUCUCAACAUUAAUGUUAGUUAUAUAAUUUUUUUAAAUCACUUAUUUUUUCCUUUUUAACUCUUUUAUUUUCUUUUUUACUCUUUUAUAUAUAUAAAGUUGGAUAUGUAAACGAUGAUGUGACAUUUUUUAAUUAGAACUUAAGAUUACUAUUUGUCUAAUUUCUCAAAUUUUUGCGUUUUUUGUCAUACUAAAUACGAUAUGUUAAGCAAUAUGUUCUUAGAAUUAAAAGAAAAUUAUCAAUUCAGAAAAUAAAGGUAAAUUAUAAUUUUAUUAUGAUUGAGGAAAGAUAAAGAUAUUAUUUCAAUAUCCCAUAACCACAUUCAAUACAUUAGAAAUUAAUUGAAUAUAGUUGUAAAUGAAAAAUGAAUCACCAUUUAAGGAAAAUAAAUGUUUACAAUACCAUAAUAAUUAAGGAGAGAGUAAGAUAUUAUUUUAAUAUCCUAAUUCGAAACUUUUGAUCUACUACUCAAUUAAAAAGAAAAUGCAUUUAAUAAUAUUAAAAGGUUAUUAGUGUAAUAUAUUUUCUCAUUCUACUAUUCAAUUCGAUCAAACGUAAUUUUAAUGAUAAGAUAACAACUCUAUUUUAAUUGUUAUCAAUAUAUUUCAAAAAACAUUAUAGUGAAAAAGCUUUUCGUGGUUACCAAAAAAAAAAAAAAGAUUUUCUUGCACUUUAUUUUGAUUUUCAUACUAUUAUUAUUUUUUCUAUCACUUUUCAAUGAUUUUUUAUUUUGAUUUAAAUUUAAUGUUUAUUCUUAAACUCCGAUGAUGCAAAUUAAGGUGGAGUAGAAUAUAAUAAAUGAUGAUUCUUCUACUAAAUAUAAGAAGAUAUAACGAAAUUCAAAGGGUGAAGUUUUUAAAAAAAAAUGGAUAGAAAGUUCUAUUAAGGUAUUAUAUUAUUAAAUAUAUUUUUUAAUAUAAAUUUCACUUGCUGAUGUAUUUGUUUAGUAUUACAAUGUUAUUUCACAUUAUGAGAUCUUUCUUAGACAAUUUAAGGAGAAUGAAACACCGAAAUAUAUAUUGUAUAUUAAAGGAUCAACUUCAUGCAAUGGAAGAAUUUGUUAUUAGUAAAUAUAUUUUAACUUAUUUGAUAAAAAAUAUAUUCUUCAUUUAAUAGAUGUAAAAAUUUAUCAAGCUUUUAUUUUUCUUUACAAUCUUCAUAUUAUUAAAACAAACAAUAAUAUUACGAUUAAACAACAAAAUAAAUAUAAAAUUAAUCAAAAAUAUUUAAAAUAUGUUACGGUAAAUGGCCUAAAAUAUCCUUGAACUAUUGAAAAUGGUACAAAAUUAUCCUUCAUUCACAUAUUAACUCCAAAAUACCCUUCACAUCCAUCUUUGGGUCCAAUAUUGACUCUCUUUUUUAACAGCCAUUCAUUAAAGAAAUUUAAUUAAAUCUUUAAAUACGUGGCAAUCCUCUAUUGGUCAUAUUUUAAAUAAAUAAAAUCAAUUAUCCAUUUCUAAUUAGAGCCCGUUUGGAUUAACUUAACAAAAGUAGUUUUUAAGUCAAAAUAAAAAAAUCAAACUGAAAUGACUUUUAAAUCAAAAAAAAAAGAGUAGGGGAUACCUACUUCUGGUUUUUGACUUAUUUUAAGUCAUUUUUUACAUUGUCAAACACUUCACAACUUAUUUUAAGUCAUUUUUGAUUUAUUUUAAAUUAUUUUUCAUAUUUACUAAACACUUUCAGAAAGUCAAAAACUGAUUUAAAAGUAAGUUUGAUCAAUUUUUAAUCCAAUCCAAACACCCUCUUAGACCUGCCCUGGCCCAUGAGUAUUGGAAGCUUCCUCCACCGGGUAAUGAUCCGACUUGGAAACAGACCCAUUUUAGUUCAAAGAUGACUCAGAUGAUGACUUUUUCAGCUCAGCGGAAGAACCAACAUCACCAUUAGAUGACCUGUUUUUGUUCAAUGAUGACUCACUUUUAUUUCUUCUUCUUUUUUUGCUCAAGAUUCCAUCUUCAUAAAUAUUAAAAAUUUCAUAAAUAAGUUGUCCAUUUAGCAGCUGAAACAGUAGCGGCUAAGAGAAAUUAAAUGGUCAGCCAAGCGGCGACGAUACCUAUUCGAACCACCACCAUCGGAAUUCUCAAAACCCGAGUCAGGUGUUGCUGACUUCUGGUGGGUACUCCUCCGGUUACUAGAAAAGUCGCCAAAAAGUUCACUAGUAAUGGAGUUGGGUUGGUGGUUUUAAACUUAUGGAUUGUUCUCCGAUUGCCGACAAACUCGCCGAAAAAGCAAGAAAUGAGAUAAGCGAAAGAUUUCUUAUCUUCUUGAAAUAAAGCUGCAACAAGAGUGAGAAUUGCAAUUGGUAAAAAUGAAAAAUGGUUAGAAAUUGAAGGAGGAGAUAGAUGAAUUGUGCGUUUUUUAGAAAGUUUCUUCAUAGUUUAUGAUAAUGGAGAUUUUUUUGGAGAAUUUGGAUUGGUUGGAUUAAGUUAAUGUGGGGCGGGUGGAUAUGAUUUGAGGUGGGUCUAAUUAAAAAUGGAUGGAUUUGUUAAUUAAAUUUAUUUAUUUAAUAUGACCAAUAGAGGAUCGCCACGUCUUUAAAGAUUUAAUUAAAUUUAUCUAAAUGAAUGACUGUUAAAAAAAAGUGUUAAUAUUGGAUCCAAAAGUGGAUGUGAAGUGUAUUUUGGAGCUAAUAGAUAGAUGAAAAGUAAUUUUAUAUCAUUUUCAAUAGUUUAUAGGUAUUUUAGGUCCUUUCAUUUAUGUUAUUAACAUUUAAUUCCAUUGAUUGUGCAUACCUUUUCUUCACAUAAUUAUUACACUCAAUUUGGAUCAUUGUUACUCAUUGUAUUGUAUCGUUAUCAUACCUACAAUGUUUGUUUUGAUUGUUACUUAAAAUGUAUUGUAUUGUAUUGUUAAAUUUCGUUGUUACGUAACAAUGAAAACCCCCAUUUUAUGGAACAACCGAUUUGGUGUGUUCCCAUUGUUACUUAAUUUAUUUUUCCAAUUAUAUCAUGACAUAAUAUUUUAUAAUUUUUUUUUUAUCAUUUACCCUAUUUUAUUUAAUUCUAGGCAUACUUCUUACCCUAGAAUAAUUAAGGAUAUUUUAGUAAAUUUAUAAAUUAUAAUACAGUAAAAAUGUUAUUACACAACAACAAACAAUACAGUCUAGCCAAACAUUGUAUAUACUAUACAAUACAGUACAAUAGAGUAUAAUACAAUACAUUAUGAAACAAUGGGUAAUAAUGAUUCAAACAGAGUGUUAUAGUGUAUGCACUUUCCCCAUUAUGCUUAUUAUUUGGGACUUUGUCUUUUUUUUUUUUGCUUGUCAUUUAUUUAAAUCUUAUCCGUUGUAGUUUUUACUUUUUCUUCAUACUACUAAAAAAAAAAAUUGCCCUUCUCCUCUUCAUGACUUGUAUUUUUUUUUGAGAGAGAUUGCAAUGCACGUCCAUGAUAUUCCUAAUUUAAAACCUUUUGUCCGAAAGAAAAUAAAUAUUAUAAAAAAAUUAUACAGUAUUACAAUUAUUUUUUAUAAUAGUAGUUUCUAUUUUUUUAAACCAAUUUUUAAGGUUAUGUUCAUUCAAUUUUACUUGGCGCUUGUUAUUUUUGUUUUUAGUAUUUACUAUAUGUUUAAUUAUCCUUUGAAAAUUCAAGUUUCAUUAUGAACGUUAAGCUAACAUCUUGUGCAAAUUUCUCCCACAUUUAGCAUAUUUAAGACAAAUGUGAAUAUGCAAAGACAAGUUGUGAAAAUUUCUAAACAAGGAUUUAAUUUAUCUAUUUUCGUAUUAGAGCGUCACUUUCAAUACACAUUUAAUUAAGUGUGAUUUUUUCUAAGAUUUAAUUCAUCAUAUCCUCCUAUUCAGAUUUAAAAAAACAAAAUACCAAAUAAUUUUAUAUGUAUUUUAGACUUUUUAGUUGCACAUAUAUAAAAAUACCUUGCGUCUUUUAAUGAUUCUGCGUGGGGGAAAUCACCUAUCCCAUAAGUAAUUUAAGGAUGCCAUUUAUGUACUAUUUUACUAAUCAAAGAUCAUGUAAUUAAUGGAUAUCCUUUAUCGUGUUUGAUUGAGAUGUUUGUUAAUCUUAUAUUGUAUUAAUAAAUAUAUAUAUAAAUAAUAUAUCUUGUUUUGUACUUUUCCCAUUGGUUGGAGUCUAUCAAGAAAAGCAUAUGGAAAGAUUAAUUAGUCAUAGCUUAUCCACAUUUGACCUAAACCUAUUUGAUUAAAAUAAGCUAAGAGAGAAGAAGUACACCCAUUCUCCAAUAAACAACUAGCAAGCUUUUUUUACACUAUCCACGCGAUAACAUUGUUUAUUAUAAAAAUAAAUAAAAGAAUCGUAAAACUAUUUCUAUGUGAUUUAUAUGUCACAUAUUUGAGUCGUGGAAGCAAUCACUAGUAUAAUACUUAUAUUAAGAUAGACUUUCUAUAAUCUAUAUCAUAUUCUUUGAAAUGCGAUUUCUUUUCUCAGAUGUUACUAACACGAAAUAUUUUGUACAUCGAGCAGCUUUGACUACACCUAAAACAUAGAAAGAAUUAGUGGAGGGAUUUCUCAUGGGAUUGGUAAACCACUAAUAUUGCUUCUUAACUUUUUGUUUGACCUUUUUUUUUUAAGGUAAAAGAUGGUUAAAAAUCCAUUUGAUUAAUUUAGUUAAAAAUAAAGGAACUAUAUAAAUCCAUAUGAAGAUUCUAAUCUUAAAGUUUUUGGGCUAUUUUUAGUUUUUCUUUUUAUAAUAUUUUCCUUAUCUAUUAGUGGUAUCUCUUUGGCUCUAGUUGUCUUAUAUGUUAUUUAAGUGGGGUUGUUAACAAUAUUUUGGUAAAAAGAAAAUUGUGGUCCAAAGUUUUAACAAAAGAGCUUAUAUUUACUUGUAUUUUAUGCAUUGAAUGAGAUAAUAUGUAUAGCCUUAGCCCUUAUGCAUAUUAAAUAAUAAAAAAAGCUUAGUAAGAUUUUUCAAUAAUGCUUGAUCAUUAUUUAGUUCUUAUAUACCGUAAUAGCAUUUUGCAAUAUUGUUAUAAUGACCUAAUUUAAUAACUAUUAAGAUUUUUCUCAUAUGAUUAAUUAUUAUGUGAACUUCUUAAAAAUUAAGGUCAUUUGUGAUGAAUUAGGAAAGUUUGACCUUAAUUAGAUAUUUAGCGUUCGAGUAACGAGUACGAAUAAUUUUUUGUAGUGAGACUUUUUCCUUAAACAAGUCCUACAUAAAGGGAGAAUUCACACUAAUUAAUCUGGGUUCAAUAGAUCAAUAUAAAUAUACAAUAGCUUGAUUCAAACACCUUGUAUGGUUAAAAAUUUAUUUUUAGUAUAUACUAAAAUAAUUACUAUCUGAACCCAUAAAUUAAAAAAAUCUUACUCCAUCUCUGAUUGAACACCACACAAAUCUGAAUAAAACAACAAAUAUUAUUUUUUUUUAAAAUAACUCCUAAUUAACAUAAUUUUUAGUAAAAAAUCUUACCUAAUUCCAUUUAAAAUUGCCAUGUGUCCCCUCAGGCCUCUCCUUUCUCAACCACACCAAAGGAAAGAAAAAUGACAAAUCUUAAAGGCAAAACCUUUCAAUAAUUUUUUUUAAAAAGGCAUGGAAGAAGUUAACAAUACUAAAUUAGUACUAUUUCCUCCGUCCUAUUUUAAGUGAUAUCGUUCGACUUGACACAAUACUUAAAAAUAUAUAUUUAAAAAAAAUUGUGAUUAUUUAUAUGAUCGUAAAUCAUUUUAUUAAAAUUAAAGAGAAAUUUUAAAAUUAAGUUAUUUUUAAUUAUAAUUAAGUAACUUUUUCUGAAACAAGCUAAAAAAAGAAAGAUGCAACAUGAAAUGAGACGGAAGGAGUAGUAGUAAUAAUUUUUUUAAUUUUCCACCCGACGUUUUGUAGCUGUAUCUAAAUUCAAUUAAUUCAAAUUCACGUCGAGUAGUGUUUUCUAUUAAAAAUUUAAACUCAAAAUUUCUCAUUAAUGAAAAAUAACCCCAUUCAAUGCAAGACAUUCUUGGAUGGUUAGUAGUUAGUACUAAUCCUUAAAUAUUAGGUAAGGAUAGAAAUUAGAAAAUUAAAUAAAGGUACAAAAUCACAAAGUUAGAUAACCAUGGUUACUUGAUAAGUUAAACAUGGUUAAGCCAAGUUCGACUUUAUCUUCUCACACAUUUCCAUAUUAAGUUAAUUUUUGAGGUGUUUCAUACUUUUUAAGAAAAGUAAAUUAAGAUAUAAAUUGAACCUAGUUUUUUAUUUUUAUCCUUAUUAAUUAUUAUCAAAUAUAUAAUUAAAAUAACUAAAUAUUAAUUAAUUGCUAAUUCCAAUACUAACUAAUAAAAGGUAAAAUUGAAAGAACACUCUAAAAAUAGUUUUGAAAACUGAUUAAUUAAUUUGAAAAAUGAAAAAUACCUAAAAUAUUAACUUAAUAUAGAAUAGAGUGAGUAUUUUAUAGAAAUAGUACUUAUUGCAGCAACACUUGUACCAUUUCCCUGUUUUCUUCUUCUCUCUGCAUUCUGAUCUCCUCUCUCUAUUUUCUUCCAUUGAAACUUCACACACACACACACAGUUACUUUCUCUCUCUCUGCAUGUGUGUGAUAAUCUUUGGUGCUUCCUGAAUUCGUCGGAUUCUGACGUCAUCACCGUGUUCCCGGUCACCGGAUUUGUCUUUUAGGUACCGUAUAUGAAACGCCGUUUCUAUGAUAUGUUGUUUAUUUUUCCUGGAAUUUCAUGUUUUGGAGGUUUAUUGAUAUGGAAAUUGGUGUAUAUGUUGUUCGGUGACGAAACGGUAGAGAUUGGUGUGUUUUUUUUGUUUGAUUUUUGCAGUGGUUUUGAAUUUUUCUGUUUGGAAAUUUUGCUGUUAUAUCUCAUCGGAAAUUGCUGGGAGUUUUUUGGAGGUUUACAAUUUUAAGGUGAGAUUUUUUUAUUUUUUAAUGGUUCAGUUUAAUUUUUAGAUCCUUAUUCCUUUUGUUUGUAUGGUUGUACUUGUAUUUCGACUUGAUAUAAUGAAUGGAUUUUUAUCCUGUAUCUUACAGAAAAUAUCCAUUUUUUUUCAUUGGAAGAUUCUUUACUUUUUUGGAACCAGUUUCAUCAUUUCUUGAUUUUGUGAAUGAUAACUUAAAAUUCAAGGAGGAUUUGAAAUGGUUUAUGGAAAUGAAGAAAUCAGCAUAAAAUGGUUGUUUUGCACAAAGUCAGGAUAAGUUGUACUUUUGUUUCUUUAAAAUCAGAUUUACUGAAUUUGGAAAACAUUAUGAAUUGUACCAGUAAUUUCAUGCUAAUAUCAAAGGCAUAANNNNNNNNNNNNNUUAUAAAGAAAGUUGAUAAAUUGGAAAACUUUCCCAAGUUUUGAGAGUGACGUAAAUGGACCGUUUGUAGUCAUUGAAGUUUUCAACGUUUUUAAUUUCCUUGUGCACGUGUACCACGCAAACCUACACACUCUACCAAUAUAAAAUUAAGUGUGACACCUUAAAAGUUGAAAUAAUUAAAUUUAAUCACCCAUAAGGUGACAAAUAUCAUAAAUAUGCCGUGAAGGACUGGGGGGAACCAGGCAUUUAGUUUCUUUUUAGGCUCUUAGCUAAGUGCCGGUAGGGAUAAUUAUCCCCACAAUGAUCACAUAAAGAUCUUGUUAUAUGGUAUUGGACAUGGAAGAAGUUUGGUCCAGGGCGUGUCACAGAGUGUCUGCUUAUUUCAUCUAGUGCUCACAAGAUGUAGUUAGGUCAUUAGCAGAGGCGAGACCCAAAUUGAACAAGCUAUUUGAAUCUGAGUACUCAGUAGGUCACUUGCGAGUUCAUUGCAUAGGGGAAAAGUUCUUCUGAUUUUCUUGCUUGACGUCAGACAUUGGACAUUUCUGGUGAUUAUGUUACGCAUGACACCAUCAAUGGUCAGAUAGUUGAUGCCCUUAUUUGAACUAUCGGUUGUUUCUGAACUUUCUUAUGUUUGUACUUUCUAAUUUAUUUUUUCUUACAAGGUUGUAAUUUCUGUUUGUUUUGUUGAGUUAGAUGUUACCGCUGACUGUGGAAGGUCAGACUUCACCACCAUAUUUAUUACACUGAUGACAAGGCUGGAUCUUAUUUUGAUCCAUUUCUCUAGAGAUAUAGUUGUCUUUUACAGGUUGUUUAGAUUCUAUGGAUAUCCGAUUUGAUGGUCAAGUGUUAAUCCUCUAGCAUCCUGUAGUAGUGUUAUCAAAGGUGAAAAACGUGUAAAGCGCUAAGGUCCAAGGUCCAUGGGGGCUUUAAACCAAAUGCACGAGCUUCAAUGCAGGUGCAAAUAAAGAAAAUAAAAAUAUGGUGUAGUUUGUGAAUAACACUUAUAAACACACAUAACAAAUAUAUAAAUGACAAUAUUUUUUAAAAGAAUUACUAUAAAGUAAAAUAUUCAUUGUUUAGUGUGCUCUUUACAAUAACUUCAUUGGCGAUGAGACAUAUGCCUUAAGCUCCCACCCAGCGGGGCAAAGCAUUUUGCCUGCUUUACACUAACUUUGGGGUUUGAACGAGCCUUUGACAACAAUUUGUUUUAGGGGAUUAAUUAGACAGGAUCCUAAGGGGUCGUUUGGGUUGGAGGUUCGUGUGUAAAAUGACGAUUGCAGAACAAAGAACUAGACAAUUAGUGUACUACUUAAUUAGAUUCUUCUCUUGCAUAUUAUUAAACAACAAAUAUUAAGAGUUCUGACGGCAUGUUAGAACUCAUUUUAUGGCUGAUUGGUAAAGCCGUUAAAUUUUAAUUUAGACCCACAAUUGCUGUACUCUAGAGAUAUAUAUAGCAGCAUUAACAGUGCAAAAAGGGGUUUUAAGCGCACAACGCACAUAAAGCAUGAGCUUUAAUAAAAAAAGGUGCAAAGGGAGAAACAAUACUAAUAUAUAUGUUUAGUCAAAGGAUAAUAAUUAUAAGCAUGAAAUGAAUGACAAAUUUAUGGACAAAGAAAUUGAAUUUUUUCUACUAUGAAGUGAAAUAAUCAAUUGUUUAGUGUCGCCUCUUUAGAAGAGGCUCAUUGUCAAGGAAAAGUAUGCCCUAUAACAUUGAUGACAACACUAAAGCGCACAUUAAGUAAAGAGCUCAACACGUUCUGAGUGUCGCUUCAGGCCUUGAGUGAGCCUUUGACAAAUAGUAGUAUAAAUGCCUUUAUUGUUUGAAGGAGCAUUGAAUAUCCAAUAAUGAAAAAGGAUAGAUGCAAUUCACCAUGAGCACAUUUACCUGUAAUUGCUACAUUCAGAAAGUAGAUGGUGAAUAACUGCCAUAGCUUUUUAAGCAUCUUUGGAAUGUGUAUUCCUCCACCAAUUUAGUUUUUCACAGAGAGAUAAAAGGAUUAAUGGUUGGCCUUUCUGUAAUAUCCUUUUAAUUGGAGAGCUUGGAAGUGGUGCAUGUGCGCUCGCCUUCAAAUAGAUUUUGGUUUGGAUGUGAGUUUGUUACAAACAUAUCAUUCCUAGGUUCGUUAUGAACCAUCCACCGAUCUUAUUCAACAUGUUGAAAUUAGAACUGAACUUUUUAUUGGUACUUGUUUUUUGUUCACUGCUCAUUACAGCUCAACAGUAACUGCUGUUGCGACUGAGUCAGCCGUAGUCUAUCAAAGCCAUAUUACAGUUAUUAUGUUAAAUGCCGUGUUCUUGGACCAUGACAUUCGGAAAUGUGCAUUUCUCUUCUUAUGUAUUGGAUCCCACCUUAUAAUGUAACCAACCCUUCACCCUGCUAAGUUGGUUAAUACUUGUAGCUUCCAUAAUAUAUCAGUUGUCAGCUUGUAAAUUUUCGUUUAAAACUACUACUUCUGUCGAAUUCCAUGGUGCUGCAUUUCAUGUCAUUCUUAUUAUGUGGUUGAGAUGAAUUAUUGAAUCAUUGCAAUGUUGUAACAGUUCUAUGAACUCUCUAAUAUUUUCCCCUUUUUUAGUUUGAGAUUAAAUAUUUCUUGACACUUAUUUUCCUGCCCUUUAAGUUUCUUUGCCAUUCCUUGUUUGAUGCUUAUUAAUAUCGUCAACCCUUCCAGUCCAUAGUUCUAUUGUCUGGUGUUGUGAUGACUGAUGAUGUUAGAAAUCACGACUUAUGAUGAACUUGUUGGCAAAAUAAUGAUUUCUCUUUUCUACCUGUUGGUGCUGUAGGUUACUGCACAAUUGCUUUGGGGCUGAAAGUUUCAAGCAUAGAUUUCAAAUUCCAGCAGUGCGUGUUUAACAACGUAGACCAAAUUUUAUUUUAUAAUCAUGCUAUCAAGAUCUUGUGCUAAUCUUUUGGACAUGGCAUCUGGAGAUAUACUAGAUAUACCUCAGACACCUAGAGGUCUUCCACGUGUGAUGACAGUUCCUGGAAUUAUCACAGAUGGUGAUUAAGAUGGUAUGUCAUCCUCAUGUUGAGAGCGAAAAAUUGUUGUAGCAAACAUGCUGCCUUUGCAUGCUCAAAGGGAUGCAACAGCUAAAAAGUGGUUAUUCAGUUUGGAUAAGGAUUCUCUUUUAUUGCAAUUGAAGGAUGGGUUUUCUCCUGAAACUGAGGUUGUCUAUGUUGGUUCUCUGAAGGUGUUGAUGUGGAACACAGUGAACAGGAGGAAGUUGCUCAGCGACUUCUUGAGGAGUUCAAGUGUGUGCCUACUUUUGUACCCCAUGAUAUCCAGGAAAAGUUUUAUCACGGCUUCUGUAAGCAGCAACUUUGGCCUCUUUUCCACUACAUGCUUCCAAUGUGUCCUGAUCAUGGAGAUCGUUUUGACCGGCAGAUGUGGCAAGCUUAUAUCUCUGCAAAUAAGGCUUUUGCUGAUAAGGUUAUGGAAGUGGUAAAUCCUGAUGAUGAUUAUAUCUGGAUUCAAGAUUAUCACCUCAUGGUUCUACCGACUUUUUUAAGGAAGCGCUACCAUUGUGUCAAGCUAGGUUUCUUUCUUCAUAGCCCAUUUCCUUCGUCAGAAAUUUACCGAACUCUGCCUGUUAGGGAUGAAAUUCUCAAAGGAUUGUUAAAUUGCGACCUAAUUGGCUUUCAUACCUUCGAUUAUGCACGUCACUUUCUGUCAUGCUGCAGUCGAAUGUUGGGUUUAGAUUAUGAAUCUAAACGAGGACAUAUUGGACUUGAUUAUUUUGGUCGUACAGUUUACAUUAAAAUUCUGCCUGUAGGCAUACGUAUGGGUUGACUAGAGUCCGUGAUGAAUUUGUCUUCUACUUUUGAUAAAGCUAAAGAAGUUCAAGAACAGUUCAAGGGGAAGAAGGUAAUUCUGGGUGUGGAUGAUAUGGACAUCUUUAAAGGCAUUAGUUUGAAAUUGCUAGCAUUUGAGUACCUACUACAGCAGGACCAGAACUUGCAGGGGAAACUUGUUCUUGUUCAAAUAGUAAAUCCUGCUCGUAGCUCAGGCAAAGAUGUUCAGGAAGCAAAGAGGGAGACAUAUUCAACUGCUGAAAGGAUCAACCAAAUUUACGGUAGAUCUGAUUAUGAGCCUGUAAUUUUGAUUGAUCGUCCGGUUCCUCACUAUGAGAAGACUGCAUACUAUGCUGUUGCUGUAUGUUGCCUAGUGAAUGCUGUAAGGGAUGGGAUGAAUUUAGUGUCUUACAAAUAUAUUGUUUGCAGGCAAGGUUCUCCUGGUAUGGAUGAUGCUAUGGAUAUUAAAACUGAUUCUCGUAGAAGUAGCAUGCUUGUUGUGUCAGAAUUUAUUGGUUGUUCCCCAUCUCUGAGUGGAGCAAUUAGGGUAAAUCCAUGGGAUAUUGAAGCUGUCGCUGAGGCUUUAAAUGUGGCCAUUACAAUGUCCGAUUCCGAGAAACAACUUCGUCAUGAGAAGCACUACCGCUAUGUAAGCUCUCAUGAUGUAGCUUACUGGGCUCGUAGCUUUAUGCAGGAUUUGGAAAGAGCUUGCAAAGAUCAUUACAGUAAGCGUUGCUGGGGCAUUGGCUUGGGCCUGGGCUUCAGAGUUAUUGCACUUUCUCCGAAUUUUAGAAAGCUGUCUAUUGAUCACAUCGUCUCCUCAUAUAGGAGGACACAGAGAAGGGCAAUAUUCUUGGACUAUGAUGGGACUGUUGUACCUCGGUCAUCAUUGGUUAAAGCUCCAAGUGCUGAAGUUAUUACGUUGUUGAAUUCUUUAAGCAAUGAUCCUAAAAACACCGUGUAUAUUGUUAGUGGCAGAGGAAGAAAGUCAUUAAGUGAAUGGCUUGCACCGUGUGAAAGGCUUGGAAUAGCUGCUGAACAUGGGUAUUUCAUAAGGUAAUGGAUAUUUUAUGUGAACAUAGCACGGUCCUUUGUCCCAGUUGCCCUAUAAUUUCUCAUUUGGAGUUUUUCUUCUGAUGUUUUCCUUGGACACCUUCAUGUUAACCGGUUUCUAUCAUGUUGCAGGAGUAGUAAAAUGUCGGAUUGGGAAUGUUUGGCUUCUGAUCUUGAGUGGAAACCAAUUGUGGAACCUGUGAUGAAACUUUACACUGAAACAACUGAUGGAUCAUAUAUUGAACCUAAAGAGAGUGCUUUGAUGUGGCACCAUCAGGAUGCAGACCCAGACUUUGGCUCCUGUCAGGCAAAGGAAUUGUUGGAUCAUUUGGAAAAUGUACUUUCAAAUGAACCUGCAGUUGUUAAGAGAGGCCUACAUAUUGUCGAAGUCAAGCCACAAGUAAGACCUUCUUCCCUGAUGUGUUUGUGUCUCACGCAGAUACAGACAUGUGCAUGUUGCAUUAUGCUCUUCCAUGUUUUUACUUGUUUGUGCUUAUUUGCAGGGUGUGACUAAAGGAUUAGUGGCACAAAAGGUCCUCUCAAUGAUGGUAGAUAGUGGGACUCCACCUGAUUUUGUUAUGUGCAUUGGAGAUGAUAGAUCAGACGAGGACAUGUUUGAGAGCAUAUUAAGCAGUUAUCCAGUCCGUCAGUCACUGCUGCCCCAGAUAUUUUUGCCUGCACUGUUGGGCAAAAGCCAAGCAAAGCCAAGUAUUACCUAGAUGAUACUGCUGAUGUUCUUAGACUACUUCAAGGUCUUGGUAAUGCGUCCUGUCCAAAGCCAAGACAUACUGCUCAUUUCCAGGUUGCGUUUGAUUCUGUUCUGUAAGAAGGCAAACUCUGUUCUGUGAGAAGGCUCAGUAGUUGAUUGGGCAUGUACAUGGUUCUACUUUUGGGGUUUAUCUUUUACCAGUGAGGAGUAUAUCCUUACAUCAAUCUUAACUUAAUCUGAUGCAUGGCUGGACUCAGGACCGACUGUUUUCCAGGUUAUGCUGCAUUCAGGGCUUGAAAUUCCCGUCAAUGUUGACUACUUUUUCUGUAAAUUUCAUCAUUGGGGAAAAACUUUUCUUAGAAGUACAGUUUUGCCGUAGUCAUGAUGGCUGCCCUGAAUGAUUAACUAACACCAUUGCGUUGUAUAGAUACAUUUAUCUGUUUAGCUUAAUGACAGUUUGGUUUAAGUUUUACCUCAGUGAAAGCUACUAACAAAUGCUUGAUGCCGUUUUGUGCCAAAUGAGUCACUUGAACAUGUACAUAGUACUAGCCUUUCUGGAACGUGUUAUCGAAAUGUUAUUAGUUCAAUUGUUCUGCUUUCCUACUGUAAAUAUCUCAGAUGCUACUAUCCUGAUCAUUGCAAAAUUUAGUGGUUGUGCACUCU
rnacentral:lncRNA from 1 species